ACCCACCACACAACAGCCAGCCGCUGCCGUCCUCGGUGCUCCCGGCGGUCGGCAAAGGCGAACCCGGGCGUGCUGCUGCUGCUGCUCCGGAGGAACGCUCACCUAGAGCAGGAGCUCGACCUUCGCUUCCACCUCUUCCGCUACUGGGACUCCACUCCCGAUGGUUACGCCUAGUUCCUUCGCGCCAAUGCCUCUGCCAUCUGCGCCCUCAUUGGCAACCCCGAUGCCGCAUCGAUGCGUCGCCGUUCUUCUCUGUGGGGACGGACUGCAUCGACCUCUCAAGUACCGGGAGCGCCAAAUCCGCGUCACCAACAUGCCCAACAUCCUCACCAACGACAUUGCCGGCCUCACCAUCUCUGUGCCAAGGAAGACCACGCAGGCUGACCGCUACAUGUGCGCCGGCUUGUGGAAGGCAAGAGGGACUACACAGUGACCAUGCGGGUUGGUAUCCGAUGCUUUUCCGUUGACUUAUGUUCAUAUUUUUUCCUUAAUAUAAAUGAAACUUGAAUACAUUAUAUCUUAAUCGAUACUUUUAUUGGAUACAUGGUCGAUGGCAUAAGUUAUUACUUACUGGUGAGACAUCGCCCAUCGAGAUGGCGAGGCUUCGCUUGGACAUACACAUACCUCUAUGUAGCCCAAAUCGUUAGGGUCAAAUUCUUCCAUGAUGAGGACUAUGUUGGGGAACGUAGCAGAAAUUCAAAAUUUUCCUACGUGUCACCAAGAUCUAUCUAUGGAGAGACCAGGAACGAGUAGAAAGAGAGUGCAUCUACAUACCCUUGUAGAUCGCUAAGCGAAAGCGUUCAAGUGAACGGGGUUGAUGGAGUCGUACUUGUCGUGAUUCAAAUUACCGAUGAUCCUAGUGCCGAACGGACGGCACCUCCGCGUUCAACACACGUACAGCCCGGUGACGUCUCCCACGCCUUGAUCCAGCAAGGAGAGAGGGAGAGGUUGAGGAAGACUCCAUCCAACAGCAGCACAACGGCGUGGUGGUGGUGGAGGAGCGUGGCAAUCCAGCAGGGCUUCGCCAAGCACCAUGGGAGAGGAGGAGCAGGGAGAGAGGUAGGGCUGUGCCAGAACUUCGUGUAUAGCUCCCAUGCGCCUCCCCACUAUAUAUAGGGGUGGAGGGGCUGGUUUCUUGCCCUCCAAGUCCAUUGGGGCGUUGGCCAAGGUGGGAGGAAAUAAAUCUCAUUAUUUCCUUCCCCACCGAUUGUUAUCCCCCCUUUUUAGGGAUCUUGAUCUUAUCCCUUCGGGAUAUGAUCUUAUUCCUUCUAAGGGGGGAUCUUGGUGCGCCUUGACCAGGGGUGUGGGGCCUUGCCCCCACUACCCACGUCCAUGUGGGUCCCCCCAUGCAGGUGGGCCCCACUCUGGAACCUUCUAGAACCUUCCCGGUACAAUACCAAAAAAUCCCGAACAUUUUCCGGUGGCCAAAAUAGGACUUCCCAUAUAUAAAUCUUUACCUCCGGACCAUUCCGGAACUCCUCGUGACGUCCGGGAUCUCAUCCGAGACUCCGAACAACAUUCGGUAACCACAUACAAACUUCCUUUAUAAUCCUAGCGUCAUCGAACCUUAAGUGUGUAGACCCUACGGGUUCGGGAGACAUGUAGACAUGACCGAGACGUUCUCCGGUCAAUAACCAACAGCGGGAUCUGGAUACCCAUGAUGGCUCCCACAUGUUCCACGAUGAUCUCAUCGGAUGAACCACGAUGUCAAGGACUUAAUCAAUCCCGUAUUCAAUUCCCUUUGUCUAUCGGUAUGUUACUUGCCCGAGAUUCGAUCGUCGGUAUCCAAUACCUUGUUCAAUCUCGUUACCGGCAAGUCACUUUACUCGUUCCGUAACACAUCAUCCCGUGAUCAACUCCUUGGUCACAUUGCGCAUAUGAUGAUGUCCUACCGAGUGGGCCCAGAGAUACCUCUCUGUUUACACGGAGUGACAAAUCCCAGUCUCGAUCCGCAUAAAACAAUAGAUACUUUCGGAGAUACCUGUAGUGCACCUUUAUAGUCACCCAGUUACGUUGUGAUGUUUGAUACACCCAAAGCACUCCUACGGUAUCCAGGAGUUACACGCUCUCAUGGUCGAAGGAAGAGAUACUUGACAUUGGCAAAGCUCCAGCAAAUGAACUACACGAUCUUUUGUGCUAGUCUUAGGAUUGGGUCUUGUCCAUCACAUCAUUCUCCUAAUGAUGUGAUCUCGUUAUCAACGACAUCCAAUGUCCAUAGCCAGGAAACCAUGACUAUCUGUUGAUCACAACGAGCUAGUCAACUAGAGGCUCACUAGGGACAUAUUGUGGUCUAUGUAUUCACACGUGUAUUACGAUUUCCGGAUAAUACAGUUAUAGCAUGAAUAAAAGACAAUUAUCAUGAACAAGGAAAUAUAAUAAUAAUACUUUUAUUAUUGCCUCUACGGCAUAUUUCCAACAGUCUCCCACUUGCACUAGAGUCAAUAAUCUAGUUCACAUCGCCAUGUGAUUAACACUCACAGGUCACAUCACCAUGUGACUAAUACCCAAGAGUUUACUAGAGUCAGUAGUCUAGUUCACAUCACUAUGUGAUUAACACUCAAUGAGUUUUAUGUUUGAUCAUGUUGCUUGUGAGAGAGGUUUUAGUCAACGGGUCUGAACCUUUCAGAUCCGUGUGUGCUUUACAAAUCUCUAUGUCAUCUCCUAGAUGCAGCUACCACGCUCUAUUUGGAGCUAUUCCAAACAACUGUUCUACUUGGAGCUAUUCUAAAUUAUUGCUCCAUUAUAUGUAUCCGGUCUCUCUACUCAGAGCUAUCCGGAUAGGUGUCAAGCUUGCAUCGUCGUAACCUUUACGAUGAACUCUUUUACCACCUCCAUAAUCAAGAAAAUUCCUUAGUCCACUAGUUACUAAGGAUAACUUUGACCGCUGUCCUGUGAGUCAUUCUUGGAUCACUCUUGUACCCCUUGACUGACUCAUGGCAAGGCACACUUCAGGUGCGGUACACAGCAUAGCAUACUGAAGAGCCUACGUCUUAAGCAUAGGGGACGACCUUCGUCCUUUCUCUCUAUUCUGCCGUGGUCGAGCUUUAAGUCUUAACUUCGUACCUUACAACUCAGGCAAGAACUCCUUCUUUGACUGGUCCAUCUUGUACACCUUCAAGAUCAUGUCAAGGUAUGUGCUCAUUUGAAAGUAUUAUUAAGCAUUUUGAUCUAUCCUUAUAGAUCUUGAUGCUCAAUGUUCAAGUAGCUUAAUCCAGGCUUUCCAUUGAAAAACACUUUCAAAAUAACCCUAUAUGCUUUCCAGAAAUUCUACGUCAUUUCUGAUCAACAAUAUGUCAACAACAUAUACUCAUCAGAAAUUCUAUAGUGCUCCCACUCACUUCUUUGGAAAUACAAGUUUCUCAUAAACUUUGUACAAACCCAAAAUUUUUGAUCAUCAUCAAAGCAUACAUUCCAACUCCGAGAUGCUCACUCCAGUCCUUAGAAGGAUUGUUGGAGCUUUGCAUACUUAUUAGCAUCUUUCGGGAUUGACAAAACCUUUCGGUUGUAUCACAUACAACCUUUCCUCAUUAAAAUCGUCGAGGAAACAAUGUUUUGACAUCCUAUCUGCAAGAUUUCAUAAAUAAUGCAGUAAUCGCUAAUAUAAUUCCAACAGACUCUUAGCAUCGCUACGAGUGAGAAAAUCUCAUCGUAGUCAACUCCUUGAACUUGUCGGAAAACAUCUUAACGACAAGUCGAGCUUUCUUAAUGGUGACAUUUACCAUCAUUGUCCGUCUUCCUUUUGAAAUCCAUCUGUACUCAUUAGCCUUACGACCAUCGAGCCGUUCUGCCAAAGUCUACACUUUGUUUUCAUACAUGGAUCCUCUCUCGGAUUUAAUGGCCUCAAGCCAUUUAUCGGAAUCCGGGUCCACCAUCGCUUCUCCAUAGCUCGUAGGUUCAUUGUUGUCUAGCAACAUGACCUUCAAGACAGGAUUACGUAUCACUCUGAAGUAGUACGCAUCCUUGUCAUCCUACGAGGUUUGGGAGUGACUUGAUCCGAAGUUUCAUGAUCAAUAUCAUAAGCUUCCACUUCAAUUGGUGUAGGUGCCACAGGAACAACUCCCUGUGCCCUGUCACACACUAGUUGAAGAGACGGUUCAAUAACCUCAUCAAGUCUCCACCAUCCUCCCACUCAAUUCUUUCGAGAGAAACUUUUCCUCGAGAAAGGACCCGAUUCUAGAAACAAUCCAUAUUGCUUUCGGAUCUGAAUUAGGAGGUAUACCCAACUGUUUUGGGUUUCCUAUGAAGAUGCAUUUUAUCCGCUUUGGGUUCGAGCUUAUCAACCUGAAAAUUUUUCAUAUAAGCGUCGCAGCCCCAAACUUUUAAGAAACGACAACUUAGGUUUCUCUAAACCAUAAUUCAUACGGUGUCAUCUCAUCGGAAUUAUGUGGUGCCCUAUUUAAAGUGAAUGUGGUUGUCUCUAAUGCCUAACCCAUGAACGAUAGUGGUAAUUCUAUAAGAGACAUCAUGGUACGCACCAUGUCCAAUAGGGUGCAACUAUGAUGUUCGGACACACCAUCACAUUAUGGUGUUCCAGGCGGUAUUAAUUGCGAAACAAUUUCCACAAUGUCUUAAUUGUGUGCCAAAACUCGUAACUCAGAUAUUCAUCUCUAUGAUCAUAUCAUAGACAUUUUAUCCUCUUGUCACAAUGAUCUGCUACUUCACUCUGAAAUUACUUGAACCAUUCAAUAAUUCAGACUUGUGUUUCAUCAAGUAAAUAUACUCAACAUUUACUCGAAUCAUCUGUGAAGUAAGAACAUAAUGAUAUUCACUGCAUGCCUCAGCACUCAUUCGAAUGCACACAUCAAAAUGUGUUACUUCCAACAAGUUGCUAUCUUGUUCCAUCUUACUGAAAAUGAGGCUUUUCAGUCAUCUUGCCCAUGUGGUAUGAUUUGCAUAUCUCAAGUGAUUCAAAAUCAAGUGAGUCCGAACGAUCCAUUUGCAUGGAGUUUCUUCAUGCAUAUACACCAAUAGACAUGGUUCGCAUGUCUCAAACUUUUCAAAAACGAGUGAGUCCAAAGAUCCAUCAACAUGGAGCUUCUUCAUGUGUUUUAUACCAUUAUGACUUACAUGGCAGUGCCACAAGUAAGUGGUACUAUCAUUACUAUCUUAUAUCUUUUGGCAUGAAAAUGUGUAUCACUACGACCGAGAUUCAAUAAACCAUUCCUUUAGGUGCAAGACCAUUGAAGGUAUUAUUCAAAAAUAGAGUAACCAUUAUUCUCCUUAAAUGAAUAACCGUAUUGCGAUAGACAUAAUCCAAUCAUGUCUAUGCUCAACGCAAACACCAAUCUCGGUGGUAGAGGGAGCGUGCGAUGCUUGAUCAUAUCAACCUUGGAAACACUUCCAACAUAUAUCGUCAGCUCACCUUUAGCUAGUCUCCGUUUAUUCCGUAGCUUUUAUUUCGAGUUACUAACACUCAGCAACCGAACCGGUAUCCAAUACCCUGGUGCUACUAGGAGUACUAGUAAAGUACACAUUAACAUAAUGUAUAUCCAAUAUACUUCUAUCGACCUUGCCAGCCUUCUCAUCUACCAAGUAUCUAGGGUAAUGCUGCUCCAGUGGUUGUUCCCCUUAUUACAGAAGCACUUAGUCUCGGGUUUGGGUUCAACCUUGGGUUUCUUCACUAGAGCAGCAGCUGAAUUGCCGUUUCAUGAAGUAUCCCUUUGUUCCCUUGCCCUUCUUGAAACUAGUGGUUUCACCAACCAUCAACAAUUGAUGCUCCUUCUUGAUUUCUACUUUCGCGGUGUCAAACAUCAUGAAUAUUUCAAGGAUCAUCAUAUCUAUCCCUGAUAUGUUAUAGUUAAUCACGAAGCUCUAGCAGCUUGGUGGCAAUGACUUUGGGGAACAUCACUAUCUCAUCUGGAGGAUCAACUCCCACUCGAUUCAAGUGAUUGUUGUGCUCAGACAAUCUGAGCACAAGCUCAACGAUUGAGCUUUUAUCCCUUAGUUUGCAGGCUAAGAAAAUCGUCGGAGGUCUUAUACCUCUUGACGUGGGCACGAGCCUGAAAUCCCAAUUUCAGCCCUCGAAACAUCUCAUAUGUUCCGCGACGUUUUGAAAACGUCUUUGGUGCCUCUACUUAAACCAUUUAAUUGAACUAUCACGUAGUUAUCAAAACGUGUAUGUCCGAUGUUCGCAACAUCGACAAACGACGUUGGGGUUCAGCACACUGAGCGGUGCAUUAAGGACAUAAGCUUUCUACUGAUCGCAUAAUCGCUACUAUCAACUUUCAACUAUAUUUUCUCUAGGAACAUAUCUAAACAGUGGAACUAAAGCGCGAGCUUACGACAUAAUUUGCAAAAGGUCUUUUGACUAUGUUCAGGAUAAUUAAGUUCAUCUUAUGAACUCCCACUUAGAUAGACAUCCCUCUGGUCAUCUAAGUGAUCACAUGAUCCGAGUCAACUAGGCCGUGUCCGAUCAUCACGUGAGACGGACUAGUCAUCAUCGGUGAACAUCCUCAUGUUGAUCGUAUCUACCAUACGACUCAUGCUCGACCUUUCGGUCUCCGUGUUCCGAGGCCAUGUCUGCACAUGCUAGGCUCGUCAAGUUAACCCUAAGUGUUUUCGCUGUGUAAAACUGUCUUACACCCGUUGUAUGUGAACGUAAGAAUCCAUCACACCCGAUCAUCACGUGGUGCUUAGAAGCGACGAACUGUAGCAACGGUGCACAGUUAGGGGAGAACACUUCUUGAAAUUUUGUAAGGGAUCAUCUUAUUUACUACCGUCGUCCUAAGCAAACAAGAUGCAUAAACAUGAUAAACAUCACAUGCAAUCAAAUAGUGACAUGAUAUGGCCAAUAUCAUUUUGCUCCUUUUGAUCUUCAUCUUCGGGGCUCCAUGAUCAUCAUCGUCACCGGCACGACACCAUGAUCUCCAUCAUCGUGUCUUCAUGAAGUUGUGACGCCAACGACUACUUCUACUUCUAUGACUAACGCGUUUAGCAAUAAAGUAAAGUAGUUUACAUGGCGUUCUUCAAUGACACGCAGGUCAUACAAUAAAUAAAGACAACUCCUAUGGCUCCUGCCGGUUGUCAUACUCAUCGACAUGCAAGUCGUGAAUCCUAUUACAAGAACAUGAUCAAUCUCAUACAUCACAUAUCAUUCAUCACAUUCUUCUUGGCCAUAUCACAUCACAUAGCAUACCCUGCAAAAACAAGUUAGACGUCCUCUAAUUGUUGUUGCAUGUUUUACGUGGCUGCUAUGGGUUUCUAGCAAGAACGUUUCUUACCUACGCAAGACCACAACGUGAUAUGCCAAUUUCUAUUUACCCUUCAUAAGGACCCUUUUCAUCGAAUCCGUUCCGACUAAAGUGGGAGAGACUGGCACCCGCUAGCCACCUUAUGCACCAAGUGCAUGUCAAUCGGUGGAACCUGUCUCACGUAAGAGUACGUGUAAGGUCGGUCCGGGCCACUUCAUCCCACAAUACCGUCGAAACAAGAUUGGACUAGUAACGGUAAGCAUAUUGAACAACAUCAACGCCCACAACUACUUUAUGUUCUACUCGUGCAAAGAAUCUACGCAAUAGACCUAGCUCAUGAUGCCACUGUUGGGGAAUGUAGCAGAAAUUCAAAAUUUUCCUACGUGUCACCAAGAUCUAUCUAUGGAGAGACCAGAAACGAGUAGAAAGAGAGUGCAUCUACAUACCCUUGUAGAUCGCUAAGCGGAAGCAUUCAAGUGAACGGGGUUGAUGGAGUCGUACUUGUCGUGAUUCAAAUCACCGAUGAUCCUAGUGCCGAACGGACGACACCUCCGCGUUCAACACACGUACAGCCCGGUGACGUCUCCCACGCCUUGAUCCAGCAAGGAGAGAGGGAGAGGUUGAGGAAGACUCCAUCCAACAGCAGCACAACGGCGUGGUGGUGGUGGAGGAGCGUGGCAAUCCAGCAGGGCUUCACCAAGCACCAUGGGAGAGGAGGAGUAGGGAGAGAGGUAGGGCUGUGCCAGAACUUCAUGUAUAGCUCCCAUGCGCCUCCCCACUAUAUAUAGGGGUGGAGGGGCUGGUUUCUUGCCCUCCAAGUCCAUUGGGGCGUUGGCCAAGGUGGGAGGAAAGAAAUCUCAUUAUUUCCUUCCCCACCGAUUGUUAUCCCCCCUUUUUAGGGAUCUUGAUCUUAUCCCUUCGGGAUAUGAUCUUAUUCCUUCUAAGGGGGGAUCUUGGUGCACCUUGACCAGGGGUGUGGGGCCUUGCCCCCACUACCCACGUCCAUGUGGGUCCCCCCAUGCAGGUGGGCCUCACUCCGGAACCUUCUAGAACCUUCCCGGUACAAUACCGAAAAAUCCCGAACAUUUUCCAGUGGCCAAAAUAGGACUUCCCAUAUAUAAAUCUUUACCUCCGGACCAUUCCGGAACUCCUCGUGAUGUCCGGGAUCUCAUCCGGGACUCCGAACAACAUUCGGUAACCACAUACAAACUUCCUUUAUAACCCUAGCGUCAUCGAACCUUAAGUGUGUAGACCCUACGGGUUCAGGAGACAUGUAGACAUGACCGAGACGUUCUCCGGUCAAUAACCAACAGCGGGAUCUGGAUACCCAUGAUGGCUCCCACAUGUUCCAUGAUGAUCUCAUCGGAUGAACCACGAUGUCAAGGACUUAAUCAAUCCUGUAUUCAAUUCCCUUUGUCUAUCGGUAUGUUACUUGCCCGAGAUUCGAUCGUCGGUAUCCAAUACCUUGUUCAAUCUCGUUACCGGCAAGUCACUUUACUCGUUCCGUAACACAUCAUCCCGUGAUCAACUCCUUGGUCACAUUGCGCAUAUGAUGAUGUCCUACCGAGUGGGCCCAAAGAUACCUCUCCGUUUACACGGAGUGACAAAUCCCAGUCUCGAUCCGCAUAAAACAAUAGAUACUUUCGGAGAUACCUGUAGUGCACCUUUAUAGUCACCCAGUUACGUUGUGACGUUUGAUACACCCAAAGCACUCCUACGGUAUCCAGGAGUUACACGCUCUCAUGGUCGAAGGAAGAGAUACUUGAAUUGGCAAAGCUCUAGCAAAUGAACUACACGAUCUUUUGUGCUAGUCUUAGGAUUGGGUCUUGUCCAUCACAUCAUUCUCCUAAUGAUGUGAUCCCGUUAUCAACGACAUCCAAUGUCCAUAGCCAGGAAACCAUGACUAUCUGUUGAUCACAACGAGCUAGUCAACUAGAGGCUCACUAGGGACAUAUUGUGGUCUAUGUAUUCACACGUGUAUUACGAUUUCCGGAUAAUACAGUUAUAGCAUGAAUAAAAGACAAUUAUCAUGAACAAGGAAAUAUAAUAAUAAUACUUUUAUUAUUGCCUCUAGGGCAUAUUUCCAACAGACUAUGUACUCAUCCAUUCGCUCCUUGAUUUUGGAAAGUUUGUUUGUUGAUGCACUAAGGGCGAUAAUCUGCGAAGUGUGUCAUCAUUUGCUUAAUUAAUAGCAGAAUAUAUGCUUCAUAUUUACACACUAAGACUAUAUUUUCAGUUUGGGUUCUCGUGACUAACCUCCUUAACAUCCUCGGAUGUGAUUCUUCCAUCACCAUUUUGUCAACCCUGAACAAAGUGCACCUAUAUAUCAAGAGUGAAGGAAACCAAGAAAAAACAUUUAGCAGAAGUGAACUACUAACAUGUCGAUGCAUGUUUUGUGACGGUUGUCGAAACCCUAGUGAUUGAGUUGCUCCCAGAGCUCUUUCAGCUCCACCUUGGUUAGCACUUCACUGUCCCUCUCUUCCUCGCCAGUGAAUCGAACAACCUCGUCGUUGUCUCUGAACCAGGUGGUCUUUGUGGCAUGUUGCUGCUUGAACCUUCUAAUUAAGCUGCCACUGUUUGUGUUUGGGAUCAGCAUUGCAGUGUCAGAAUUAGUGGCUCACUUGGCAGCUUCAGUGUCAGACGUGUCCUUCUUUACCUACCUCUAGAACAACUUCUCCUCCUUGCUCAAAGGAGAAGUUGGUCACUGAUACGUCCAUUUUGCAUCAUGCUUUUAUGAUAAUAUUUAUUGCAUUAUGGGAUGUUAUUUCAGGUUAUGUCACAAUACUUAUGGCUAUUCUCUUUUAUUUUACAAGGUUUAUAUGAAGAGGGAGAAUGUCGGCAGCUGGAAUUCUGGGCUGGAAAAGGAGCAAAUAUUGGAGGCCUAUUCUACGCAACUCCAAAAGUCCUGAAACUCCACGGAGUACCUUAAAAUAAAUAAAGAAAAAUCGUCGCUAAAGAUGAAGGCCAGGGGGCCCACACCCUGCUCACGAGGGUGGGGGCGCCCCCCUGGGCGCGCCCCCCUACCUCGUGGGCCCCCUGGUGGCUCUCCGACGCCCAUCUUCUCCUAUAUGAAGUCUUUCGAUGAGAAAAAAAUAGAAGGCAACCUUUCGGGACGAGACUCCGCCGCCACGAGGCGGAACCUUGGCGGAACCAAUCUAGGGCUCUGGCGGAGCUGUUCUGCCGGGGACAAUUCCCUCCGGAAGGGGAAAUCAUCACCAUCGUUAUCACCAACGCUCCUCUCAUCGGGAGAGGGCAAUCUCCAUCAACAUCUUCACCAGCACCAUCUCAUCUCCAAACCCUAGUUCAUCUCUUGUAUCCAAUUCUUGUCUCCAAGUCCGGGAUUGGUGCUAGUAGUGUUAAUUACUCCUUGUAGUUGAUGCUAGUUGGUUUAUUUGGUGGAAGAUCAUAUGUUCAGAUCCUUUAUACACUUUAUUACCCCUCUGAUUAUGAACAUGAAUAUGCUUUGUGAGUAAUUACGUUUGUUCCUGAGGACAAGGGAGAAGUCUUGCUAUUAGUAGUCAUGUGAAUUUGGUAUUCGUUCGAUAUUUUGAUGAGAUGUAUGUUGUCUAGCCUCUAGUGGUGUUAUGUGAACAUCGACUACAUAACACUUCACCAUUAUUUGGGCCUAGAGGAAGGUAUUGGGAAGUAAUAAGUAGAUGAUGGGUUGAUAGAGUGACAGAAGCUUAAACCCUAGUUUAUGCGUUGCUUCGUAAGGGGCUGAUUUGGAUCCAUAUGUUUCAUGCUAUGGUUAGGUUUACCUUAAUACUUUUGUUGUAGUUGCGGAUGCUUGCAAUAGAGGUUAAUCAUAAGUGGGAUGCUUGUCCAAGUAAGGGCAGUACCCAAGCACCGGUCCACCCGCAUAUCAAAUUAUCAAAGUACCGAACGCGAAUCAUAUGAACGUGAUGAAAACUAGCUUGACGAUAUUCCCAUGUGUCCUCGGGAGCACUUUUCCUAUUAUAAGAGUUUGUCCAGGCUUGUUCUUUGCUACAAAAAGGAUUGGGCCACCUUGCUGCACUUUAUUUACUUUUGUUACUUGUUGCUCGUUAUAAUUUAUCUUAUCACAAAACUAUCUGUUACCACUUAUUUCAGUACUUGCAGAGAAUACCUUGCUGAAAACUGCUUAUCAUUUCCUUCUGCUCCUUGUUGGGUUCGACACUCUUACUUAUAGAAAGGACUACAAUAGAUCCCCUAUACUUGUGGGUCAUCAAGACUCUUUUCUGGCACCGUUGCCGGGGAGUGAAGCGCCUUUGGUAGGUGAAAUUUGGUAAGGAAAAAUUUAUUUAGUGUGCUGAAAUUUUCUGUCACUUGUUACUAUGGAAAGUAAUUGUCCGAGGGGCUUGUUUGGGGUAUCUUCACCCCGUCCAGCAGAGCAAAGAGUUGCUCCUCAACCUACUCAACCUACUGAACCUAUUGAAAAUGAAACUCCUUUUAAGAUUUCUUUGGGUUUGAUGGAAAAACUGCUAGCUAACACUUUUACAGGAGAUGGAACAAAGCAUCCUGAUGAACAUCUAUGCUAUGUGGAUGAUGUUUGUGGACUAUUUAAGCUUGCAGGUAUACCCGAUGAUGUUGUUAAAAAGAAGGCUUUCCCUUUAUCUUUAAAGGGAGACACAUUGACAUGGUAUAGGCUAUGUGAUGAUACGAGAUCAUGGAACUAUAAAAGAUUGAAAGUGGAAUUUCAUCAAAAGUAUUACCCUAUGCAUCUUAUUCAUCAUGAUCGCAAUUAUAUAUAUAAUUUUUGGCCUCGCGAAGGAGAAAGCAUCGCUCAAGCUUGGGGGAGGGUUAAAUCAAUGUUAUAUUCAUGCCCCAAUCAUGAGCUCGCAAGAGAAGUAAUUAUGCAAAAAAAUUAUGCUCGGCUUUCUGAUAACAAUCGCACCAUGCUUGAUACUUCUUGUGUUGGCUCUUUUAUGAUGAAGACUAUUGAAUUUAGAUGGAACUUAUUGGAUAGAAUUAAACGCAACUCUGAAGAUUGGGACCUCGACGAAGGUAAGGAGUCAGGUAUGACACCUAAGUUUGAUUGUGUUAAAUCUUUUAUGGAUACCGAUAUUUUCCGUAAGUUUAGCACUACAUAUGGACUUGACUCUGAGAUAGUAGCUUCUUUCUGUGAAUCUUUUGCUACUUAUGUUGAUCUUCCCAAGGAGAAGUGGUUUAAAUAUCAUCCUCCCAUAGAAGUAAAAGUACCUGCACCUAUUAAAGUUGAAGAAAAGAUUGUCACUUAUAAUGAUCCUAUUGUUCCCACUUCUUAUGUUGAGAAACCACAUUUCCCUGUUAGAAUGAAAGAUCAUGCUAAAGCUUCAACUGUUGUUCGUAAAAGCAAUAUUAGAACUUAUACACCUCUUGAGCAAGUCAAAGUAGAACCUAAUAUUGCUAUUGUUAAAGAUCUCGUGUCUGAUAAUAUUGAUGGGCAUGUUAUUCAAUUCUGUGGUGAAACUGCCAGAACUGCUAAACCUUGUGUUAGAGAUAAACAUAGACCUGUGGUAGGCGUGCCUAUUAUUUCUGUUAAAAUAGGAGAUCAUUGUUAUCAUGGCUUAUGUGAUAUGGGUGCUAGUGCUAGUGCAAUACCCAUUGACUUAUACAGAGAAAUUAUGCAUGAUAUUGCACCUACUGAGUUAGAAGAAAUUAAUGUCACAAUUAAACUUGCUAAUAGAGAUACUAUUUCUCCAGUGGGAAUUGUUAGAGAUGUUGAAGUCUUGUGUGAAAAAACCAAAUAUCCCGCUGAUUUUCUUGUUCUUGGUUCUCCGCAAGAUAGCUUUUGUCCCAUUAUAUUUGGUAGACCCUUCUUGAAUACUGUGAAUGCUAAGAUAGACUGCGAAAAGAAUGUUGUUACUAUUGGCUUGGAUGAUAUGGUUCAUGAGUUUAAUUUCUCUAAAUUUAGUAAACAACAUCGUGAGGAAGAAUUGCCUAGUAAGGAUGAAAUUAUUGGUCUUGCUUCCAUUGCCGUACCUCCUAGUGAUCCUUUAUAACACUAUUUGCUAGACCAUGAGAAUGAUAUGUUCAUGAAUGAAAGAAGGGAAAUAGAUGAAGUAUUCUUUAAACAGGAACCUAUCCUGCAACACAAUUUGCCUGUUGAAAUCCUAGGGGAUCCUCCUCCACCCAAGGGUGAUCCCAUGUUUGAGCUUAAACCAUUGCCUGAUAAUCUUAAAUAUGCUUAUCUUGAUGAAAAUAAAAUAUAUCCUGUCAUUAUUAGCGCUAACCUUUCAGAGCAUGAAGAAGAAAGAUUAUUGAAAACUCUGAAGAAGCACCGUGCCGCUAUUGGAUAUACACUUGAUGAUCUUAAGGGCAUUAGUCCCACUCUAUGUCAACAUAAAAUAAAUCUGGAAGCGGAUGCCAAACCAGUUUGUGAUCCUCAACGACGUUUGAAUCCUAAAAUGAAAGAAGUGGUAAGAAAAGAAAUACUCAAGCUUCUGGAGGCAGGUAUAAUUUAUCAUGUUGCUGAUAGUCAGUGGGUAAGUCUUGUCCAUUGUGUCCCUAAGAAGGGAGGUAUUACUGUUGUCCCUAAUGAUAAAUAUGAAUUGAUUCCGCAAAGAAUUAUCACAGGCUAUAGGAUGGUAAUUGAUUUCCGUAAGUUAAAUAAAGCUACUAAGAAAGAUCAUUACCCCUUACCUUUUAUUGAUCAAAUGCUAGAAAGAUUACGCAAACAUACACAUUAUUGCUUUCUAGAUGAUUAUUCUGGUUUCUCUCAAAUACCUGUGUCAGCUAAAGAUCAAUAAAAGACUACUUUUACAUGCCCUUUUGGUACUUUUGCUUAUAGACGUAUGCCUUUCGGUUUAUGUAAUGCACCUUCUACCUUUCAAAGAUGCAUGAUGGCUAUAUUCUCUGACUUUUGCGAAAAGAUUUUUGAGGUUUUCAUGGAUGACUUUUCCGUCUAUGGUUCCUCUAUUGAUGAUUGCUUGAGAAAUCUUGCUCGAGUUUUGCAGAGAUGUGAAGAGACUAAUCUUGUCUUGAAUUGGGAAAAGUGCCACUUUAUGGUUAAUGAAGGUAUUGUCUUGGGGCACAAAGUUUCUGAAAGAGGUAUUGAAGUUGAUAAAGCCAAGGUUGUUGAUAUUGAAAAGAUGGCAUGUCCCAAGGACAUCAAAGGUAUAAGAAGUUUCCUUGGUCACGCCGGAUUUUAUAGGAGGUUCAUUAAGGACUUCUCAAAAAUUUCUCGGCCUCUGACUAAUUUAUUACAAAAAGAUGUACCGUUUGUCUUUGAUGAUGAUUGUGUAGAAGCAUUUGAAAUACUUAAGAAAGCAUUAGUCUCUGCACCUGUUGUUCAGCCACCUGAUUGGAAUUUACCCUUUGAAAUUAUGUGUGAUGCUAGUGAUUAUCCUGUAGGUGCUGUUCUAGGGCAACGAGUUGAUAAGAAAUUGAAUGUUAUCCAUUAUGCUAGUAAGACUCUGGACAAUGCUCAAAGAAACUAUGCUACUACCGAAAAGGAACUUUUAGCAGUUGUAUUUGCUUGUGAUAAAUUCAGACCCUAUAUUGUUGAUUCUAAAGUAACUAUUCACACUGAUCAUGCUGCUAUGAAAUAUAUUAUGGAAAAGAAGGAUGCAAAACCUAGACUCAUUAGAUGGGUUCUCUUGCUGCAAGAAUUUGAUUUGCAUAUUGUUGAUAGAAAAGGAGCUGAGAACCCCGUUGCAGAUAACUUACCUAGGCUAGAGAAUGUUCUUGAUGACACACUACCUAUUGAUGAUAGCUUCCCUGAUGAACAAUUAAAUGUCAUAAGCACUUCUCGUAGCACUCGAUGGUAUGCUGAUUAUGCUAAUUAUAUUGUCGCUAAAUUUAUACCACCUAGCUUCACAUACCAGCAAAAGAAAAAGUUUUUCUUUGAGUUGCGACACUACUUUUGGGAUGACCCACAUCUUUAUAAAGGAGUAGAUGGUGUCAUUAGACGUUGUGUACCUGAGCAUGAACAGGAAUAGAUCCUAUGCAAGUGUCACUCCGAAGCUUAUGGAGGACACCAUGCUGGAGAUAGAACUGCACAUAAGGUAUUGCAAUCUGGUUUUUAUUGGCCUACUCUCUUCAAGGAUGCCCGUAAUUUUGUUUUGUCUUGCGAUGAAUGUCAAAGAAUUGGUAAUAUUAGUAGACGUCAAGAAAUGCCUAUGAAUUAUUCACUUGUUGUUGAGCCAUUUGAUGUUUCGGGCUUUGAUUAUAUGGGACCUUUUCCCGCCUCUAAUGGAUACACACACAUUUUAGUUGCUGUUGAUUACGUUACUAAGUGGGUAGAAGCUAUUCCAACUAGUACUGCUGAUCAUAACACUUCUAUUAAAAUGCUUAAGGAAGUUAUUUUUCCGAGGUUUGGAGUCCCUAGAUAUUUAAUGACUGAUGGUGGUUCACACUUUAUUCAUGGUGCUUUCCGUAAGAUGCUUGCUAAAUACAACGUUAAUCAUAGGAUUGCAUCCCCUUAUCACCCGUAGUCCAGUGGUCAAGUAGAGUUGAGCAACAGGGAGCUCAAAUUAAUUUUGCAAAAGACUGUUAAUAGGUCUAGAAAGAAUUGGUCCAAGAAACUUGAUGAUGCAUUAUGGGCCUAUAGAACUGCAUAUAAAAAUCCUAUGGGUAUGUCUCCGUACAAAAUGGUCUAUGGAAAAGCUUGCCACUUACCUCUCGAACUAGAACAUAAGGCAUAUUGGGCUAUUAAAGAGCUCAACUAUGAUUCCAAACUUGCCGGUGAGAAGAGGUUAUUUGAUAUUAGCUCACUUGAUGAAUGGAGAACCCAAGCUUAUGAAAAUGCCAAGUUGUUUAAAGAAAAAGUUAAAAGAUGGCAUGACAAAAGGAUACAAAAGCGUGAGUUUAAUGUAGGUGAUUAUGUAUUGCUAUACAACUCUCGUUUAAGAUUUUUUGCAGGAAAACUUCUCUCCAAAUGGGAAGGUCCCUACGUUAUCGAAGAGGUCUAUCGUUCCGAUGCCAUAAAAAUCAACAACUUCGUAGGCACAAAUCCGAAGGUGGUAAACGGUCAAAGGAUCAAACUCUAUAUCUCAGGUAAUCCUAUAAAUGUUGAAACCAAUAUUAUUGAAACCGUAACCCCGGAGGAAUACAUAAGGGACAUUUUCCAACCCGCUUCGGACUCCAAAAAGGAAUAGGUAUGUGGUACGGUAAGUAAACCGACUCCAAAACAAUUUUUAAGGCAAUAUUUCUCCGUUUUGGAAUAUUUAGAAAAAUAGAAAAAUGACUAGCAGUCCGGGGAGGACACGAGGCCUCCACGAGGGUGGAGGGCGCGCCCCCCUACCUCGUGAGCACCUUGUGUGCCCUCCGGACUCCGUUCCCUUGCACGAUACAUAUUUUGGUCGGUAAAAAUUCAUUAUUUAUACUCCCGAAGGUUUUGACUCUCGUAUCACACAAAUCUCCCCUGUUCUUGUUUCGAGCUGUUUCUCUGACAGGUCUAGAUCAUCAUGGCGACCCCAAGUGCUUCCAAGGACAAGUUCUUCGAGAAGGUGAUCAACUCUUACCUCGCGGAGGUGCUGUGACACCCUCAAACCAUUGAGAUGCAUGAUGGGUUGCUGCACAUCCGCGAUGCUGAGGGACCAAAGGGAACCGGGAGCAUGGAGUCGAGGCUCGAAGCAAUGGAGCAACAAGUGUUCAAGUGUCAGGGGAUGGUGGAGCGUGGAAUCAACGCUACCCACAAGAUGCUCGCGGAGUUCACCAACAACUAUGAGCUAGAUGCCAAGAAGACCGAGGAGGUCAUCUUCAAGCUACAUGAGAAGAUCGAGAACCUCCAAGCCCAAAUCUAUGAUCUGCAAAACCAAAACUUUGAGUAUGAAUAUAGAUUCAAAAGGAUGAGUUUGGCUGCAGAUUUGAGGAUUCCGGAGACUCGAUCAUCCUUCUAUGAUGGUGAGCCUAUGCCAUGGAAGGUGGACGACAAGCUCGCUUCAUCAACAAUACCUCCACCGCCAAAAACAAAGGAGAAGACAUAAUCAUAUGGGUAUGGGCACUCCCCUUGGCAACUGCCAGGCUUGGGGGAGGUGCCCUGGUAUCGUAUCACCAUCACAACUCCUAUCUUUACCGUUUUUCUUAGUUCGAUCCUAUUAGUAGUAUCUUGAUUUAGUAGAAUAAAGUCAUGGCAUGAUCUAGUUUUGAUUUUUGCUUUACAAUCCUUCUUUGUAAUCGAGCUAUAUAAUAAAUAUUAGUGUUGAGUCAAGGGCUUGAUUGUUUUGCCAUGAUUUUGGGUGAAUAGAAGAAAAGAAUAAAAGAAUCAAAGAGUUCAUAUUGAUCUUAGUGAAAGUAAUGACUUCACAUAGAAAGAGUGUGAUGAUCAAAAGUUGUUGGGAGUUAGCAAUUAUAGCUUUGGUCAUCGUUGCAAUUAAUAGGAAGUAAUAAGGAAAGAGAUGUUUCACAUAUAGAUAUAUUAUCAUUGACAUCUUUUAUGAUUGGGAGCACUCAUUAAAAUAUGACAUGCUAAAGAGUUGAGGUUGGACAAGAAAGACAACAUAAUGAGCUAUGUUUUCUUACAUCCGAGAUAAAGUAUGUUGUCAUGGAUCCUCUACCGUGUUGAGCUUGCCUUUCCCCCUCUUGCUAGCCAAAUUCUCAGCACCAAGUAGAAAUACUACUUGUGCUUCCAAAUACCCUUAAACCAGUUUUGCCAUGAGAGUCCACCAUACCUGCCUAUGGAUUGAGUAAGAUCCUUCAAGUAAGUUGUCAUCGGUGCAAGCAAUAAAAAUUGCUCUCUAAAUAUGCAUGACUUAUUAGUGCAGAGAAAUAAGCUUUCUACGAACUUGUUGUGGACGCAAUAAAAGCGACGAACUGCAUAAUAAAGGUUCACAUACAAGGGGAAAUAUAAAGUGAUGUUCUUUUGCAUUAAGAUUUUGUGCAUCAACCCUAAACGCGCAUGACAACCUCUGCUUCCCUCUACGAAGGGCCUAUAUUUUCUCUACCUUAUACAAGAGUCAUGGUGAUCUUCACCUUUCUUUUUCAUUUUAUCCUUUGGCAAGCUCAGCAUGUUGGAAAGAGUAUGAUAUAUAUAUAUAUAUAUCUAAUUGGAUGUAGGGAGCAUGAAUUAUUAUUGUUGACAUUACCCUUGAGGUAAGAGGUUGUGGGGCAAAACUAUAAGCCCCUAUCUUUCUCUGUGUCCGACUAAAACUCCGUAACCACAAGUACCGCGUGAGUGCUAGCAAUUAUGAAGGACUAAGUGAUAGUUGAGUAUGUGGACUUGCUUUCAAGCUCUGACAUAGACUCUUUCCGAUGUUAUGAUAAAUUGCAUUGCUUCAAUGACCAAGGGUAUAACUUGCUGGUGCUCAAUAAGGUUUCUGAUUCGUGCUUUGGCUUUGUGAAAAGAUCAUCACUUGAACAUGAGUAAUCAUAUGACAAAAUCUUUAUAUGUUGCUGUUAUGAAAUAAUCAUGAUGCCUUCAUGUCCGUAUUUUAUUUUUAUCGACACCUCUACCUAUAAACAUGAUGACAUAUUUAUUGUUAUCGGCUUUUCGCUUGAGGACACGCGAGGUCUAAGCUCGGGGGAGUUGAUACAUCCAUUUUGCAUCAUGCUUUUAUGAUAAUAUUUAUUGCAUUAUGGGCUGUUAUUUCACGUUAUGUCACAAUACUUAUGGCUAUUCUCUUUUAUUUUACAAGGUUUAUAUGAAGAGGGAGAAUGCCGGCAGCUGGAAUUCUGGGCUGGAAAAGGAGCAAAUAUUGGAGGCCUAUUCUAUGCAACUCCGAAAGUCUUGAAACUCCACGGACUGCCUUAAAAUAAAUAAAGCAAAAUCAUCGCCAAAGAUGAAGGCCAGGGGGCCCACACCCUGCUCACGAGGGUGAGGGGCGCCCCCCUAGGCGCGCCCCCUACCUCAUGGGCCCCCUGGUGGAUCUCCGAUGCCCAUCUUCUCCUAUAUGAAGUCUUUCGAUGAGAAAAAAAAUAGAAGGCAACCUUUCGGGAUGAGACUCCGCCGCCACGAGGCGGAACCUUGGCGGAACCAAUCUAGGGCUCUGGCGGAGCUGUUCUACCGGGGACAAUUCCCUCCGGGAGGGGGAAAUCAUCACCAUCGUCAUCACCAACGCUCCUCUCAUCGGGAGAGGGCAAUCUCCGUCAACAUCUUCACCAGCACCAUCUCAUCUCCAAAUCCUAGUUCAUCUCUUGUAUCCAAUUCUUGUCUUCAAGUCCGGGAUUGGUGCUAGUAGUUUGCUAGUAGUGUUAAUUACUCCUUGUAGUUGAUGCUAGUUGGUUUAUUUGGUGGAAGAUCAUAUGUUUAGAUCCUUCAUGCACUUUAUUACCCCUCUGAUUAUGAACAUGAAUAUGCUUUGUGAGUAAUUAUGUUUGUUCCUGAGGACAAGGGAGAAGUCUUGCUAUUAGUAGUCAUGUGAAUUUAGUAUUCAUUCGAUAUUUUGAUGAGAUGUAUGUUGUGUAGCCUCUAGUGGUGGUAUGUGAAUGUCGACUACAUAACACUUCACCAUUAUUUGGGCCUAGAGGAAGGCAUUGGGAAGUAAUAAGUAGAUGAUGGGUUGCUACAGUGACAGAAGCUUAAACCCUAGUUUAUGUGUUGCUUCUUAAGGGGCUGAUUUGGAUCCAUAUGUUUCAUGCUAUGGUUAGGUUUACCUUAAUACUAUUGUUGUAGUUGCGGAUGCUUGCAAUAGAGGUUAAUCAUAAGUGGGAUGCUUGUCCAAGUAAGGGCAGUACCCAAGCACCGGUCCACCCACGUAUCAAAUUAUCAAAGUACUGAACGCGAAUCAUAUGAACGUGAUGAAAACUAGCUUGACGAUAUUCCCAUGUGUCCUCGGGAGCACUUUUCCUAUUAUAAGAGUUUGUCCAGGCUUGUCCUUUGCUACAGAAAGGAUUGGGCCACCUUGCUGCACUUUAUUUACUUUUGUUACUUGUUGCUCAUUACAAUUUAUCUUAUCACAAAACUAUCUGUUACCACUUAUUUCAGUACUUGCAGAGAAUACCUUUCUGAAAACUGCUUAUCAUUUCCUUCUGCUCCUCGUUGGGUUCGACACUCUUACUUAUUGAAAGGACUACGAUAGAUCCCCUAUACUUGUGGGUCAUCAGUCACUAACUGUUUUUUUUCAGCGAAUCAAAACUUGCAGCAAAUGUGUCUCCACAAAUAGAAAGGUAAAUAAAAAUAGAUGUUUCGAUUGUACUUGUAAUAACUUAAGAUACAUGAAUAGAAAUUACAAGAGAAGAGAUCUCACUUUCUAUUUUCCAAGCGCUCAGAUCUACCUAGCUCAAUUAAGAACUCAUCUCUCCAUGGGGGGGGGCAUCAUCAACUGGAGUAACUUUUUUUACAUCAAAGGGAAAAAGAGCAAAGUUUAUACCUUAAACCCGAGAGAGACAUCGGGCCCUAAUUGGAACCGGGAGCAAAGAGAACCCUUAAUAAAUACUCCCUCUGUCUCAAAAUAUAAGGCAUUUUUGACACUUUUGAGACAUAGGGAGUACAAACCAAGUUGUCUGGGACCUAAACGCAUGAGGUAAAGCAGCAACCAACACUGGCACUGGUCACUGGUGUCUGCUCUACUCCUCUGAUUGCUACUUGCUGGCCUUGUGACAAAUGACACAGGGGAAAUUGGUUAGUGCAUGGUUGCACUUUAGCUAUAGGAAACUUAAGGGGAAAACCCACGAUAUUCAUAUUUUUCUCUUUGAAUCAAAUCUAGAGGUAUUUUCCAAAAGAAACUUCGAAGAGAACAGAAACAACAGUAAAAAACUGUCGGCAAUCUGGAUCACGUAUUCAAAAGAAACUCCGAAGAGAACUAACCAACAUCUUCGAUUGUGCAAUUUGGAUCAUGUAUUCUGCUGAGUUGGCGUGUCUUAACCCUAGAAAUUUGGAUGUUAGGACCCGCAUUCACCAUUUUCCAACAUAGAAAACCAUUAAUUAGAGACGUAAAACAGACGGCUUAGCAUUUUGCUGUGUAACUGUUUAUUUUUUAGAAACUAUGUUCUCAAACUUCUAAUCCCGAGUAGUGUUGCAACAUGUCAAAGGAAGAAGACUAACCUGAAGAAGUGCAGGGAAGAAUUACAACUGUGUGUGGCCGGCUGGUUCAGGGGACGUUCAGGGUGGGCGCGGCGGCUCGUGUGCUAGGGCAAGCUCUUGGGCACUGGCGAUCUCGCGGAUAGAUAUUAGAAAAAAAGGUGAGUUUUUUUGCUUGUAAAAAAGAAGGUGAGGUUGUCUCUUGUUAGUUGGGUUUUCAUUGGUCGUGGAAAUCAUAUCUAGCAAUCUGAUGGGGCUGCGUGCAGCUUCAAAACUCGAGCAGAUGGUUGCAUAAUAGUCUUGUUGUAGCCUGGCCGAUCUGUGAAUAUUUGAUUGUAGGUGAAGGAGGGUGAUACGUCCAUUUUGCAUCAUGCUUUUAUAUCAAUAUUUAUUGCAUUAUAGGCUGUUACUACACAUUAUGUCACAAUACUUAUGCCUUUUCUCUCUUAUUUUACAAGGUUUACACGAAGAGGGAGAAUGCCGGCAACUGGAAUUCUGGGCUGGAAAAGGAGCAAAUACUAAAGACCUAUUCUGCACAACUCCAGAAGUCUUGAAACUCCACGAAAGUCAGUUUUGGGCGAAGAAAGCACCAGAGGGGGGCCACCCAGCAGCCACGAGGGUGGAGGGCGCGCCCUACCCCCUGGGCGCGCCCCAUGCCUCAUGGGCCACCUGUUAGGCCCCCGAUGCCCAUCUUCCGCUAUAUGGUGUCUUUUGCCCUGAAAAAAAAUCAUAAGGAAGCUUUCGGGACGAAGCGCCGCCGUCUCUAGGCGGAACCCUUGCGGAACCAGUCUAGGGCUCCGGCGGAGCUGUUCUGCUAGGGAAACAACCCUCCGGGAGGGGGAAAUCGUCGCCAUCAUCAUCACCAUCGAUCCUCUCAUCGAGAGGGGGUCAAUCUCCACAUCUUCGCCAGCACCAUCUCCUCUCAAACCCUAGUUCAUCUCUUGUAUCCGAUCUUUGUCCCAAAACCUCAGAUUGGUACCUGUGGGUUGCUAGUAGUGUUGAUUACUCCUUGUAGUUGAUGCUAGUUGGUUCAUUCGGUGGAAGAUCAUAUGUUCAGAUCCUUUAUGCAUAUUAAUACCUCUUUGAUUAUGAACAUGAAUAUGAUUUGUGAGUAGUUACCUUUGUUCCCGAGGACAUGGGAGAAGUCUUGUUAUAAAUAAUCAUGUGAAUUUGGUAUUCGUUCGAUAUUUUGAUGAGAUGUAUGUUGUCUUUCCUCUAGUGGUGUUAUGUGAACAUCGACUACAUGACACUUCACCACUGUUUGGGCCUAGGGGAAGGCAUUGGGAAGUAGUAAGUAGAUGAUGGGUUGCUAGAGUGACAGAAGUUUAAACCCUAAUUUAUGCGUUGCUUCGUAAGGGGCUGAUUUGGAUCCAUAUGUUUCAUGCUAUGGUUAGGUUUACCUUAAUUCUUCUUUCGUAGUUGCGGAUGCUUGUGAGGGGGGUUAAUCAUAAGUGGGAUGCUUGUCCAAGGAAGGGCAGUACCCAAGCACCGGUCCACCCACAUAUCAAAUUAUCAAAGUAACGAACGCGAAUCAUAUGAGCAUGAUGAAAACUAGCUUGACAGAAAUUCCCAUGUGUCCUCAGGAGCGCUUUGCUUUAUGUAAGAGUUUGUCCAGGCUUGUCCUUUGCUACAAAAGGGAUUGGGACACCUUGCUGCACCUUAGUUACUUUUUAUUACUUGUUACCCGUUAUGAAUUACCUUAUCACAAAACUAUUUAUUACCGAUAAUUUCAGUGCUUGCAGAGAAUACCUUACUGAAAACCGCUUGUCAUUUCUUUCUGAUCCUCGUUGGGUUUGACACUCUUACUUAUCAAAAGGACUACGAUAGAUCCUCUGUACUUGUUGUUCAUCAGAGGGGCAGCCGCCCACUCGACGGUGCUGAUCAGGGCGGCGAGGGAGCCCGGCAGGUAGGCGUCAAUGCAGUGCAGGGCGGCGACGAUCCGAUGCAGGGAUCACGAUUGCCGUGUAGGGAGGCGUCGAUGUAGUGCAGGUUUGGCGAUGAAAGGCGGGGAGAGGGCGAGGGACACGAUUAGGUUGAGUUUUCUUUUUUGCGUGUUGGUUAUAUGGUUAGAUUAGCAUGAUUUCAGGGGCUGCGGAGGCUGGUCAGGGAGUUUCAUAUUUUCAUCUGGUGGAGUACGGUCAAUCUAUGUAAACUGCUAAGCGCAUACCAGAUGUCGAAUAAAUUAAUGAUGGCUGUUAGAUGGGGUCGUUCGGGUUUCAUCCUAUGGUGUUGAUGCGGGUGACGUGGCUGUGGACGUUUUGUGGGGUGCACUUAAGAAAGUUCUUGCUUGAUUGUUUAAUAGUAGUGGAGAUAAUAUAGUCAGUUUCAUAAUUAUUCACCAAAGAAAAUUAGUAUGAUGAUACAAUGCAAAAUUAGCUCUUAGGAUUGUUGGACAAAAUAUCUCCCGUGAAGUACCCAUAAAUUUAACAUCGAGAAGACCACAAGAUAACUUGUAUGAUGACUAUAAGUGUUAAUAGUUUUAUAAAACUAUUAUCCUUUAUUUUUUUUAUAAAACUAUCAAAAUAAUAAUAACUGAAUAUUUAUUAAAACCAUUCUGCCAGUUUAAAAAACCGCACCAUACAGCCGAACCUAACACGUCCGAUAAAAAAGGAAUUAAACAAUGUCCGAUGCUAAUAUAAACCAAAUGACAAAAAGGCUAGUGAUAAUUACAAAAAAAGAAUGAACAACGCCCGGCGCUAUAUAUUAGUAUUACUUAAUUGUUACUCCCUCUGUAAAUCUAAAAUGUCUUAUAUUAGUUUACAGAAUAGUACUUGACUAAAGAGCCAUCGAUAAAGAAAGAAAAAGGGAAGAAAGAACUGGACACACCGACGCUCUUUGCCUCGUGCCUCCCUCUUACACCUCACACAUCACCAAACCUUAUCAUUUCAUUGUCUCCCCACUGCUCCUAGAAAAUCAAAAGAAAAAUAAAACGCUAGCAAAAAGGCCGGCGCAGAGCGCCACCACCCACCACACAAACAGCCAGCCGCUGCCGUCCUCGGUCCUCCCGACGGCCGGCGAUGGCGACCCUGGGCGUGCUACUGCUGCUGCUCCGGAGGAACGCUCACCUAGAGCAGGAUCUCGACCUUCGCUUCCGCCUCUUCCGCUACUGGGACUCCCUACCCGAUGGGCACGCCUAGUUCCUUCGCGCCAACGCCUCCGCCAUCGGCCCCUCAUUGGCAACCCCGAUGCCGCAUCGAUGUGCCGCCGUCCUUCUCUGUGGGGACGGACUACGUCGACCUCCCAAGUACCGGGAGCGCCGCACCCGCGUCACCAACAUCCCCAACUUCCUCACCGACGACGUUGCCGGCCUCGCUAUCUUUGUGCCAAGGGAGACCGCGCAGGCUGACUGCUACAUGCACGCCGGCUUGUGGAAGGCAAGAGGAACUACACAGUCACCACGCUGGUUGGUAUCCGAUGCUUUUGCCUUGACUUCUGUUCAUAUUUUUCCCUUAAUAUAAAUGAAACUUAAAUACAGUAUAUCUUAAUCGAUACUUUUAGUGGAUACAUGGUCGAUGGCACAAGUUAUUACUUACUGGUGAGACAUCGCCUGUCGAGAUGGCGAGGCUUCGCUUGGACAUACACAUACCUCUAUGUAGCCCAAAUCGUUAGGGUCAAAUUCUUGCUGACGAGGACUGUGUACUCAUACGCUCGCUCCUUGAUAUUUGAAAGUUUGUUUGCUGGCGAAGUGUGUCAUCAUUUGCUUAAUUAAAAGCAAAAUAUAUGCUUCACAUUUACACACUAAGACUAUAUUUUCAGUAUGGUUUCUUGUGACUAACCUCCUUAACAUCCUCGGAUGUGAUUCUUCCCUCAGCAUUUUGUCAACCCUGAACAAAGUGCACCUAUAUAUCAAGAGUGUAGGAAACCAAGAAAAAACAUUUAGCAGGAGUGAACUACUAACAUGUCGAUGCAUGUUUGGUGACGGUUGUCGAAACCCUGGUGAUUGAGUUGCUCCCAGAGCUCUUUCAGCUCCACCUUGGUCAGCACUUCAUUGUCCCUCUCUUCCUUGCCAGUGAAUCGAACAACCUCGCCGUUGUCUCUGAACCAGGUGGUCUUUGUGGCCUUUGCUGCUUGAACCUUCUAAGCUCCCACUAUUUGUGUUUGGGAUAAGCGUUGCAGUGUCAGAAUCAGUGGCUCACUUGGCAGCUUCAGUGUCAGACAUGUCCUUAUUUACCUACCUCUAGGACAACUUCUCCUCCCUACUCAAAGGAGAAGUUGGUCACUAACUGUCUUUUUCAGCGAAUCAAAACUUGCUGCAGAUGUGUCUCCACACAUAGAAAGGUAAAUAAAAAUAGAAGUUACGAUUGUACUUGUAAUAACUUAAGAUACAUGAAUAGAAAUUACAAGAGAAGAGAUCUCACUUUCUAUUUUCCAACCGCUCAGAUCUACCUAGCUCAAUUAAGAACUCAUCUCUCCAUGNNNNNNNNNNNNNNNNNNNNNNNNNNNNNNNNNNNNNNNNNNNNNNNNNNNNNNNNNNNNNNNNNNNNNNNNNNNNNNNNNNNNNNNNNNNNNNNNNNNNNNNNNNNNNNNNNNNNNNNNNNNNNNNNNNNNNNNNNNNNNNNNNNNNNNNNNNNNNNNNNNNNNNNNNNNNNNNNNNNNNNNNNNNNNNNNNNNNNNNNNNNNNNNNNNNNNNNNNNNNNNNNNNNNNNNNNNNNNNNNNNNNNNNNNNNNNNNNNNNNNNNNNNNNNNNNNNNNNNNNNNNNNNNNNNNNNNNNNNNNNNNNNNNNNAAUUGGACUGAACCCCAAGUGGAGAAACAAACAUACACUAACUAACAAUCAAGUACAUUUUUUUUACGUCAAAGGGAAAAAUAGCAAAGUUUAUACCUUAAACCCGAGAGAGACAUCGAGCCCUAAUUGGAACCGGGAGCAAAGAGAACCCUUAAUUAAUACUCCCUUUGUCUCAAAAUAUAAGGCAUUUUUGACACUUUUGAGACAUAGGGAGUACAAACCAAGUUGUCUGGGACCUAAAAAGCAUGAGGUAAAGCACCAACCAACAAUGGCACUUGGCACUAGUCACUGGUGUCUACUCUACUCCUCCGAAUGUGAAUCGCUGGCCUUGCGACAAAUGACACGGGGGAAAUUGGUUAGUGCAUGGUUGCACUUCAGCUAUAGGAAACUUAAGGGAAAAACCCACGAUAUUCAUAUUUUUCUCUUUGAAUCAGAUCUAUAGGUAUUUUCCAAAAGAAACUUCGAAGAGAAUAGAAACAACAGUGAAAAACUGUCGGCAAUCUGGAUCACGUAUCCGAAAGAAACCCUGAAGAGAACUAACCAACAUCUUUGAUUGUGCAAUCUGGAUCACGUAUUCUGCUGAGUUGGGGUAUCUUAACCCUAGAAAUUUGGAUGUUAGGACCUGCAUUCACCAUUUUCCAACAUAGAAAACCAUUAAUUAGAGAUGUAAAACAAAUGGCUUAUAGUUUUCUGCUGUGCAAUUGUUUAUUUUUUAGAAACUAUGUUCUCAAAAUUCUAAUCCCGAGUAGUGUUGCAACAGGUCAAAGGAAGAAGUCUAACCUGAAGAAGUGCAGGGAAGAAUUACAACUGCAUGUGGUCGGCUGGUUCAGGGGACGUUCAGGGUGGGCGCGGCGGCUCAUAUGCCGGGGCAGGCUCUUGGGCACUAGCGAUCUCGCAGACGGAUAUUAGAAAAAAAGGUGAGUUUUUUUGCUGGUAAAAAAAGCAGGUGAGGUUGUAUCUUGUCAGUUGGGUUUCCAUUGGCUGUGGAAAUCAUACCUGGCGAUCUGAUGUGGCUGCCUGCAGCUUCAAAACUCGAGCAGAUUGCUGCAUAGUAGUCUUGUUCUAGCCUGGCCGAUCGGUGAAUAUUUGAUUGUAGGUGAAGGAGGGGCGGCCGCCCACUCGACGGUGCUGAUAAGGGCGGCGAGGGAGCCCGGAAGGUAGGCGUCGAUGCAGUGCAGGUCGACGACGAUCCGAUGCAGGGAUCAAGGUCGCCGUGUAGGGAGGCGUCGAUGCAGUGCAGGGUUGGCGAUGAAAGGCAGGGAGAGGGCGAGGACGCGAUUAGGUUGAGUUUUCUUUUUCGCGUGGUGGUUAGAUGGUUAGAUUAGUGUGAUUUGAGGGGCUAUGGAGGCUGGUCAGGGAGUUUCGUAUUUUCAUCUGAUGGAGUACGGUUAGUCUAUGUAAACUGCUAAGCGCACACAAGAUCUCGAAUAAAUUAAUGAUGGUUGUUAGAUGGGGUCGUUCGGGCUUCACCCUAUGGUGUUGAUGUCGGUUACGUGGUUGUGGACGUUUUGCAGGGUGCACUUAAGAAAGUUCUUCUUUGAUUGUUUAAUAGUAGUGGAGAUAAAAUAGUCAGUUUCAUAAUUAUUCACCAAAGAAAAUUAGUAUGAUGAUACAAUGCAAAAUAUAGCUCUUAGGAUUGUUGGACAAAAUAUAUCCGGUGAAGUACCCAUAUAUUUAACAUCCAGAAGACCACAAGAUAACUUGUAUGAUGACUAUAAGUGUUAAUAGUUUUAUAAAACUAUUAUCCUUUAUUUAUUUAUAAAACUAUCAAAAUAAUAAUGACUGAAUAUUUUUUAAAACCAUUGUGACAGUAUAAAAAAACCGCACCAUACAGCCGAACCUAACACGUCCGAUAAAAAAGGAAUUAAACAAUGUCCGAUGCUAAUAUAAACCAAAUGACAAAAAUGGUAGUGAUAAUUAUGAAAAAAGAAUGAAUAACGCCCGACGCUAUAUAUUAGUAUUACUUAAUUAUUACUCCCUCUGUAAAUAAAUAUAAGACGUUUUAGACAGAGUAGUACUUGACUAAAGAGCCAUCGAUAAAGAAAGAAAAAGGAAAGAAAGAACUGGACACACCCGAUGCUCUUUGCCUCGUGCCUCCCUCUUACACCUCACACAUGACCAAACCUUAUCCUUCCAUUGUCUCCCCACCGCUCCUAGAAAAGCAAAAGAAAAAUAAAACGCUAGCAGAAAGGACGGCGCGGAGCGCCAACACCCACCACACAACAGCCAGCCGCUGCCGUCCUCGGUGCUCCCGGCGGUCGGCGAAGGCAACCCUGGGCAUGCUGCUGCUGCUGCUCCGGAGGACCGCUCACCUGGAGCAGGAGCUCGACCUUCGCUUCCGCCUCUUCCGCUACUGGGACUGCCGUGCCAACGCGCAUGCCUAGUUCCUUCACGCCAACGCCUCCGCCAUCGGCACCGUCAUUGGCAACCCCGAUGUCGCAUCGAUGCACCGCCGUCCUUCUUUGUGGGGAUGGACUGCGUCCACCUCCCAAGUACCGGGAGCGCCGAAUCCGCGUCACCAACAUCUCCAACUUCCUCACCGACGACGUUGCCGGCCUCGCCAUCUCUGUGCCAUCUAAGACCACACAUGCUGACCGCUACAUGCGCGCCGGCUUGUGGAAGGCAAGAGGGACUACACAGUGACCACGCGGGUUGGUAUCCGAUGCUUUUCCGUUGACUUCUGUUCAUAUUUGUUUCCUUAAUAUAAAUGAAACUUAAAUACAAUAUAUCUUAAUUGAUACUUUUAGUGGAUACAUGGUCGAUGUCACAAGUUAUUACUUACUGGUGAGACAUCGCACGUCGACAUGGCGAGGCUUCGCUCGGACAUACACAUAUUGCUACCUCUUGAAGAGGAAAGGGUGAUGCAGCAAAGUAGCAUAAGUAUUUUCCUCAGUUUUAAGAACCAAGGUAUCAAUCCAGUAGAAGAUGACGCACAAGUCACCGAAUACCUGCACAAAUAAUCAAGAAUUUGCAACCAAAACGAUAAAGGGGUUGUCAAUCCCUUCACGGUCACUCGCAAAAGUGAGAUCUGGUAGAGAUAAUAAAGUAAAUAUUUUUGGUAUUUUUGGUUUAUAGAUUGGAAAGUAAAGAUUGCAAAAUAAUAGAUCAGAAACUAGCAAGAUGUAAACAAGAUUUAAUAUAAUGGGAAAAGAGACCCGGGGGGCAUAGGUUUCACUAGUGGUUUCUCUCGAGAUAGCAUAUAUUAUGGUGGGUGAACAAAUUACUGCCGAACAAUUGAUAGAAAAGCGCAUAAUUAUGAUGACAUCUAAGGCAAUGAUCAUGAACAUAAGCAUCACGUCUGUGUCAAGUAGACCGCCUCCUGCCUGCAUCUACUACUAUUACUCCACCCAUCGACCACUAUCAAGCAUGCAUCUAGAGUAUUAAGUUCAUAAAGAACGGAGUAACGCAUUAAGCAAGAUGACAUGAUGUAGAGGAAUUAACUCAAGCAAUAUGAUGAAAAUCCCAUCUCGUUAUCCUCGAUGGCAACAAUACAAUACGUGCCUUGCUGCCCCUACUGUCACUGGGAAAGGACACCGCAAGAUUGAAUACAAAGCUAAGCACUUCUCCCAUGGCAAGAAAGAUCAAUCUAGUAGGCCAAACUAAACCGAUAAUUCGAAGAGACUUGCAAAGAUAUCAAAUCAUGCAUAUAAGAACUCAGAGAAGAACCAAAUAAUAUUUAUAGAUAAUCUUGAUCAUAAAUCCACAAUUCAAUAGAUCUCGGCAAACACACCGCAAAAGGGUAUUACAUCGAAUAGAUCUUCGAGAACAUCGAGGAGAACUUUGUAUUGAGAAUCAAAGAGAGAGAAGAAGCCAUCUAGCUAAUAACUAAUGACCCGAAGGUCUGUGGUAAACUACUCACACUUCAUCAGAGAGGUAAUAGUGUUGAUGUAGAAGCCCUUCAUGAUCGAAUCCCCCUCCUACAGGACGCCGGAAAAGGCCUCAAGAUGGGAUCUCACAGGUACAGAAGGUUGCGGCAGUGAAAAACUUGUUUUGUGGCUCCCCCUGAUGUUUUUAUGGUAUAAGAGUAUAUAUAGGCGAAAGAACUAGGUCGGUGGAGCUACCAGGGGCCCAAGAGGGUGGGGGCGCGCCCUCCUGCCUCAUGGCUUCCUUGUUACGUCUCCGACUUCAUCUCCAAGUCUUCUGGUUUGCUUUCGGUCCAAGAAAAAUCAUCACGAAGGUUUCAUUCCGUUUGGACUCCGUUUGGUAUUCCUUUUUCGCAAAACUCUAAAAUAGGCAAAAAAAGAAAGUAGCACUGGGCCCUCGGUUAAUAGGUUAUGCCCAAAAAUAAUAUAAAAUAGCUUAUUAAAGCCCAUUAAACAUCCAAAACAGAUAAUAUAAUAGCAUGGCACAAUCAAAAAGUAUAGAUACGUUGGAGACGUAUCAAGCAUCCCCAAGCUUAAUUCUUGCUCGUCCUCGAGUAGGUAAAUGAUAAAACAGAAUUUUUAAUGUGGAAUGCUACGUAACAUAUUUAUCAAUGUAAUUUUUUUUGUGACAUGAAUGUUCAGAUCUGAAAGAUUCAAGACAAAAGUUUAAUAUUGACAUAAAAACAAUUAUACUUCAAGCAUACUAACUAAGCAAUCAUAUCUUCUCAAAAUAACAUGGCCAAAGAAAGUUAUCCCUACAAAAUCAUAUAGUCUGGCUAUGCUCUAUGUUCAUCACACAAAGUAUUUAAUCAUGCACAACCCCGAUGACAAGCCAAGCAAUUGUUUCAUACUUUUGAUGUUCUCAAACUUUUUCAACUUCACGCAAUACAUGAGAGUGAGCCAUGGAUAUAGCACUAUGGUGGAAUAGAAGGGUGGUUGUGGAGAAGACAAAAAGGAGAAGAUAGUCUCACAUCAACUAGGCGUAUCAACGGGCUAUGGAGAUGCUCAUCAAUAGAUAUCAAUGUGAGUGAGUAGGGAUUGCCAUGCAACGGAUGUACUAGAGCUAUAAGUGUACGAAAGCUCAAAAAGAAACUAAGUGGAUGUGCACCCAACUUGCUUGCCCACGAAGACCUAGGACACUUUGAGGAAGCCCAUCAUUUGAAUAUACAAGCCAAGUUCUAUAAUGAAAAAUUCCCACUAGUAUAUGAAAAUGACAACAUCGAAGACUCUCUAUCAUAAAAAUCAUGGUGCUCUUUGAAGCAAAAGUGUGGAAAAUGAUAGUAGCAUUGCCCCUUCUCUUUUUUUUCUCAUUUAUUUUUAUUCUAUUUUUUUAUUUGGGCCUUUUCUUUUUUUAUGGCCUCUUUUUUUUCCUUUUAUUUUUAUUUUUCAUUCGGAGUCUCAUCCCGACUUGUGGGGGAAUCAUAGUCUCCAUCAUCCUUCCCUCACUGGGACAAUGCUCUAAUAAUGAAGAUCAUCACACUUUUAUUUACUUACAACUCAAGAACUACAACUCGAUACUUAGAACAAAAUAUGACUCUAUGUGAAUGCCUCCGGCGGUGUACCGGGAUGCGCAAUGAUUCAAUAGUGACAUGUAUGAAAAAGUAUGAACGGUGGCUUGGCCGCAAAUACGAUAUCAACUACAUGAUCAUGCAAAGCAAUAUGAUAAUGAUGGAGCGUGUCAUAACAAACGGAACGGUGGAAAGUUGCAUGGUAAUAUAUCUCGAAAUGGCUAUGGAAAUGUCAUAAUAGGUAGGUAUGGUGGCUGUUUUGAGGAAGGUAUAAGGUGGGUGUAUAGUAUUAGUGAAGGUUGCGCGACACAAGAGAGGCUAGCAAUGGUGGAAGGGUGAGAGUGCGCAUAAUCCAUGGACUCAACAUUAGUCAUAAAGAACUCACAUAUUUAUUGCAAAAAUCUAUUAGUUAUCAAAACUAAGUGAUACGUGUGUGCUCCUAGGGGAUAGAUUGGUAGGAAAAUACCAUCGCUCAUCCCCGACCGCCACUCAUAAGGAAGAGAAUCAAUAAAUAAAUCAUGCUCCAACUUCAUCACAUAACGGUUCACCAUACGUGCAUGCUACGGGAAUCACAAACUUUAACACAAGUAUCUCUUAAAUUCACAACUACUCUACUAGCAUGACUCUAAUAUUACCAUCUUCAUAUCUCAAAACAAUCAUAAUGAAUCAAACUUCGUAUAGUAUUCAACGCACUUUACAUGAAAGUUUCUAUUAUACCCAUCUUGGAUGCUGCUACCUCUUGAGCUUGCGUUGGUUUUCCUUGAAGAGGAAAGGGUGAUGCAGCAUAGUAGCGUAAGUAUUUCCCUCAGUUUUUUAGAACCAAGGUAUCAAUCCAGUAGGAGGCUCCUCAAAAGUCCCAGGCACCUACACAAACAAACAAGAACCUCGCGACCAACGCGAUAAAGGGAUUGUCAAUCCCUUCACGGUAACUUGCGAAAGCGAGAUCUGAUAGAGAUAAUAUGAUAAGAUAAAUAUUUUUGGUAUUUUUAUGAUAUAGAUUGGAAUGUAAAAGAUGCAAAUAAAAGUAGAUGAAAAACUUAUAUGAUAAAAAGAUAGACCCGGGGGCCAUAGGUUUCACUAGUGGCUUCUCUCAAGAUAGCAUAAGUAUUACGGUGGGUGAACAAAUUACUGUCGAGCAAUUGAUAGAAAAGUGUAUAGUUAUGAGAUUAUCUAGGCAUGAUCAUGUAUAUAGGCAUCAUGUCCGCAACAAGUAGACCGACUCCUGCCUGCAUCUACUACUAUUACUCCACACAUCGACCGACUCCUGCCUUCAUCUAGAGUAUUAAGUUCAUGAAGAACAGAGUAACGCAUUAAGAAAGAUGACAUGAUGUAGAGGAAUAAACUCAUGCAAUAUGAUAUAAACCCCAUCUUUUUAUCCUUGAUGGCAACAAUACAAUACGUGCCUUGCUGCCCCUAUUGUCACUGGGAAAGGACACCGCAAGAUUGAACUCAAAGCUAAGCACUUCUCCCAUGGCAAGAAAGAUCAAUCUAGUAGGCCAAACCAAACUGAUAAUUCAAAGAGACUCGGAAAGAUAACCAAUCAUACAUAAAGGAAUUCAGAGGAGAUUCAAAUAUUUCCCAUAGGUAAACUUGAUCAUAAACCCACAAUUCAUUGGAUCUCGACAAACACACCACAAAAAGAGUUACAUCGAAUAUAUCUCCAAGAAUAGGAAGGAGAACUUUGUAUUGAGAAUCAAAGAGAGAGAAGAAGCCAUCUAGCUAAUAACUAUGGACCCGAAGGUCUGUGGUAAACUACUCACAACUCAUCGGAGAGGCCCUCCAUGGUCGACUCCCCCUCCGGCGGAGCACCGGCGAAGGCUCCAAGAUGGGAUCUCGCGGAUACAGAAGGUUGCGGCGGUGGAAAUAGUUUUUGUGGUGCUCCUGGAUGUUUUCGAGGUAUGUAGAUAUAUAUAGGCGAAGGAAGUCGGUCAGGGGAGCCACAAGGGGCCCACAAGGCAGGGGGGGGGCGCCCACCCUUACUGGGCGUGCCGGCCAUCCUCGUGGCCGCUUCGGCUGCUUCUUGACAUCCACUCCAAGUCUCCUGGAUUGCGUUUGUUCCAAAAAGAUCGCUCCCAAAGGUUUCAUUCCAUUUGGACUCCGUUUGAUAUUCCUUUCCUUCGAUAUACUGAAGUAGGCAAAAAACAGCAAUUCGGGUUGGGCCUCUGGUAAGAAGGUUAGUCCCAAAAAUGAUAUAAAAGUGUAAAGUAAAGCCCAUAAACAUCCAAAAUAGGUAAUAUAAUAGCAUGGAACAAUAAAAAAUUAUAGAUACGUUGGAGACGUAUCAAGCAUCCCCAAGCUUAAUUCCUGCUCGUCCUUGAGUAGGUAAAUGAUAAAAACAGAAUUUUUUGAUGUGGAAUGCUACCUAGCAUAUUUCUCAAUGUAUUUCUAUUUAUUGUGGCAUGAAUGUUCAGAUCCAAAUGAUUCAAAAUAAAAAUUCAUAUUGACAUAAGAAAUAGUAAUACUUCAAGCAUACUAACAAAGCAAUCAUGUCUUCUCAAAAUAACAUGGCAUUAGAAGGUUCAUCCCUACAAAAUCAUAUAGUUUGGCUAUGUUUCAUUUUCAUCACACAAAAUACUCCCAUCAAGAACAACCCCGGUUUCAGCCAAGCAAUUGGUUCAUACUUUUUAACGCGCUUCAGCUUUUUUCAACUCUCACACAAUACAUGAGCGUGAGCCAUGGAUAUAGCACUAUGGGUGGAAUAGAAUAUGAUUAUGGAGGUUGUGUGGAGAAGACAAAAAGGAGAAAGUCUCAUAUUGACAAGGAUAAUCAACGGGCUAUGGAUAUGCCCAUCAAUUGAUGUCAACAUGAGGAGUAGGGAUUGCCAUGCAACGGAUGCACUAGAGCUAUAAAUGUAUGAAAGCUCAACAAAAGAAACUAAGUGGGUGUGCAUCCAACUUGCUUGCUCAUGAAGACCUAGGGCAUUUUGAGGAAGCCCGUCAUUGGAAUAUAGAAGCCAAGUUCUAUAAUGAAAAAUUUCCCACUAGUAAAUGAAAAUGACAACAUAGAAGACUUUCUAUCAUAAAGACCAUGGUGCUAUUUCGAGCACAAGUGUGGAAAAAGAUAGUAGCAUUGUCCCCCCCCCCUUUUUGGGCCUUUUUUUGUUUGGCCUUUCUUUUUUUAUUAGGGACAAUGCUCUAAAAAUGAUGAUCAUCACACUUCUAUUUAAUUACAACUCAUGAAUUACAACUCGAUACUAGAACAUAGUAUGACUCUAUAUGAAUGCCUCCGGCAGUGUACGAGGAUAUGCGAUGACUCAAGAGUGACAUGUAUAAAAAUUAUGCAUGGUGGCUUUGCCACAAAUACGAUGUCAACUACAUGAUCAUGCAAAAAGCAAUAUGACAAUGAUGAUGUGUGUCAUGAUAAAUGGAAUGGUGGAAAGUUCCAUGGCAAUAUAUCUCAGAAUGACUAUGGAAAUGUCAUAAUAGGUAGGUAUGGUGUCUGUUUUGAGGAAGAUAUAAGGAGGUUUAUGUGUGAUAGAGCAUAUCGUAUCACGGGGUUUGGAUGCACCGGCGAAGUUUGCACCAACUCUCAAGGUGAGAAAGGGCAAUGCACGGUACCAUAGAGGCUAUCAAUGAUGGAAGGUGAGAGUGCGUAUAAUCGAUGGACUCAACAUUAGUCAUAAAGAACUCAUAUACUUAAUGCAAAAGUUUUAUUAGCCCUCGAAGCAAAGUACUACUACGCAUGCUCCUAGGGGGGAGGUUGGUAGGAGUUAACCAUCGCGCGCCCCCGACCUCCACACAAGGGAAGACAAUCAAAAGAGCACUCCAUGCAAUAAAUUUGUUACACAACUUUUACCAUACGUGCAUGCUACGGGACUUGCCAACUUCAACACAAGUAUUAUUUAAAUUCACAAUUACCCAACUAGCAUGACUCUAAUAUUACCACCUACAUAUCUCAAAACAAUUAUCAAGUAUUAAAUUGAUCAUAGCAUCCAAUUCACUUUCUAUGAUAGUUUUAAUUAUACCCAACUUGGAUGCCCAUCAUUCUAGGACCAAUUUUAUAACCAUAGCAAAUACCAUGCUGUUCUAAAAGACUCUCAAAAUAAUAUAAGUGAAGCAUGAUAGAUCAACAAUUUCUACAAAAUUAAACCACCGCCGUGCUCUAAAAGAUAUAAGUGAAGUACUAGAGCAAAACUAUCUAGCUCAAAAGAUAUAAGUGAAGCACCUAGAGUAUUCUAAUAAAUUUCAAAUCAAGUAUUUCUCUCCCGAUAGGUUUGUACAGCAAGGAUGAUUGUGGAAAUCUAGAAAUCAAAUACUAAUAUCAUACAAGAUGCUCCAAGCAAAACACAUAUCACGUGGUAAAUAAAAAUAUAGCUCCAAGUAAAGUUACCGAGAAACGAAGACAAAAGAGGGGAUGCCUUCCGGGGCAUCCCCAAGCUUAGGCUUUUGGUUGUCCUUGAAUAUCUUGGGGUGCCAUGGGCAUACCCAAGCUUAGGCUUUUGCCACUCCUUAUUCCAUAGUCCAACAAAUCUUUACCCAAAACUUGAAAACUUCACAACACAAAACUCAAUAGGAAAUCUCAUAAGCUCCGUUAGUGCAAGAAAGAAAAACCACCACAUAAGGUACUGUAAUGAACUCAUUAUUUAUUUAUAUUGGUGUUAAACCUACUGUAUUACAACUUCUCUAUGGUUCAUACCCCACGAUACUAGCCAUAGAUGCAUCAAAAUAAGCAAACAACACACGAAAAACAGAAUCUGUCAAAACACAACAGUCUGUAGCAAUCUGUAACUUUCGAAUACUUAAGGAACCUUAAAAAUCCUACAAAAUAGUACGUCCUAGGUAAUUUGUCUAUUGAUCUACAGAAAAAAGAAUCAAUGCAAAAGCACGUUUCUGUGGUUUAUUGAUUUUUUUCUCAUGCAAGCAAAGUUUCUGUUUUUCAGCAGAAUCAAGUUAACUUUCACCCAAGGUUAUCCUAUAGGUUCUACUUGGCACAAACACUAAUUAAAACAUAAAAACACAUCUAACCAGAGACUAAAUAAAAUAUUUAUUACUAAACAGGAACAAAAAUAAAAUUGGAUUGCCUCCCAACAAGCGCUAUCGUUUAACGCCCCUAGCUAGGCAUAAAAGCGAGAAUAGAUCUAAGUAUUGCCAUCUUUGGCAUUCAAUUCAUACGUGGCUCACAUAAUAGAUUCAUAAGGUAAUUUAAUUUUCUUUCUAGGAAAGUAUUCCAUGCCUUUCCUUAACGUAAAUUGGAAUCUAAUAUUCCCUUCCUUCAUAUCAAUGAUUGCACCGAUCGUUCUAAGGAAAGGCCUACCAAGAAUAAUAGGACACAAAAGAUUGCAAUCAAUAUCAAGAACGAUAAAAUCUACGGGCACAUAAUUCCUAUUUGCAACACUAAGAACAUCAUUGAUCCUUCCCAUAGGUUUCCUAAUGGUGGAAUCCGCAAGGUGCAAAUUUAAAGAGCAAUCAUCAAAAUCAUGGAAACCUAGCAUAUCACAUAAAGUUCUCGGAAUCGUGGAAACACUAGCACCCAAAUCACACAAAGCAUAGCAUUCAUGAUCUUUUAUUUUAAUUUUUAUACUAGGUUCCCACUCAUCAUAAAGUCUUCUAGGUAUAGAAACUUCCAAAUUAAGUUUUUCCUCAUAAGAUUGCAUCAAGGCAUCAACGAUAUGUUUAGUAAAAGCUUUAUUUUGGCUAUAAGCAUGAGGAGAAUUCAACACGGAUUGCAACAAGGAAAUACAAUCUAUUAAAGAGAAAUUAUCAUAAUUAAAUUCCUUGAAAUCCAAAGUGGUGGGUUCAUUACUAUGCAAAGUUUUAAUUUCUCCAAUCCCACUUUUACCAAUUUUAGCAUCAAGAUCAAAAUACUCCACAUUAUCGGAACGCUUUUUAACCAAAGUUGAUUUACUUCUAGUCCCAUCAUUAUCAAGAUUCAUAUUGAAAAAUAAAGAUUUAAUAGGGGACACAUCAAUAACUUUUAGAUCUUCAUCAUUAUUUUCAUGAAAACUAGAAGAACAUGCUCUAACAAAGCAAUCUUUCUUAGCACGCAACCUAGCGGUUCUUUCUUUGCACCCAUCAAUGGAAAUUCUCAUAGCUUUGAGAGACUCAUUGAUAUCAUGCUUAGGAGGAAUAGAUCUAAGUUUCAAAGAAUCAACAUCAAGAGAAAGUCUAUCAACGUAGCCAAUUCAUCAACUUUAAGCAAUUUUUCUUCAAGCAAAGCAUUAAAAUUCUUUUGAGAGAUCAUAAAUUCUUUAACAAUAAUCUAAAAAUUAGAGGGCAUCUUAUUAAAAUUUCCAUAAGAAUUGUUAUAGGAAUUACCAUAAUUAUUAGAGGAAUUAUUAGGAAAUGGUCUAGGAUUGAAGUUUCCUCUAUAAGCAUUGUUACUAAAAUUAUUCCUACCAACAAAAUUCACAUCCAUAGAUUCAUUAUUAUUGUCAAUCUAAGUAGACAAAGGCAUAUCAUUAGGAUCAAUAGUGGCACUUUUAGUAGCAAACAGUUUCAUAAGUUCAUCCAUCUUUCCACUCAAAACAUUAAUUUCCUCUAUAGCAUGAACUUUUUUACUAGUAGAUCUUUCGGUGUGCCAUUGAGAAUAAUUAACCAUAAUAUUAUGAAGGAGUUUUGUAGCUUCUCCUAAAGUGAUUUACAUAAAAGUGCCUCCUGCGGCCGAAUCUAAAAGAUUUCUAGAAGCAAAAUUUAAUCUGGCAUAAAAGUUUUUUAUGAUCUUCCAUAAAUUCAAACCAUGAGUAGGGCAACUGCGAAUCAUUAAUUUCAUUCUCUCCCAAGAUUGUGCAACAUGCUCAUGAUCAAGUUGUUUAAAAUUCCUAAUAUCAUUUCUAAGAGAGAUGAUCUUAGCGGGAGGAAAAUAUUUAGAGAUAAAAGCAUCUUUGCACUUAUUCCAAGAAUUAAUACUAUUUUUAGGCAAAGACGAAAACCAAGUUUUUGCACGAUCUCUAAGUGAAAAUAGAAAUAACUUCAAUUUAACAAUAUCAUUAUCCAUAUCUUUCUUCUUUUGCAUAUCACACAAAUUAACAAAAUUGUUUAGAUGAGUAGCGACAUCUUCACUAGGAAGGCCGGAGAAUUGAUCUUUCAUAACAAGACUCAACAAAGCAGCAUUGAUUUCACAAGUUUCAACAUCAUUAAGAGGAGCGAUCGAAGUGCUAAGGAAAUCAUUAUUAUUGGUAUUGGAAAAGUCACACAAUUUGGUAUUAUCUUGCGCCAUCGUGACAAGCAAUCCAACACACAAGCACACAAAAGGCAAGCGAAAGAGAGAGGAGAACGGGAAAGAGAGGGUGAAUAAAACAGCAAGGGUGAAGUGGAGGAGAGGAAACCGAGAGGCAAAUGGCAAUAAUGUAAUGCGAGGGAGAUGAGUUUGUGAUGGGUACUUGUAUGUCUUGACUUGAGCGAAGACCUCCCCGGCAACAGCGCCAGAAAUCCUUCUUGCUACCUCUUGAGCUUGCGUUGGUUUUCCUUGAAGAGGAAAGGGUGAUGCAGCAUAGUAGCAUAAGUAUUUCCCUUAGUUUUUGAGAACCAAGUCAUCAAUCCAGUAGGAGGCUCCUCAAAAGUCCCACGCACCUACACAAACAAACAAGAACCACGCAACCAACGCGAUAAAGGGGUUGUCAAUCCCUUCACUGUAACUUGCGAAAGUGAGAUCUGAUAGAGAUAAUAUGAUAAGACAUAUAUUUUUGGUAUUUUUAUGAUAUAGAUUGGAAAGUAAAAGAUGGAAAUAAAAGUAGAUGAAAAACUUAUAUGAUAAAAGAUAGACCCGGGGGCCAUAGGUUUCACUAGUGGCUUCUCUCAAGAUAGCAUAAGUAUUACGGUGGGUGAACAAAUUACUGUCGAGCAAUUGAUAGAAAAGGGCAGAGUUAUGAGAUUAUCUAGGCAUGAUCAUGUAUAUAGGCAUCACGUCCGCAACAAGUAGACCGACUCCUGCCUGCAUCUACUACUAUUACUCCACACAUCGACUGACUCCUGCCUGCAUCUAGAGUAUUAAGUUCAUGAAGAACAUAGUAACGCAUUAAGAAAGAUGACAUGAUGUAGAGGGAUAAACUCAUGCAAUAUGAUAUAAGUCCCAUCUUUUUAUCCUCGAUGGCAACAAUACAAUACACGCCUUGAUGCCCCUACUGUCACUGGGAAAGGACACCGCAAGAUUGAACCCAAAGCUAAGCACUUCUCCCAUGGCAAGAAAGAUCAAUCUAGUAGGCCAAACCAAACUGAUAAUUCGAAGAGACUUGCAAAGGUAACCAAUCAUACGUAAAAGAAUUCAGAGGAGAUUCAAAUAUUUCUCAUAGAUAAACUUGAUCAUAAACCCACAAUUCAUUGGAUCUCGACAAACACAUCACAAAAAGAGUUACAUCGAAUAGAUCUCCAAGAAGAGGAAGGAGAACUUUGUAUUGAGAAUCAAAGAGAGAGAAGAAGCCAUCUAUCUAAUAACUAUGGACCCGGAGGUCUAUGGUAAACUACUCACAACUCAUCGGAGAGGCCUUGGUGGUGAUGGAGAGGCCCUCCAUGGUCGAGUCCCCCUCUGAUGGAGCACCAGCGAAGGCUGCAAGAUGGGAUCUCGUGGAUACAGAAGGUUGCGGCGGUGGAAAUAGUUUUUCCUGAUGCUCGUGGAUGUUUUCGGGGUAUGUAGAUAUAUAUAGGCAAAGGAAGUUGGUCAGGGGAGCCACGAGGGGCCCAUGAGGCAGGGGGGCGCCCACCCUUACUGGGCGCUAGCCACCCUCGUGGCUGCCUCGGCUGCUUCUUGACGUCCACUCCAAGUCUCCUGGAUUGCGUUUGUUCCAAAAAGAUUGCUCCCGAAGGUUUCAUUCCGUUUGGACUCUGUUUGAUAUUCCUUUCCUUCGAUAUACUGAAAUAGGCAAAAAAAACAGCAAUUCGGGCUGGGCCUCCGAUUAGUAGGUUAGUCUCAAAAACGAUAUAAAAGUGUAAAGUAAAGCCCAUAAACAUCCAAAACAGGUAAUAUAAUAGCAUGGAACAAUAAAAAAUUAUAGAUACGUUGGAGACGUAUCAGAUGCCCAUCAUAUUAGGACUAACUUUAUAACCAAAGCAAAUUACCAUGUUGUUCUAAAAGACUGAAGCAUGCAACAUCAACAAUUUCUAUAAAAUAAAACCAUCGUCGUGCUCUAAAAAGAUAUAAGUGAAGCACUAGAGCAAUAUUGUCUAGCUCAAAAGAUAUAAGUGAAGCACAUAGAGUAUUCUAAUAAAUCACGAUUCAUGUGUCUCUCUCCAAAAAGGUGUGUACAACAAGGAUAAUUGUGGUAAACUAAAAUGCAAAGAAUCAAAUCAUACAAGACGCUCCAAGCAAAGCACAUAUCAUGUGGUGAAUAAAAAUAUAGCCUCAAGUAAAGUUACCGAUAGACGAAGACGAAAGAGGGGAUGCCUUCCGGGGCACCCCCAAGCUUAGGCUUUUGGUUGUCCUUGAAUUUUACCUUGGGGGUGCGUUGGGAAUCCCCAAGCUUAGUCUCUUGACACUCCUUAUUCCAAAGUCCAUCAAAUCCUUACCCAAAACUUGAAAACUUCACAACACAAAACUUCAACAAAAAAUCUCAUGAGCUCCGUUAGUAUAAGAAAAUAAAUCACCACUUCAAGGUACUGUAAUGAACUCAUUCUUUAUUUAUAUUUGUGUAAAACCUACUGUAUUCCAACUUCUCUAUGGUUCAUACCCCCAGAUACUACUUGUCGUGGAAUUAUCACGUCAGAUGUCCUAGUGUGAGGACUUAGUCGUGGAGCCAUCGCGAUCGGGUUAGCUUAGAGGGGUUAAACCGGACAAAGGACACGGGGAGUUUAUACUGGUUCGUCCCCUUGUGGUGAAGGUGAAAGCUACGAUCCAGUUGUGGUGGAAUUGAUGUGGUCUCGAUAACCAGGGAGCGAAUACGCUUUGCCUAGUUCUCGAGUUAUUGUUUCUUGUCCCUGAACCGCCGCCGGGUCGUCCCUAUAUAUACACAAGUUGACGCCCGGCCGAUCUACAGAAUCCCGAGGCCGGCUCAUACAAGUGUUCGACUCGGUUUCUUCCUUUACCUAUCUUACAACACAAGUCACACGCCUUAUGGCGGUUUACAUCUAUGGGCCCUAAUCCGCCAUUGGGCUCUGGGCCUCUAAGCCUCCAUAGUUAAAGCGACAUAGUCUUCGUCUUCAUGGGCUUCUAUAUAGAUGACUGCUUGUGAGUAUAAUUCGGCCCCUCCUGGGCGGUUUAAACUCCGUAGUUAUAUCCCCAACAUUAGGCCCCAAAUUGGUUUGAACUUGUUCAUGUCAAUCUUCAACUUUGAGAAAUUCUAAUUUGAACAUCUUCGUGUUGACCUUGUAAAUCGCCGUGACGUCAUCUUCUGGAAUCGCUGUAAACCGCCAUGACGUCAUCUUCAUAUGCAAACCUGUAAAUGCUUUUGUUAUUAAUCGAUUUCCGAAGAUCGAGGCGACAGCUGUGCCCCAUUCUCCGUUUUGAGCUCAUCGAUUGCCGCGCCUGCCUACUUUAUCCCUUUGCCUUAUAAAUAGGUCCAACAGGUCUUCUUAUUUCCCCUUCCGCGCCUCUUCGCAUCUUCUUCUUCCUCACGACGCCCGAGCCCUAAAGCUCUGCCGCCGUCCUCGUCCUUCAAGCUCUGCAUCACCGCUGGCCGCUACAUCAACCUGAACAUACCAGAUAAAUGCGACGCCUCUUCUGCUACUCAUGUGAAGCCGAUAAGCCUUCCUUCUUCAACCCUUGAUCUGCAUUAGGGUUUCACACCUUUGUCAGUGUUCAUCAGUGUUCGUCGGCAUUCGUUGCUUUCCCUUACUGUCCCGUUGUAUCUUGACGAAUCUUGACAUCUUCUCCACGCGGCCGAAACUAUAGUUUUACUUUUCCUCACCAUAGUAUCUCUUCGUUCAUGAACAGAUCCCAUCUGGACCUUUGCUGUUCUGCUGUCGCCAUUUUAGGGCUCUGAAAUUUUCCUUUUUCUGAACUAUGCUAGAUCCGUAAUUAUAACUUUAGCCUGUGAAACCUGUUUCUACAGCACUUAGUAAUUUUCAGAUAUGUUUCUUCCAUACCACUAUAGGCAGUUUAACCUUUAGAAAAUUAUAAUCCGCCAGGUACCAUUAGCCCUCUCUCAAACCGACAACUUUACUUUAACCUUAAUAUCCGGUUUAACAUGUACAUAUGCUCUGAUUGACUCCUUCCCCCAGCAUGACACCGGUUUAUGCAUGUCAGUCAUGAACCGUAAACCGGUGUUUGAACUUCUUUUUCAGCUUGUCAUCAAAAAUGGCCAAACAGUUUUCCUCUUGCAAUUGGGUUCCCUCCCGGGUUACCGAAGAGCAACUGACAGGGUAUGUUCAGACCGGCGCUUUAGCAAACCAAGAAACCAUCCAUUGGCGAGUCCCGGGUACUGAGAAUCCUCCUGAACCUCAAGAUGGAGAAGUAAUUGUGUUUGUACAUCAUCUGGACCGAGGGUUCAGCCCUCUCGGAUCAAAAAAUUUCCGUGAAGGUUAAGGUGGCGGAAAUAUUUCUUUUGUGGCUCCUUGGAUGUAUUCGGGGUACGUAGGCUUAUAUAGGAGGAAGAAGAACGUCGGUGGAUGCCCGAGGGGCCCACGAGACAGGGGGCGCGCCCUAUAGGGGGGGCGCCCUCCUAUCUUGUGGAAGCUUCGGCUGCUUCUUGACUUACACUCCAAGUCCUCUGGAUCACGUUCGUUCCAAAAAUCACGCUACCGAAGGUUUCAUUCCGUUUGGACUCCGUUUGAUAUUCAUUUUCUUCGAAAUACUGAAAUAGGCAAAAAAAACAGCAAUACGGGCUGGGCCUCCGGUUAGUAGGUUAGUCCCAAAAAUGAUAUAAAUGUGUAAAAUAAAGCCCAUAAACAUCCAAAAUAGGUAAUAUAAUAGCAAGGAACAAUCAAAAAUUAUAGAUACAUUGAAGACGUAUCAAGCAUCCCCAAGCUUAAUUCCUGCUCGUCCUCGAGUAGGUAAAUGAUAAAAAAGAAAUUUUUGAUGUGGAAUGCUACCUAGAAUAAUUCUCAAUGUAAUUUUCUUUAUUGUGGCAUGAAUGUUCAGAUCCAAAUGGUCCAAUAUAAAAGCUUAUAAAACAUAAAAAUAAUAAUGCUUCAAAGCAUACUAACAAAUAAUCAUGUCCUAUCAAAAUAACAUAGCCAAAGAAAGCUUAUCCCUACAAAAUCAUAUAGUUAGGUCAUGCUUCAUUUCCAUUACACAAAAUACUCCCAUCAUGUACAACCCCGAUGACGAGCCGAGCAAUUGGUUCAUACUAUUUAACGCUCUUCAGCUUUUUCAACUAUUGCGCAAUACAUGAGCGCAAGCCAUGGACAUAGCACUAUGGUGGUCUAUUGUGGUGGUUGUAAGGACAAAAAGAGGGAGAAGAUAGUCUCACAUCAACUAGGCGUAUCAACGGGCUAUGGAGAUGCCCAUCAAUAGAUAUCAAUGUGAGUGAGUAGGAAUUGCCAUGCAACGGAUGCACUAGAGCUAUAAAUGUAUGAAAGGUCAACAAAAGAAAGUAAGCGGGUGUGCAUCCAACUUGCUUGCUCACGAAGACCUAGGGCACUUUGAGGAAGCCCAUCAUUGGAAUAUACAAGCCAAGUUCUAUAAUGAAAAAUUCCCACUAGUAUAUGAAAGUGACAACAUAGGAGACUCUCUAUCAUGAAGAUCAUGGUGCUAUUUUGAAGCACAAGUGUGGAAAAAGAGAUAGUAGCAAUUGUCUCUUCUCUCUUUUUCUCUCAUUUUUUUCUUUUUUUUCCUUUUUUUCUUCUUUUUUUCUUCUUUUUUUUCUUUUUUUUGUGGGCUUCUUUGGCCUCUUUUAUUUUUAUAAAGUCCGAAGUCUCAUCCCGACUUGUGGGGGAAUCAUAGUCUUCAUCAUCCUUUCCUCACUGGGACAAUGCUCUAAUAAUGAAGAUCAUCACACUUUUAUUGGUUUACAACUCAAAAAUUACAACUCAAAGCUAGAACAAGAUAUGACUCUAUAUGAAUGCCUCCGGAGGUGUACUGGGAUAUGCUAUGAAUCAAGAGCGACAUGUAUGAAAAUUAUGAAGGUGGCCUUGCCACAAAUACGAUGUCAACUACAUGAUCAUGCAAAGAGCAAUAUGAUAAUGAUGAAACGUGUCAUAAUAAACGGAACGGUGGAAAGUUGCAUGGCAAUAUACCUCGGAAUGGCUAUGGAAAUGCCAUAAUAGGUAGGUAUGGUGGCUGUUUUGAGGAAGGUAAAUAAUGGGUACAUGAUACCGGUGAAAGUUGCACGGUAAAAUAGAGUCUAGCAAAAUGGAAGGAUGAGUGUGCGUAUAUCCAUGGACUCACAUUAGUCAUAAAGAACUCAUAUACUUAUUGCAAAAGUCUACUUAGCCCUCGAAGCAAAUUACUACUACGCAUGCCCCAAGAGGGAUAGAUUGGUAGGAAAAAAUUCCAUCGCUCGUCCCCAACUGCCACUCAUAAGGAAGACACUCAAAAGAGCACCUCAUGCAACAAAUUUGUCACACAACUUUUACCAUACGUGCAUGCUAUGGGACUUGCCAACUUCAACAACAUUAUUUCUCAAUUUCAUAAUUAUCCACUAGCAUGACCCUAACAUUACUACCUUUAUAUCUCAAAACAAUUAUCAAGCAUCAAAUUGAUCCUAGCAUCCAAUUCAUUUUCUAUGAUAGUUUUUAUUAUACCCAACUUGGAUGCUCAUCAUUCUAGGACCAAAUUCAUAACCAAAGAAAAUACCAUGCUGUUCUAAGAGACUCUCAAAAUAAUAUAAGUGAAGCAUGAGAUACUAGCAAUUUCUUCAAAAUUAAUCCACCGCCAUGCUCUAAAAGAUAUAAGUGAAGUACUAGAGCAAAAACUAUCAAGCUCAAAAGAUAUAAGUGAAGCACAUAGAGUAUUCUAGCAAAUCCUAAUCAAAUAGGCUUCUCCCAAAAGGUGUGUACAGCAAGGAUGAUUGUGGUAAACUAACAAGCAAAGACUAAUAUAAUACACGACGCUCCAAGAAAAACACAUAUCAUGUGGCGAAUAAAAAUAUAGCUCCAAGUAAAGUUACCAAUGAACAAAGACGAAAGAGGGGAUGCCUUCCCGGGGCAUCCCCAAGCUUAGGCUUUUGGCUAUCCUUGAAUAUCUUGGGGUGCCUUGGGCAUCCCCAAGCUUAGGCUCUUGCCACUCCUUAUUCCAUAGUCCAUAAAAGCUUUACCCAAAACUUGAAAACUUCACAACACAAAACUCAACAAGAAAUCUUAUAAGCUCUGUUAGUGAAAGAAAACAAAACCAUCACAUAAGAUAUUGUAAUGAACUCAUUAUUUAUUUAUUUUGGUAUUAAACCUACUGUAUUCCAACUUCUCUAUGGUUUAUAAACUAUUUUACUAGCCAUAGAUGCAUCAAAAUAAACAAACAACACACGAAAAACAGAAUCUAUCAAAAACAGAAAGUCUGUAGCAAUCUGUAACUAACGAAAACUUCUGGAACUCUAAAAAUCCUACCAAAAUAGGACGUACUGGACAAUUUUUUAUUGAUCAGCAUCAAAAAGAAUCAAUGCAAAAUCUCGUUUCUGUGAUUUAUUGAUUUUUUUCUUGUGAGCGCAAAGUUUCUGUUUUUCAGUAGAAUCAAAUCAACUAUCAUCAUAGUUUAUCCUAUAGGUUCUACUUGGCACAAACACUAAAUAAAAGAUAAAAACACAUCUAAACAGAAAGUAUAUGCAAUAUUUAUUACUAAACAGGAGCAAAAACAAAAAACAUAAAGAAAAUUGGGUUGCCUCCCAACUAGCGCUAUCGUUUAACGCCCCUAGCUAGUCAUAAAAGCGAAGAUAGAUCUAAGUAGUGCCAUCUUUGGCAAUUGAUUCAUAAGUAGCCCGCAUGAUAGAUUAAUAAGGUAAUUUGACUUUCUUUCUUGGAAAGUGCUCCAUACCUUUCUUUAAUGGAAAUUGGAAUCUAAUAUUCCCUUUCUUCAUAUCAAUAAUCGCGCCAAUCGUUCUAAGGAAAGGUCUACCAAGAAUAAUAGGGCAAGAAAGAUUGCAAUCUAUAUCAAGAACGAUAAAAUCAACGGGCACCAAAUUUCUAUUUGCAACAGUUAGAACAUCAUUGAUCCUUCUCAUUGGCUUUUUAAUGGUGGAAUCCCCAAGGUGCAAAUUUAAAGAGCAAUCAUCAAGAUCAUGGGAACCUAGAAUAUCACAUAGAGUUUUCGGAAUCGUGGAAACACUAGCACCCAAAUCACACAAAGAAAAACACUCAUAAUCUUUAAUUUUAAUCUUUAUAGUAGGUUCCCACUCAUCAUUAAGCUUUCUAGGUAUAGAAACUUCCCAAUUAAGUUUUUCAUCAUAAGAUUGCAUCAAGGCAUCAACGAUAUGUUUGGUAAAAGCUUUAUUUUGACUAUAAGCAUGAGGAGAAUUAAAAACGGAUUGCAACAAAGAAAUACAACUUUCUAAAGAACAAUUAUCAUAAUAAAACUCCUUGAAAUCCGAGAUAGUGGGUUCAAUGCUAUUUAAAGUCAUGACCUCUCCAAUCCCACUUUUACCAAAUUUAGCAUCAAGAUCUAAAAACUCCGAAUUCUUGGGACGCCUUCUAGGUAAAGUUGACUCAUCAUCAGUCCCAUAAUUAUCAAGAUUCAUAUUGCAAAACAUAGAGCUAAUAGGAGACGCAUCAAUAACUUUAAGAUCUUCAUCAUUAUUUUCAUCUAACUUUUCUGGUUUUGUCGUGGAAAUAUCACGUCAGAUGUCCUCGUGAAAGGACUUAGUCGUGGAGCCAUCGCAACGGGUUAGCUUAAAGGGGUUAAACUGGACAAAGGACACGAGGGUUUUAUACUAGUUCGGCCCCUUCGAUGAAGGUAAAGGCCUACGUCUAGUUGUGUUGGGAUUAUUGGGGUUUUGAUAACCAGGGAGGUAAACACGCUAUGCCUGGCUCUCGAGUUGUUGUUUCUUGUCCCUGAACCGCCGCCGGGUCGUCCCCUUAUAUACACGGGUUGAUGCCCAGCCGGUCUACAGAGUCCGAGGCCGGCUCAUACAAGUGUCCGGCUCGGUAUCUCCUUUCCUAUCUUACAAUACAAGUUACAUGACUAUGGCAGUUUACCACUAUGGGCCCUAAUCCGCCUUUGGGCCCCAGGUCUCUAAGCUUCAUAGUAAAGCGCCAUCUUCUGGGUCUUCCUGGGCUUCAAUAUAGUUGAGUGUGAACCGGCCCCUCCUGGUAGGUUUAUACUCAGUAGUUAUAUCCCCAACAUUAGGCCCCGGAUUGAUUUGAACCUGUUCAUGUCAAUCUUCAGUACUUAGAAAAAUCCUGUGAACAUCUUCCUUCAUUUCUCGUAAACCGCCAUGAUGUCUUCUCUUAUAACUUUGUUAAACCACUGUGACGUCAUCCUGUGGACACAGCAACGGAUCAUCAUGACAUCAUCCAUGUAUAAAAAUAUUAAAAAGAUUCCCUUCAUUUAAUGAUAUCCCAGAGAUCGAGGCGACAGCUGCACCCUUUUUUGCCGCUUCAGGCUCCUCGAUUCUCGCGCCUGCCACUUAUCCUUUUCUCCUUAUAAAUAAAGCCGGCGGGUCUUUACAUUCUCUCCCCUUGCCUCUUCUUCUUCCUCUCGCAAACCCCUGCCGCUCGAGCUCUGCCGCCGCCACAGAGCGCACCGUCGUCUUCAUCCCCGGCCGCUGCAUCAUCCUGAAUCGAACCAGAGCUCGCGGCAUCCCUCCGCAGUAGAUCUGUACUGGUAAGUUUUCCCUCUUCCACACCUUUAGAUCUAUGCUAGGUUAGCGAGUUCAUCUGUACAGUUCGUUGUUCAUCUCUAUUCUUCGCAUUUGCUUUUGCCGUAGUUUCUUUGAUCCAACAACGGUGUAGAUCUCGUGCGGAAGUUGCCCCGUAUCCAUUUUUAACACUAGUAGAUCUUCCUUCUUUGUAAAGAAUCCUCAGUAAAACGCAUGAACUUCUCCAUCCUGCUUAACACCAUUAUAGGUCACAAAAAAAUUUCUUUAUUGAAGCAUGGUAGAUCCAAAAUAGUUUCAUCAUUGUGUGAAACUUGUUUAUGCAACACUUAGCAAAUUUUCAGCUCUGUUGCUUCCCUCAUAAGAGGUUUAACUCAUCGAGAAUCAUAAUCUGCCUGAUACCAUUAGCCCUCACUUAAACCGUCGUCCAACUUGUGUAGCCAUAGCCGGUUUAACAUGCUUAUUUCCCGUUUUAACUCUGGUUGAUAAACAUCAACUUUGAAUCGUAAACCGUCUUUUGUACCUUAUUUUCAGUUUGCUUUCGAAUAUGUCAAAGCAAUUCGCCGCGUGCAACUGGGUUCCGUCCCGGAUCACUGAGACACAGCUUAAUGGGUAUGUCUUAACCGGUGCUUUGGCCAAGAAAGAUGUUCUCCAUUGGCGAGUUCCUGGCCCUGAAUGUCCUCCAACACCUCAACCCGGAGAAGUGAUUGUGUUCAUGCAGCAUCUGGACCGGGGCUUUAGCCCGCCCGGUUCAAAGUUUUUCCGGGAUGUGCUCGCUAGCUUUCAACUUCAUCCUCAGGAUAUUGGACCAAACUCUGUGUCAAACAUAUGCAACUUUCAAGUAUUCUGCGAAGUUUAUCUUCAAGAGGAGCCAACCGUGGAGCUUUUCAGAGAUUUUUUCCACUUAAACCGCCGGACCGAAUUCUCUGACGGUCCCAAUACUGAACUGGGCGGCGUAUCAAUUCAAAAAAGGAAAGAAAUUGACUUUCCUCAUGCAAAACACCACAACCAUCCAAAAGACUGAAUAAUACCUGGUUUUACUGUGUGAACACUGCCCCUGCUGAGGAGAACCCUUUGCCGGGCUAUCGUGCUGAACAGCUAAGCAACAAUCAUAUACUGCCUCCAAGGCUCACCGCUAAAGAGCGGCAAGCUUAUGCUCCGCAAAUCAUUAAGCUCCGGGCCCUCCUAGCGAACUGUUUAACCGGCAUCGACCUUGCUCGAUGUUGGGUUUCAUGGGGUAUCCUUCCCUUAAGCCGUCGCUCCAGUUUGAUGUAUAAAUGUACCGGAGAUAUAAAAGACCCUCUGUGGUCCAAUGAAAUAGAAAAGACUGACGAGGAAGUUACUAAAGCGGUAAAGAAAAUGUUGGACGAACCGAUUGCUCAGUGCAGCAAGACCGGAUUGGCUCCUUUCUGUACUUCCAACAAACCACGUUAAGUAAGAUUUUUAUCCCUUUCCACCCUUAUUGAACCGUUUCUGUUUUAACUUCAGUCUGAUAAUCCUUUGCUUAUUUGUUUGCAGUCCAACAACUCUUUCUGGAAGAAAAAACCUUCAGACAAACCGGUGAGGACUCAACGCCAAAAGACUAAAGCUGUAAAGAAGGCGGGCAAGAAGAAAAUUGGCGAGUCUUCUGAUCCGCCUGAGGAUGUAAAUGAAUCGGAGAACGAGGUAGAACUUGACUCCCUUGGCUCAUUUUUUGUACAUCUUCUUGACAAUGAUUAUUACCAGGAUGAUACGGAAGCCAGACGUGCGGACCAUGUUGAGGUAAUCAUCCUUUCUUCCGAUUCAGAACAUGUGCCGGUUCAAAGACUUCGUUGUACAGUUCGAAAAGUAAAAUAUUCUCACCCUCUUGGUCAUUUGGAUCCACAAUUUUCUUUGAAGACACAGUAACAUGAAGGUCGUCGCACAACCCGAUACAGCGGCCAACAGGUCACUUCUUCCGGUUUACCGGAUACUCCAAACCGGAAGCGUUGUCCAGAGGUUUCUUGCUCCCCCGAAAGUCUUUACCCCUUGAAGGGUUGCUUCCGUGACCCUCUUAGUCCGUCUGACUCAAAUUACCAGGUGUCUUCCCAUUCUUCAUCUGGCGGUUCAUCCACCACCCAGAUGCCUCCUCUUAAGACCGUCCCUGGGUAAGGAUGUUGUCUUUAACUUUGUCUUAUUACACCGGUUUACCAAACUAACCUCUUGUGUUAAUAUCACAGUGCCAAAGCUCGUCUAAGCAAGAAGCCAAAGACCACUGUCCCAACUGAAGAAGUUGAUACGGACAGAAUUUCAGAAGGUGCUAAUAAAGAAGCUGACAUUGCCAUUGAUGAUCCUGUACCUCCAAGUCAGGAUACAUAUGUUGAAGCUCUAGAAGUCAAUCUGCCCAGCCCGCAUGCUGAUCCUCCAAGCCCAGCCAAGGGCGACAACGUGCCAAGCCCGACCAGAGAUACUGUCAAUCCGCCACCCCCUCAAAAGGUGGUGAUGAUGAUGUUGUUAUCACUGGUCAUGGUUUCACUGCCCCUGGCAAUCCAGUUGCUCUAUCAAAGCAUACUGCCAAGGAGGAAUUUGCAGCUAUGGGCAAGGGCAAAGGAAAGACAGACUUGUCCAGCUUUGUUGAUCUGAGCGCCAAGGAACUUCAUUCCGGAUUUUUAAACCGCCUCUUCACAAGCCGGGAUUAUGAGGCCGGUUUGGUGAAUUUAAUGAAAGAGCGCUAUGAGGUAAUCUUCAAAACACUUCAAUUUAGCUUGCAAUGCAUGUCCAUUCCAUAGUAGCCCCCAAGGGCCGGUUUAUCUUAAUAAGAUGAACUGGGACUUUCUGUUUAACACUUUAUCUUAUCCAUUGCCUUCAGCUUGUACUUUAACAGAUCAAUUAGGCAUUAGCCCCCAAGUGCCAAGUUGAAUACUUGUAUUGAACCUUGGGACUUUCAAAUAUCCGGUCUAAGAAGCAAUCCGCAUUAGCCCCCAAGUGCCAAGUGUAUAACUUGUUAUGUACUUGGUACUUGUAAAAAUGUUAACCGCUUUAGCAUCUUGCUUUGUAGGCUGAUAUAAAGACCAAAGAGUCUCAACUCGCCAAUCUUCAAGAAAAUAUUAAAUUCCAGCAAGAAGAGACCUUGAAAGCCAAAGAGGAGCUAAAGGGCGCUUUGACAACCAUGGAACAACUGAAAGAGGGCUUCAAAAUUGAACACACCAAUUGGGAGACUGAAAGGGCUGCUCUAUUGAAGUGGGCUGAAGACGCCGAAACGGCCCUUAAACCGGUUGAGGAAGAGCUGACUGGGCUGAAACGUCAAGUGAACGCCAUGACAACCGCCGUUUUUGGUAAGUACUUUAUAAUAGCCUCCUAUGAAGUAUUUUCAACUUUGCCGGUUUAAUAUUAAGUUCUUAAACCGUCGCAGGAAAUCGCAUUGCUCAUCUAGGCACAGAUAUACGGAUGAAGUUGAAGGCUGCGUACACAUUGAUUGAGCAACUGUAUAUGGGUGCACAACGAGACAUCUCUGCAGCUUCAUACAACAAACCGACACCCACCUUGGUCAAGGAUACCUUGGUCAGGCUCUCAAUGACUCCUGCUCAGAUAGAGGAGGUGAAGCGAUCGGCUGCCACAGCGGGCACUUUACUAGCACUGACUCGUGCCAAAUCAUGGAUAGCUGACCUGGACCCAGUUGACAUCGCCAAGGGUUAUCCGGACAAACAAGAAAACGGAGCAGCAUUUGAUAACGAUGCCCUGAAGGCUUUGACCAAGGAGAUGCGUCCAGUAGCAAGUCAGUUGGGUGACGAGGUGAAUUUGACUUCGCAUCGGUCUUUCUAUGAUGCCAACAACCAUCGAGUUGACACGGCUGUGAAGGAAGUGCGGAAUCUUAUUCCGCCAAUUCGUAAGCACACUUAUGCUCCUGACGUUGAACCGUCGAAUCUUAUAAGUGAAGAGGCUGUCUUUCAAGCUUUAACCCGGAUUGACUGGACCACCAUUGACUUCCAGCCACUGGGUGGAGAGGAGGAGGCUGAACCAACGCCUGAAGAUCCAUCAACAUUACGUCAAGCCGGCGAUGAAUCUUGAUCCGGCAGUCUGGUUAUUAUCAGACUUUGUGCUGUGAAAAACAAUUAUUAUUUUGGGCCUCAAAGCGCCUUGUAAUACGCUAGUUGAAAUACUUUGCUCUCUGGUACUGAUGCAUGACUUUGUUGAUCCGUCAUGAUAUUUGUUGUGUUUGAUUACACUAUGAUGCGAUUCUGAUAUCUGCAUAGAAAAAGUUGUGCUGGCGGUUUACCACCGGACGGGUCAUAAUGCCCAAGAUAAAGCCUGGCUGAUAACCAGAGCUGAAUAAAUAUUAGAAUAUGAAAUAAAUCAUACCUGUGAUAUGAAAUCACUUAGUUGGUUUACCAACUUCAAUUGUAGUAAGGGUGAAGACCCGAACCUUGAGUUUGUAUAACUCUCACCAUGUAAUGAUGGUGUGUAAUAAGUCAUGUCGGGUUAUGAUGAACACCAGAUGAUCAAACUGGCGACAUAUAGUCAAAGCCAGGCCGGGUUUUCAAACACCGGUUUGAUGAUAUCGUCUGGCAACAUGUAGUUGAAAGCCAAGCCGGGUUAACAAACACCGGGUUAGUAUAAUGACUGAAAAGCCAGACCGGGUCAAUAGACACCGGUUUAACAUAAAAUUCUUCCAAAAAAGAGAAAGAUCUCGACAAAGGCAAAUAAAACCGUGUAGUCAAGGCUUUUCGAGGGCUGCCAGGCCCAAAUUCGAGGCUUUUCGUGGGCUGCUAGGCCGCUGAGUUAAACCAUUUAACAAAGCCUUUUAAGAUGGACCUCCAACUAACCAAUCGUCAUUUUAACUUUGACAGGUUCAGGGUCUCAAUGAGAGUAACUGUCAAACGUUCGGCGGGUCAUGCCAGGAUUACCUGGAUAGGAGUGGCUUACUUGAUGAAGCCAGGUUAACCCGGGGUUUUAGGUGAAUACACCAGGCUUCCAAGCCAUGGGUCGAUACCCAAUUACAAGGGUCCUUUCAAACUCGUUGUUACUUUACACAAAGAGCCCCCAAGUAACUUUGUGAGCUGUGCUCAUUGGUUGCGUAUGUUUGAGCUGUGCUUAGCAUCAGACUCUCUUUGGCCCCUUGGGUGUGAAGCUCCCAAGUUGUAUUGUCGCAUGAUAGCCGGUUUAACAGGUAGUACUUCGCUUUGCCAGCUGGAGCCCCCAUGUAACUCAAAAGAUAUUUGAGAAAAAACAGCAGAGGCCCUGCUUAUAGCAAGGAUGCUGGUUUAUUAUAUUGAUCAUAAUAUAUACAUUGUCGAAAUAUGUACAUAAGAGUAGCCUAUGGCUCAAGUAUAGUAAGGCCGAAGGAGAGCUAUAUUCCACGGCCGCAGGGUCUCCACCUUAGAACAACGUGAGUUGUCUCGAACGUCAAUGAGGUAGUAUGAACCAUUGUGCAAAUUCUUGCUGACCACAAAGGGCCCUUCCCAAGGUGGGGAUAACUUGUGCAUAUCGGUCUAAUCCUGGAUGAGCCGGAGCACCAAGUCGCCUUCUUGAAAGGUUCUUGUCUUAACCCGGUGGCUGUGAUAACGCCACAGGUCUUGCUGAUAAACCGCCUAACGAGCCAAAGCCAUAUCCCAUUUUUCAUCUAACAGGUCCAACGCCUCCUGGCAUGCUUGCUCAUUGUCCGCUUCAACAUAAUUGGCAACUUGGGGCGAAUCAUGACGAAUAUCACUUGGGAGGACCGCCUCUGCCCCAUAGACCAUGAAGAAAGGUGUGUAACCCGUCGAUCUAUUGGGGGGGUGUUGAUGCUCCAUAACACAGAAGGCAAUUCUUCCACCCAACAACCCGGUGUCCGCUUUAAAGGAACCAUGAGCCGGGGCUUGAUACCCUUCAAGAUUUCUUGAUUGGCUCUCUCCGCUUGACCAUUGGACUGGGGGUGCGCCACGGAUGCUAAGUCAAGCCGGAUGUGCUCUUUCUGACAGAAAUCCUCCAUCUCACCUUUAGAAAGGUUUGUGCCAUUAUCCGCGAUCAUGCUGUGUGGACAGCCAAAGCGGAAGAUAAUCUUUUUGAGAAAUUCAACCGCCGUAGCCACAUCACACUUGCUGACAGGCUCCGCUUCAACCCAUUUGGUGAAUUUGUCAACCGCCACCAGCAGGUGGGUCUUCUUAUCCUUGGAGCGCUUAAAGGGCCCCACCAUAUCAAGUCCCCAAGUGGCAAACGGCCAAGUGAUGGGUAUCAUCCUUAAUUCUUGAGCUGGAACAUGAGCGUGGCGUGAAGACUUCUGACAAGCGUCACACUGCUUUACCAGAUCCUCCGCAUCAGCAUGAGCUGUUGAUAUGUCCAUUUUGCAUCAUGCUUUUGUGAUAAUAUUUAUUGCAUUAUGGACUAUUAUUUCACGUUAUGUCAUAAUACCUAUGGCUAUUCUCUCUUAUUUUACAAGGUUUACAUGAAGGGGGAGAAUGUCGGUAGCUGGAAUUCUGGGCUGGAAAAGGAGCAAAUAUUGGAGGCCUAUUCUACGCAACUCCAAAAGUCCUGAAACUCCAUGGAAUACCUUAAAAUAAAUAAAGAAAAAUCAUCACCAAAGAUGAAGGCCAGGGGGGCCACACCCUGCUCACGAGGGUGGGGGCGCCCCCCUAGGCGUGCCCCCCUACCUCGUGGGCCCCCUGGUGGCUCUCCGACGCCCAUCUUCUCCUAUAUGAAGUCUUUCGAUGAGAAAAAAAUAGGAAGCAACCUUUCGGGACAAGACUCCGCCGCCACAAGGCGGAACCUUGGCGGAACCAAUCUAGGGCUCUGGCAGAGCUGUUCUGCCGGGGACAAUUCCCUCCGGGAGGGGGAAAUCAUCAUCAUCGUCAUCACCAAUGCUCCUCUCAUCGGGAGAGGGAAAUCUCCAUCAACAUCUUCACCAGCACCAUCUCAUCUCCAAACCCUAGUUCAUCUCUUGUAUCCAAUUCUUGUCUCCUAGUCCGGGAUUGGUGCUAGUAGUUUGCUAGUAGUGUUGAUUACUCCUUGUAGUUGAAGCUAGUUGGUUUAUUCGGUGGAAGACCAUAUGUUCAGAUCCUUUAUGCACUUUAUUACCCCUCUGAUUAUGAACAUGAAUAUGCUUUGUGAGUAAUUAUGUUUGUUCUUGAGGACAAGGGAGAAGUCUUGCUAUUAGUAGUCAUAUGAAUUUGGUAUUCGUUCAAUAUUUUGAUGAGAUGUAUGUUGUCUAGCCUCUAGUGGUGUUAUGUGAAGGUCGACUACAUAACACUUCACCAUUAUUUGGGCCUAUAGGAAGGCAUUGGGAAGUAAUAAGUAGAUGAUGGGUUGCUAGAGUGAUAGAAGCUUAAACCCUAGUUUAUGCGUUGCUUCGUAAGGGGCUGAUUUGGAUCCAUAUGUUUCAUGCUAUGGUUAGGUUUACCUUAAUACUUUUGUUGUAGUUGCGGAUGCUUGCAAUAGAGGUUAAUCAUAAGUGGGAUGCUUGUCCAAGUAAGGACAGUACCCAAGCACCGGUCCACCCACAUAUCAAAUUAUCAAAGUACCAAAGGCGAAUCAUAUGAACGUGAUGAAAACUAGCUUGACGAUAUUCCCAUGUGUCCUCGGGAGCGCUUUUCCUGUUAUAAGAGUUUGUACAGGCUUGUCCUUUGCUACAAAAAGGAUUGGGCCACCUUGAUGCACUUUAUUUACUUUUGUUACUUGUUGCUUGUUACAAUUUAUCUUAUCACAAAACUAUCUGUUACCACUUAUUUCAGUACUUGCAGAGAAUACCUUGCUGAAAACCGCUUAUCAUUUCCUUCUGCUCCUCGUUGGGUUCGACACUCUUACUUAUCGAAAGGACUAUGAUAGAUCCCCUAUACUUGUGGGUCAUCAAGACUCUUCCUGGCGCCGUUGCCGGGGAGUGAAGCGCCUUUGGUAGGUGGAAUUUGGUAAGGAAAAAUUUAUUUAGUGUGCUGAAAUUUUAUGUCACUUGUUACUAUGGAAAGCAAUUGUCUGAGGGGCUUGUUCGGGGUAUCUUCACCCUGUCUAGUAGAGCAAAGAGUUGCUCCUCAACCUACUCAACCUACUGAACCUAUUGAAAAUGAAACUCCUUUUGAGAUUCCUUCGGGUUUGAUGGAAAAACUGCUAGCUAACACUUUUACAGGAGAUGGAACAAAGCAUCCUGAUGAACAUCUACGCUAUGUGGAUGAUGUUUGUGGACUAUUUAAGCUUGCAUGUAUACCUAAUGAUGUUGUUAAGAAGAAGGCUUUCCCUUUAUCUUUGAAGGGAGACGCAUUGACAUGGUACAGACUAUGUGAUGAUACGAGAUCAUGGAACUAUAAAAGAUUGAAAUUGGAAUUUCACCAGAAGUAUUACCCUAUGCAUCUUGUUCAUCGUGAUCGCAAUUAUAUAUAUAAUUUUUGGCCUCGCGAAGGAGAAAGCAUCGCUCAAGCUUGGGGAGGCUUAAAUCAAUGUUAUAUUCAUGCCCCAAUCAUGAGCUCGCAAGAGAAGUAAUUAUGCAAAAAAAAUAUGCUCGGCUUUCUGAUAACAAUCGCACCAUGCUCGAUACUUCUUGUGUUGGCUCUUUUACGAUGAAGACUAUUGAAUUCAGAUGGAAUUUAUUGGAUAGAAUUAAACGCAACUCUGAAGAUUGGGACCUCGACGAAGGUAAGGAGUCAGGUAUGACACCUAAGUUUGAUUAUGUUAAAUCUUUUAUGGAUACCGAUAUUUUCUGUAAGUUUAGCACUAAAUAUGGACUUGACUCUGAAAUAGUAGCUUCUUUCUGUGAAUCUUUUGCUACUUAUGUUGAUCUCCCCAAGGAGAAGUGGUUUAAAUAUCAUCCUCCCAUAGAAGUAAAAGUAGUUGCACCUCUUAAAGUUGAAGAAAAUAUUGUCACUUAUAAUGAUCCUAUUGUUCCCACUUCUUAUGUUGAGAAACCACCUUUCCCUGUUAGAAUGAAGGAUCAUGCUAAAGCUUCAAUUGUUAUUUGUAAAAGCAAUAUUAGAACUUAUACACCUCCUAAGCAAGUCAAAGUAGAACCUAAUAUUGCUAUUGUUAAAGAUCUCUUGUCUGACAAUAUUGAUGGGCAUGUUAUUCAAUUCUGUGGUGAAACUGCCAGAAUUGCUAAACCUUGUGAUAAAGAUAAACAUAGACCUGUGGUAGGCGUGCCUGUUAUUUCUGUUAAAAUAGGAGAUCAAUGUUAUCAUGGCUUGUGUGAUAUGGGUGCUAGUGCUAGUGUUAUACCCAUUGACUUAUACAAAGAAAUUAUGCAUGAUAUUGCACCUGCUGAGUUAGAAGGUAUUGAUGUUACAAUUAAACUUGCCAAUAGAGAUACUAUUUCUCCAGUGGGAAUUGUUAGAGAUGUUGAAGUCUUGUGUGGGAAAACCAAAUAUCUGGCUGAUUUUCUUGUUCUUGGUUCUCCACAAGAUAACUUUUGUCCCAUUAUAUUUGUUAGACCCUUCUUGAAUACUGUUAAUGCUAAGAUAGACUGCGAAAAGAAUGUUGUUACUAUUGGCUUGGAUGAUAUGGUUCAUGAGUUCAAUUUCUCCAAAUUUAGUAAACAACAUCGUGAGGAAGAAUUGCCUAGUAAGGAUGAAAUUAUUGGUCUUGCUUCCAUUGCCGUACCUCCUAGUGAUCCUUUAGAACACUAUUUGCUAGACCAUGAGAAUGACAUGUUCAUGAAUGAAAGAAGGGAAAUAGAUGAAGUAUUCUUUAAACAGGAACCUAUUCUGCAACACAAUUUGCCUGUUGAAAUCCUAGGGGAUCCUCCUCCACCCAAGGGUGAUCCUAUGUUUGAGCUUAAACCAUUGCCUGAUAAUCUUAAAUAUGCUUAUCUUGAUGAAAAGAAAAUAUAUCCUGUCAUUAUUAGCGCUAACCUUUCAGAGCAUGAAGAAGAAAGAUUAUUGAAAACUCUGAAGAAGCACCGUGCCGCUAUUGGAUAUACACUUGAUGAUCUUAAGGGCAUUAGUCCCACUCUAUGUCAACAUAAAAUAAAUUUGGAAGCUGAUGCCAAACCAGUUUGUGAUCCUCAACGACGUUUGAAUCCUAAAAUGAAAGAAGUGGUAAGAAAAUAAAUACUCAAGCUUCUGGAGGCAGGUAUAAUUUAUCCUGUUGCUGAUAGUUAGUGGGUAAGUCUUGUCCAUUGUGUCCCUAAGAAGGGAGGUAUUACUGUUGUCCCUAAUGAUAAAGAUGAAUUGAUUCCGCAAAGAAUUAUCACAGGCUACAGGAUGGUAAUUGAUUUCCAUAAGUUAAAUAAAGCUACUAAGAAAGAUCAUUACCCCUUACCUUUUAUUGAUCAAAUGCUAGAAAGAUUGUGCAAACAUACAUAUUAUUGCUUUCUAGAUGGUUAUUCUGGUUUCUCUCAAAUACCUGUGUCAGCUAAAGAUCAAUCAAAGACUACUUUUACAUGCCCUUUUGGUACUUUUGCUUAUAGACGUAUGCCUUUUGGUUUAUGUAAUGCACCUGCUACCUUUCAAAGAUGCAUGAUGGCUAUAUUCUCUGAAUUUUGCGAAAAGAUUUGUGAGGUUUUCAUGGAUGACUUUUCCGUCUAUGGUUCCUCUUUUGAUGAUUACUUGAGCAAUCUUGCUCGAGUUUUGCAGAGAUGUGAAUAAACUAAUCUUGUCUUGAAUUGGGAAAAGUGUCACUUUAUGGUUAAUGAAGGUAUUGUCUUGGGGCACAAAGUUUCUGAAAGAGGUAUUGAAGUUGAUAAAGCCAAGGUUGAUGCUAUUGAAAAGAUGCCAUGUCCUAAGGACAUCAAAGGUAUAAGAAGUUUCCUUGGUCACGCCAAAUUUUAUAGGAGGUUCAUUAAGGACUUCUCAAAAAUUUCUCGGCCUCUGACUAAUUUAUUACAAAAAGAUGUACCGUUUGUCUUUGAUGAUGAUUGUGUAGAAGCAUUUGAAAUACUUAAGAAAGCAUUAGUCUAUGCACCUAUUGUUCAGCCACCUGAUUGGAAUUUACCCUUUGAAAUUAUGUGUGAUGCUAGUGAUUAUGCUGGAGGUGCUGUUCUAUGGCAAAGAGUUGAUAAGAAAUUAAAUGUUAUCCAUUAUGCUAGUAAGACUCUAGACAAUGCUCAAAGAAACUAUGCUACUACCGAAAAUGAACUUUUACCAGUUGUAUUUGCUUGUGAUAAAUUCAGACCCUAUAUUGUUGAUUCUAAAGUAACUAUUCACACUGAUCAUGCUGCUUAAAUAUCUUAUGGAAAAGAAAGAUGCAAAACCUAGAAUUAUUAGAUGGGUUCUCCUGCUGCAAGAAUUCAAUUUGCAUAUUGUUGAUAAGAAAGGAGCUGAGAACCCCGUUGCAGACAACUUAUCUAGGUUAGAGAAUGUUCUUGAUGACCCACUACCUAUUGAUGAUAGCUUUCCUGAUGAACAAUUAAAUGUCAUAAGCACUUCUCGUAGCACUCCAUGGUAUGCUGAUUAUGCUAAUUAUAUUGUCGCUAAAUUUAUACCACCUAGCUUCACAUACCAGCAAAAGAAAAAGUUUUCCUUUGACUUCGACAUUACUUUUGGGAUGACCCAAAUCUUUAUAAAGAAGGAGUAGAUGGUGUCAUUAGACGUUGUGUACCUAAGCAUGAAUAGGAACAGAUCCUACGCAAGUGUCACUCCGAAGCUUAUGGAGGACACCAUGCUGGAGAUAGAACUGCACAUAAGGUAUUGCAAUCUGGUUUUUAUUGGCCUACUCUCUUCAAGGAUGCCCGUAAGUUUGUUUUGUCUUGCGAUGAAUGUCAAAGAAUUGGUAAUAUUAGUAGACGUCAAGAAAUGCCUAUGAAUUAUUCACUUGUUAUUGUACCAUUUGAUGUUUGGGGCUUUGAUUAUAUGGGACCUUUUCCUGCCUCUAAUGGAUACACACAUAUUUUAGUUGAUGUUGAUUACGUUACUAAGUGGGUAGAAGUUAUUCCAACUAGUAGUUUGAUCAUAAAACUUCUAUUAAAAUGCUUAAGGAAGUUAUUUUUCCAAGGUUUGGAGUCCCUAGAUAUUUAAUGACUGAUGGUGGUUCACAUUUUAUUCAUGGUGCUUUCCGUAAGAUGCUCCCUAAAUAUGACGUUAAUCAUAGGAUUGCAUCUCCUUAUCACCCGCAGUCUAGUGGUCAAGUAGAGUUGAGCAACAGGGAGCUCAAAUUAAUUUUGCAAAAGACUGUUAAUAGGUCUAGAAAGAAUUGGUCCAAGAAACUUGAUGAUGCAUUAUGGGCCUAUAGAACUGCAUAUAAAAAUCCUAUGGGUAUGUCCCCGUACAAAAUGGUCUAUGGAAAAGCUUGUCACUUACCUCUUGAACUAGAACAUAAGGCAUAUUGGGCUAUUAAAGAGCUCAACUAUGAUUUCAAACUUGCCGGUGAGAAGAGGUUAUUUGAUAUUAGCUCACUUGAUGAAUGGAGAACCCAAGCUGUUUAAAGAAAAAGUUAAAAGAUGGCAUGACAAAAGGAUACAAAAGCAUGAGUUUAAUGUAGGUGAUUAUGUAUUGCUAUACAACUCUCGUUUAAGAUUUUUUGCAAGAGAACUUCUCUCCAAAUGGGAAGGUCCCUACGUUAUUGAGGAGGUAUAUCGUUCCGGUGCCAUAAAAAUCAGCAACUUCGAAGGCACAAAUCCGAAGGUGGUAAACGGUCAAAGGAUCAAACACUAUAUCUCAGGUAAUCCUAUAAAUGUUGAAACUAAUAUUAUUGAAACCAUAAACCCAGAGGAAUACAUAAAGGACACUUUCCAGAACGUUCCAGAAUCCGAAAAGGAAUAGGUAUGUGGUACGAAAAGUAAACCGACUCCAACACAAUUUUUAAGGCAAUAUUUUUCCGUUUUGGAAUAUUUAGAAAAUAGAAAAAUAAGUAGCAGUCCGGGGAGGACACGAGGCCUCCACGAGGGUGGAGGGCGCGCCCUACCCCCCUGGGCGCUCCCCCCUACCUCGUGAGCACCUCGUGUGCCCUCCGGACUCCAUUUCCUUGCACGAUACGUAUUUUGGUCGGUAAAAAUUCAUUAUAUAUACUCCCGAAGGUUUUGACUCCCGUACCACGCAAAUAUCCUCUGUUUUUGUUUCGAGCUAUUGUUGCUGCAGAUUAAAGCAAGAUGUCUUCUCAAGAGUCAGUCGGGGAGUGCCGGGUGUCUAACCCGAUACCGGAACCAAGGACGAACAGCGACGCUGACCACUUUGGGCCAGCAACGGAGGAAGAGAUGGAGGCUGACCUAAUGAGAGUAGAUGCCAUGGAAGAUCAAGAAGUCACCUCUCGCCUCCGAGCUGGGUUUACUAUAGGGGGACUACAGAGCUCAGCUAUUCCAAACUCGGUUAUCGCUUCCAAUGUUAAAUUUCUUUCCUAUGAAAAUAUGAGGAGGAGUGUCUCUUGUUCUCCAGCAGCUAUGCAACACCCUUGGGUGCAAGGAGCUUUAGCCGUUACAGGAAAGCUUUGCAAGAAAAUAAUGGACCUCAAGCAGCAAGUCAAUAAGCUCGAGGAGGAGAACCGUAUUCUAAGGGGAAUCAUCGCCAAGAAUAUUACUCCCACCACAAAUAAGGAGAUAUAAUCACAUGAGUAUGGGCAGUCCCCUUGGCAACUGCCAAGCUUGGGGGAGGUGCCCUGGUAUCGUAUCACCAUCACAACUCCUAUCUUUACCAUUUUUCUUAGUUUGAUCCUAUUAGUAGUAUCUUGAUUUAGUAGAAUAAAGUCAUGGUAUGAUCUAGUUUUGAGUUUUGCUUUACGAUCCUUCUUUGUAAUCGAGUCCGUGAGCCAUAUAAUAAAGUUUAGUGUUGAGUCAAGGGCUUGAUUGUUUUGCCAUGAUUUUGGGUGAAUAGAAGAAAAGAAUAAAAAGAAUCAAAGAGUUCAUAUUGAUCUUAGUGAAGGUAAUGACUUCACAUAGAAAGAGUAUGAUGAUUAAAAGUUGUUGGGAGUUGGCAAAUAUAGCUUUGGUCAUCGUUGCAAUUAAUAGGAAGUAAUAAGGAAAGAGAAGUUUCACAUAUAGAUAUAUUAUCAUUGACAUCUUUCAUGAUUGGGAACACUGAUUAAAAUAUGACAUGUUAAAGAGUUGAGGUUGGACAAGGAAGACAACAUAAUGAGUUAUGUUUUCUCACAUCCGAGAUAAAGUAUGUUGUCAUGGAUCCUCUACCAUGUUGAACUUGCCUUUCCCCCUCAUGCUAGCCAAAUUCUUAGCACCAAGUAGAAAUACUACUUGUGCUUCCAAAUACCCUUAAACUAGUUUUGCCAUGAGAGUCCACCAUAUCUACCUAUGGAUUGAGUAAGAUCCUUCAAGUAAGUUGUCAUCGGUGCAAGCAAUAAAAAUUUCUCUCUAAAUAUGCAUGACUUAUUAGUGCAGAGAAAUAAGCUUUGUACAGACUUGUUGUGGACGCAAUAAAAGCGACGGACUGCAUAAUAAAGGUUCACAUGCAAGGGGCAAUAUAAAGUGACGUUCUUUUGCAUUAAGAUUUUGUGCAUCGACCCUAAAUGCACAUGACAACCUCUGCUUCCCUCUGUGAAGGGCCUAUCUUUUAUUAUUAUCCCCUACCUUAUGCAAGAGUCACGAUGAUCUUCACCUUUCCUUUUUCAUUUUAUCCUUUGGCAAGCUCAGCAUGUUGGAAGAACAUGAUAUAUAUAUAUAUAUAUAUAUCUAAUUGGAUGUGGGGGAGCAUGAAUUAUUAUUGUUGACAUUACCCUUGAGGUAAAAGGUUGUGGGGCAAAACUAUAAGCCCCUAUCUUUCUCUGUGUCCGAUUAGAACUCCAUAACCACAAGUAUCGCGUGAGUGCUAGAAAUUAUGAAGGACUAAAUGAUAGUUGAGUAUGUGGACUUGCUUUCAGAGCUCUGACAUAGACUCUUUUCGAUGUUAUGAUAAAUUGCAAUUGCUUCAAUGACUGAGGGUAUAAUUUGUUGGUGCUCAAUAAGAUUUCUGAUUCAUGCUUUGGCUUUGUGAAAAGAUCAUCACUUGAACAUGAGUAAUCAUAUGACAAAAUCUUUAUGUGUUGCUGUUAUGAAAUAAUCAUGAUGCCUUCAUGUCCAUAUUUUAUUUUUAUCGACGCCUCUACCUCUAAACAUGAGGACAUAUUUAUUAUUAUCGGCUUUUCGCUUGAGGACAAGCAAGGUCUAAGCUUGGGGGAGUUGAUACGUCCAUUUUGCAUCAUGAUUUUGUGAUAAUAUUUAUUGCAUUAUGGACUGUUAUUUCACGUUAUGUCACAAUACUUAUGGCUAUUCUCUCUUAUUUUACAAGGUUUACAUGAAGGGGGAGAAUGCCGGCAGCUGGAAUUCUGGGCUGGAAAAGGAGCAAAUAUUGGAGGCCUAUUCUACGCAACUCCAAAAGUCCUGAAACUCCACGGAAUACCUUAAAAUAAAUAAAGAAAAAUCAUCACCAAAGAUGAAGGCCAGGGGGCCCACACCCUGCUCACGACGCCCAUCUUCUCCUAUAUGAAGUCUUUCGAUGAGAAAAAAAUAGGAAGCAACCUUUUGGGACGAGACUCCGCUGCCACGAGGCGGAACCUUGGCGGAACCAAUCUAGGGCUCUGGCAGAGCUGUUCUGCCCGGGACAAUUCCCUCAGGGAGGGGGAAAUCAUCAUCAUCAUCAUCACCAACGCUCCUCUCAUCGGGAGAGGGCAAUCUCCAUCAACAUCUUCACCAGCACCAUCUCAUCUCCAAACCCUAGUUCAUCUCUUGUAUCCUAUUCUUGUCUCCAAAUCCUGGAUUGGUGCUAGUAGUUUGCUAGUAGUGUUGAUUACUCCUUGUAGUCGAUGCUAGUUGGUUUAUUUGGUGGAAGAUCAUAUGUUCAGAUCCUUUAUGCACUUUAUUACCCCUCUAAUUAUGAACAUGAAUAUGCUUUGUGAGUAAUUACGUUUGUUCCUGAGGACAAGGGAGAAGUCUUGCUAUUAGUAGUCAUGUGAAUUUGGUAUUCGUUCGAUAUUUUUAUGAGAUGUAUGUUGUCUAGCCUCUAGUGGUGUUAUGUGAAUGUCGACUACAUAUAUUUGGGCCUAGAGGAAGGCAUUGGGAAGUAAUAAGUAGAUGAUGGGUUGCUAGAGUGACAGAAGCUUAAACCCUAGUUUAUGUGUUGCUUCGUAAGGGGCUGAUUUGGAUCCAUAUGUUUCAUGCUAUGCUUAGGUUUACCUUAAUACUUUUGUUGUGGUUACGGAUGCUUGCAAUAGAGGUUAAUCAUAAGUGGUAUGCUUGUCCAAGUAAGGGCAGUGCCCAAGCACCGGUCCACCCACAUAUCAAAUUAUCAAAGUACCGAACGCGAAUCAUAUGAACGUGAUGAAAACUAGCUUGACGAUAUUCCCAUGUGUCCUCGGGAGCGCUUUUCCUAUUAUAAGAGUUUGUCCAGGCUUGUCCUUUGCUACAAAAAGGAUUGGUCCACCUUGCUGCACUUUAUUUACUUUUGUUACUUGUUGCUCGUUACAAUUUAUCUUAACACAAAACUAUCUGUUACCACUUAUUUCAGUACUUGCAGAGAAUACCUUGCUGAAAACCGCUUAUCAUUUCCUUCUGCUCCUCGUUGGGUUCGACACUCUUACUUAUCUAAAGGACUACAAUAGAUCCCCUAUACUUGUGGGUCAUCAGUUGUCAACCAGUAGAAUCCAUGACUGUCGGAUUUCGGGUUCCGGCAGACCCUUCUAGGUUCGAACUCUGGGGUGCACGCGGAGAUCGCACCUCCUACCUACCUAUGUCUCGUCGCCUCGCAAGGAUCUAAACUACACGAAGAACAACACAAGGGACACAAGGUUUAUACUAGUUCGGGCAACCAUUGUGGUGUAAUACCCUACUCUAGUUUGUGGUGUGGUGGAUUGCCUCAGGGGCUGAUGAUGAACAAUACAAGGAAGUACUGCCUCGCGAGGGGUGUUCUUGCGUUGGUGGUUCUGGCUAGGGUUCAACUGCUCGAUCUGUCGAUGCCCUGCCUUGAGAGUGGCUAGUCUUAUUUAUAGAGCGAGGCCCUGGGCCUCUUCCCAAAUAUUGAGCGGGAAGGGCGCCAACAAUUGGCCGUUUUGAAGGGGAACAUCUACUACACUUAUCCUGACUAAAGUCGGUCUUUGCCUGCCAAAGACUCUGGCGGUGACGCCGGCUUGGCUCCACGAUGACCUCCAUCCUGCCGUUCUGCUGGUCUUGGUCUUGUUGCACCGAAAUGGCUGCCUUUGCUUGAUACUCUUGCCUGCGCUUGCUCCCUUUGCACCAAAGAGGAAACAAGGACUCCGCACAGGCCGGCGCCUGCCUGGCGCCCGCCUGGCUUGGUCGUCAUGGCUUGCAUCACGGGCACCUCAUGAGGUACCCUGCCUUGAUCUCUCCGCCUCCUCGCGAGCCAGCCUGAUGAGGCCGUGCCUGAGGAAGCUUCUUGUCGUCCGCCCCGCGAGGGUCUUGAGCUUGUGUUGGUGAAGAUGGGUCGUACUGGGCCACCCCUUGAGCCAUGCUGCAGGCCGCAGGCAGGCAAGUCUGGGUACCCCCGUUCCCAGAACGUCGAUAGUAGCCCCCAGGCCCAAGGCACGCCUGGACUUGGCUUAUCAGAGAAGCGAAGGGGCAAGUGCGAAGCGCCGCGGGCCCCAACAGCAUGCGGCCUUGGGUGCCGCGUGGCGGUUGAUUGGACGUGGGCGUCCCUAUUCCCCAUGACGCCUCGGCAACUGCACGAAUCGACAAAAGAGUGGCACCAUGCCAGGCUUACCAUCUCUGCUUCCUCCAGUCGUUGCCCAGAUCCCCUUUCUCGCUCUUCUCCUCCUUGCUCCCGAAAUCCUCAAGAUCUGCUCCGGACUCGCACCUUAGCAAGCCAUGGCGCCUUGCCAGACUCCGGUCGGGGCCUGGUACUCACCUGCGCUAGAUUCUCCGAACGUGUCGGAGAAGAACCUGGCCCUCACGCACCUGAUGAUGGAGGCGCAAGGCAACGACGGGACGGUCGUGCUCAAGGUUGGCUCUUUCCUUCCUGAGGAGAAAGGAAGCACCUUCUACCCGCUCUUCGUGAGCGCCAUCGCCGCUGGUCUGGUGCCUCCCUUUUCCGAGUUCUUUCUUUCUGUUCUCCGCCACUACAACCUGCAAGCUUUGCACCUCCAUCCCAACUCUGUUCUUCUUCUAGCGAUUUUCGCCUAUUACUGCGAGGCUCAUGUCGGGGUAAAGCCCUCUGUGGCCUUGCUGUGCCACUACUUUUACCUUCGGGUUUCUCGCGGCUCCAUCACCGCGUGCAUGAGAUUUGUUGCGUACUCCAUCUCCAAAGCCAUCUCGAAGCCUGGGAAGAGGAUUGAAGGCUUCCGGAGUAAGUGGGUCAUGAUGGAUGCUGGGCACAUCCAUCCCCGGCCGAUCCUGCCUAUGAGGCAGCCUGAGGUCGUCAACGCUUGGUCCCGCACGGAGCUCGUCGAUCCCCGCGUGAAGCCAGUGCUGGAGAGGAUGGACGCGGACCUGUGGCCAGGCAACAUGGUGAUGACGAAGCUGACCGGGGCGUCACUCCUGAGGGAGUUCCUGGAGCAUCGGGUUGCUCCGCUUCGGAAAUAUUCACUCCUGCUGUGGAGGCUCAGGGAGGCCGAUGCCGCCCUUCGCCCAAGCUCUGCAGCCCUAGCCGACUAGGACCUGGCCACGGUCCUCCAUGCCUUGGUUGGGGGAGACGUGGCGAGGAUGGAGGGUGCUCCUGUACCCCUGUUCCUUCGGGAUGAUUGGGAGCAGGUGGUGAACUCCAUGCCUGCUUUCAACGGGGACGGGCCUAUGCCCGUGGAGGUUCUUGAGGACCUGGCGGCCCGGGCGACGGUGAACGUGUCCUCCAGCGACUCCGGCAGAGAGGAGGAAGAAGAGGGGCAGGAAGAGGAGCCCGAUUCCGAGGCGAUCGACGGGGAGUCGAGAGAGCCCCUCCCUCGGUGCAGGUCCCGCAUUCUUCGUCUCAUGCCAGACGAUGACGAGGAUGGUGACGAGCGAGCCGGUGAGAGCUCGCCCCUGAUCUCGAAGAAGGACAGGUCAGGGCUGAUUCUCCGUGAGCCUGCUCCGGCUCCGAGGUGAUCUGCAGACGUGCCUCCUGCUCCCGAGUCUCCCGAGGUUGACCCCAGCAGCCGGCUCUCGGGCUUCAAGUUCGGCUGGAGGUUACUUGAGCCCGCGGGCGAUGACCAGUAAGUGCUUGAUUCUCGUUUUGCUUCUUGCUUUGUUACUGAGGCUUGACGUCCAUAUCCCUUGGCUAGGCCGGUGCCUGCGGCGAAAAGGCUGAAGGGGGCCCCUGAGGCUCCGUCCGGGGCAGCACUUCCACCCGCGGGAGAAGGGGCGGCAAGGCCCGGGCCUCUCCUGCCCGGUCAUCCUCGCGAGGCCAGGUGGGGCAUGCUGGAGGGAGCUCAGCCCCUGUGGCCCAAGCGACUCUCGAGGCGUCUUUGCCUGACAGCACUGUCGCAGUCAUCGGGGCGCAGAAGGUCCCAACUCAUGGUGCUAUGAUCACACUGCCGUCUUCUCCUCCUACUCCGCCAACUGCCAUUUCUCCGACCCCGUCUACUGUGUUGGAUCGUGCUUCUGCUGAAUUGGACCGGCUGUGAGGAGAUCUCCAGGGCGCCGGCCCUCGUCUGGUGGUCAGACGCCUGGAGCUGGCCUCCGGCUGGGUCCGCUCUGACGCUUCAAUUCGAGCAGCACUGGUUCAGGCCGCGACGGCCUGUGACGAGGAAAAGCAGGCCAUCCUUCAGGCCAGGGCCGCUCGCGAUGCCGCCUUGGGGGAGGUUGCGGAUGUUCGGGGUCGCUGCAAGGUGCUGGAGAGCGAGCUACAAGGCCUUCGCGACCAGCUCGCCAAGGAGGCCCGUGACCGCCAGGAGAAGGAGGCAGAGAUGAGGGCUCGCGAGGCUGCCGCCAAGGACCGGGAUUCCGAGCUUGACGAGCACCAUGGCCGCUUGGAUACACUGGAGCAGUCGUUGGAGGCGAGGAAGAUCGAGAUGGACAGCAAGGUGCGGGUCCUGGCCGAGGACCGUGUGGCCUUCGCGAAGCUGGAAGAGAAAGCUCGCUCCUUGCUGAAGACGCUUUAUGACAGCGGCAGAGAGAGUCCACUGGCCGGCGUCGAGGACGGCCCCGCCAAGUUGCUUCCUUUCCUGGUCCGCGCCCUUGAAGAUGUCGCGAUCGGCCUGGGCCCCACGGCUGAGGCCGAGGCACGUGUCCUUUCUUCUGCAGCACUGACGCGCGUCUUCACCCACGUCUAUCUUCGCGACCCCAACGUCGACCUUGAUAGCCUGCUGAAGCCUGUGAGUGACGAUCUUGCCGCCGCUGCUGCUGAAGCUGUGAAGGGUCGAGCGGAGGCUCUGCUAGCGAGGUUCCGUGCCUUCAGCACCAAGCCGAGGCGAGGUGCUGCCGAUCCUGAGGUUCCACGAAGCGCAACCAUCCAGCGCAGCUCCGCCGCCAGCGAUGGCGCUGCCGGAAGUGACCCCCUCGCGGCUCCUGUCCUGCUUUCAGCUCCUGCAACAUGCGUCAUGCCUCGUGGAGGCGUUUAAACUUGUGUUUGGCAUUGUGGAAACAAUCUAUGGACUAUAAUAUCUGCUUUUGGAUUCCUUGAAAUUUGCAUUUUUCCUUCCUACUUGCUUGUGUUCUACGUCCGCAGAGCCCGGCCCCGCGCAUACCUCAGCCGUCGUUAGCCUCGACCGGAAACCAGGACGGGACCAAGGAGUGAGGGCCUACGUGACCAGUUAGGCUCCUGAGUCGCGAUGCUCAGGAGUCCCCCUUGACGCACGAAUAGCAAGUAGGGAGGGGAGAUGUGUGGAUAGAUUUACCGUUCUACGUCGGCAGAGCCCGGCCCCGCGCAUACCUCAACCGCCGUUUGCCUUUCGGAACUAAGGGGUGAGGGGCUACGUGACCAGUUAGGCUCCUGAGUCGCGAUGCUCAGGAGUCCCCCUUGAUGUUCAAAUGGCCUUCGUACCUUGGCUCCGCUCGGGAGAGACGUGCGACGAACCAGGCCCGAGGGGCCUGGCUGGGUGGCGUGCGUCUGGGCGUGACCCAGGCGUAGCCCCCGUGUCCAGCCCCCUCGCGCGGCACUCCCGAGGGGAGGCAUUACGACAAGGCCGGACACUGAGCUCUGGGCUCCCUGAGGUUGAUGCAGCCAGGGGCCACCCUCAGUUGUUUAUCACCAGCGCGGAGCAUAGCGCUUCCGUAUGUGUACGGGCAUAGCCGCUCCUCGGCAGUGUCGUCAGCCAGCGCGGAGCAUGGUGCUUCCACUGGUGCGUGGGAGGGGGCUCCCCUCCGGGAGGAGCCCCUGGGGUGUGUACAGCCCCGCCCUGACACGUGGCUGGCAUGAUAGGGCUUGGCGAGGUGUAUCUGGGCACCCGUGAGCCAGCGCGGGACUCACGGGGCCCUACCUCAAGGCGGGUUGCGCCUGGCUCUGGGCCUUUACUUGUAAUGUGCUCCUGCAAAUUUGGUUAGAUGCCGACGCUCUACGUCCUCGGGUCUUGGCCCUCGAGCGAGCUCAGCAGUCGCUGGUAUGCCAGGUCGCGAUGCCGUGGACAAGGCCAGGAGGUGAGGGCUGGAGAGCCAGUAAGAGUCCAUGAGUCGCGAUGCUCAGGUACCUCCCCCUUUAACAUGCAAGCCGCCGGCAUGAAGGAAGAAAGGUGUCGCCACAAGCAAGUAAUGAUCACGGUGGGUCAAACGCAUGACCCGAAUAAAUGCGAGAGGGAUACACGCCGCUGGGUCGGGCCCAAGUGGCAUGGGGAUAAUGCAGCCCGAGGGCUGCCCCCAACAAAGCAAGCUAAAAACAUGAACAAAAGGGAUACAUGCCGCAGGGACGGACCCACGCGGCCUGGGAAUGAUGCAGCCCUAAGGGCGCUCCCAGCUGAAAAAUGAAACUCGAAAGAUGUCACCUGAUGGUGUUGAAGAUGAAGGGAUGCUGAAGUAGCAACGCCGUGUGCUGCGGAAGCCAACCUUCACGAGCCCCCAGGCCCAGGAGCCUCGGGAGGCUCCGGAGGCGCUGGUGGCUCCUCGCGGACCAUCUCCAUCUCUGCCAGGACUGCGGAACGCCUGGCCGCCUAGGCCUCCAGGAUGCUCCUCAUGAGGCGAUGGCGCACAGUAGCCGCGUUCGGCAAGUCGUAAGGCAUGCGAACAUAGCUGUGGGGUGGACCUUCGCAGCGUCCCACGCAUGAGGGCCAGAGGCGCUCCUAAGAGGCGGCUCGGUUGAGCCCUGGUAUGUCGAUGCAGACGCGCAGCCCACCAUCCUCGCUCGGAUGGGGAGCUACGACGAGUAAGCGGCGGCUGCCACUUAUGACUCUUGACUCCAGCAGCUCCUGAACGAUCUCGCUGACGAACUCCCGAGGGUUUGGCCCUCCUUGCCUUGCUCUUGCCUGAGGGAAACGUGCUUUGAAACACGCCUCCAAGUGGUGCCCGAGCGCCUCCCUCGUGAUCUUAGCAAAGUCGGUGGCCCUCCAGGAGAGAGCCCCUGAGCCUUGCUCAAGGAGGGCGCCGGGCACGCCUUCCUAUGCGACAGAAGGAGGCGCCCUUGGAACGGGCGCGGACUCUGAGGGGCUUGCCUCCUGAGGGUUCUGACUAGGUGACACCUUCUUCUUCUUAGGAACUGCCUCGAGAAGCCUUCCGCUCCUGUGAUCUGGGUCUUCAAUUGAUGCGGCUUGAAAAGCAUGCUCCAAAGAACACACUGCGUCUCUCUCUUCACAAGGCACUGUGAUGACUCCAUCGCUUCCUAGAAUCUUGAGGACAUUGUAACCAUGAUGAGUCACGGCCAUGAACUUGGCCAGAGCUGGGUACCCGAGGAUGGCAUUGUACGGCAGGCAGAUGUGCACGACGUCAAAGUCAAUGAGCUCAGUGCGGUAGUUGUCGCGCUUCCCGAAGGUGAUAGGAAGGCGGACCUGCCCUAUCGGGAUUGUGGAACCAUCAAUGACUCCUGAGAAAGGUUGGGUUGGCUGAAGCUGGUUGUAUGGCACUUGGAGAUUGUUGAAUGUCUCGACGGACAGGACAUUGAGCCCUACCCGCAAUCGAUGAGGGUCCUGGUGACUUGCACAUUGCUGAUGAUAGGGGAGCAAAGCAUUGGGAGGACUCCGGCUGUGGCUGCGCACUUGAGCUGAUCUGCUGAGCUGAACAUGAUGGCGCAUGCUGACCACCUGAGGGAGCGCGUGGCUUCGAGCUUGGGGAGGACUGCAUUCACUUCGCGAGCAAACUGCUUGAAGAUGCGCUGAGAGGCUGGGGCUUGAGCUCCGCCCAAGACAAAAGCGAUUGCACGCGGCUCCUGGAAGCCCCCAGCCCCCUCGUCCUGAUGAUGGUCUUCGUUCCUCCUUGGCUGCGGUGGCAGAGGAGGGAGGCCCGCGUUGCCUUGCAGAUGAUCCUCGCGAGGCUGAUCCCUCCAGUCUCCCUCGCGAGGCUGAUCCUGCUAGCGGUCCUUGCGAGGUCGGUCGCGCCACCCUUGGCGAGGGCCACGGUCUUCCCAUCAUCCUCCACCUCUUCCUCCUCCUCGGCCAUAGCCCCGGUCGUUGCGCUCGGGGCAUCGGCCAAUGCGCACGUCCCGCACGGCCCUGAGCUCUUGGCAUUCGUUGGUGUUGUGGGUGUGGAGGUCGUGGUACACGUAGUACUGGCUGCCUUUGGACGACUCAGGCUGAUCCCUUCCAUGCUUGGUGUCCGGUUCUACUGCAAGCACGGCCGCCCCCUUGCGCUUCACGUCCCUGACCUUGGGCUUCUUCUCUUCUGGGUCGGCAACCAGCAGCUUGAGGAGGGAAAGGUGUCCUUCCUCAGCCCUAGCGCACUUGGUUGCCAAGUUGAACAGCUCAAGGGAGGUGCACAGGUCUUCAUGGAUCGCAAGCUCUUCUUUCAUCUUGACCUCACGCACACCAUCGAAGAAGGCUGAGAUGAUGGCCUCCUCAGACACCCUGGGGAUCUUAAGGCGAGCGUUGUUGAAACGCUGGAUGAACUUCUGCAGGAUCUCUCCUGGCUGCUGCUUGAUGCGGCGCAAGUCGCUCAUGGCCGGGGGCCAGUCGCGUGUGCCUUGGAAAUUGGCGAUGAAUCGGGUGCGCAUCUCGUCCCAGGAGGAAAUCGUGCCAGGAGCCAGGUUCAGGAGCCAGGUGCGGGCACCGUCCUUGAGCGCCAUGGGGAACCAGUUCGCCAUGACCUUCUCGUCCCCGUUGGCGGCUUCGAUGCCCAGAUCAUAGAGCUGGAGGAACUCCGCAGGGUCAGCCGUGCCAUCGUAGCGCGGGGGCAAAUCUGGCUUAAACUUUCCUGGCCAGGCCACGCCGCGCAGCUCGGCGGUGAAGGCGCGGCAGCCUGCAGUGGCCAUGGGAGGCCUCGGGUGACGGAGGGCUUGAUCAUGGAAGUCUCCAUGCGCUGCUGCCAGGAGCAGCGCGGGGUCUUGGCAUGUUGGAGCAGGAGCGCGGUCGUGACGGGCUGGCACGGGGAGCGCCCGGGCAGCUUCUUGGGGACGAGGGAUCUCUUGGCAGCUCUUCUCUUGUUGCGCUGGUGCCGGACGGAGCGGGUUCCGUCAGGGGCCACGCGCCUUGGGGCAAGGCACCUUCUUGAGGGAGAGGCGGCUGAGGCGCCCCCGGAGCUUCAUCGCUCGCGUAAGGCGGGGCACAGUGCAGCAAGAGGGAUGGAGCAGGGGAGCCCCCAGCGGCGCUGACAAGCUCGGUGAUGCGGGCGAGCCACUCGUCGUAGAGGUCGUCGACGGGACGGUAGUGCAGGAGUUCCCGCGCUAGGAGCAGCGUGGCAUGCGCGUCCGCGGGAGCGCGACGGGCGUGGGAUGAGGAACUGGCUGGAGUAAGUGACGGGGUGGCGGUGCGGCCUUCUCACCGCACCGAAGGAUGCAGAGACGACGCCUACUGCUCGUUCCCCACCGGGCCAGUGGUGGCGUUGACGGCAGGCGACGGGGAACGACGGCGGCACCCGUUGACGGGGGCCGUCUGGGCGACGCGAGUGGCGAGGGCGGCUCGGCGCUCGGCGCGGGCUCGACGAGCGUCUGACAUGGAUGAGAGGGGCGGCAAAAAACAGGGCGGCGGAAGGCGGAUUCCGGUGUACCCCUACCUGGCGUGCCAAAUGUCAGAUUUCGGGUUCCGGCAGACCCUUCUAGGUUCGAACUUUGGGGUGCACGUGGAGAUCGCACCUCCUACCUACCUAUGUCUCGUCGCCUCGCAAGGAUCUAAACUACACGAAGAACAACACAAGGGAUACGAGGUUUAUACUAGUUCGGGCCACCAUUGUGGUGUAAUACCCUACUCUAGUUUGUGGUGUGGUGGAUUGCCUCAGGGGCUGAUGAUGAACAAUACAAGGAAGAACUGCCUCGCGAAGGGUGUUCUUGCAUUGGUGGUUCUAACUAGGCUUCAACUGCUCGAUCUGUCGAUGCCCUGCCUUGAGAGUGGCUAGUCCUAUUUAUAGAGCGAGGCCCUGGGCCUCUUCCCAAAUAUUGAGCGGGAAGGGCGCCAACAAUUGGCAAUUUUGAAGGGGAACAUCUAGUACACUUAUCCUGACUAAAGUCGGUCCUCGCCUGCCAAAGACUCCGGCGGUGACGCCGGCUUGGGCUCCACGAUGACCUCAAUCCUGUCGUUCUGCUGGUCUUGGUCUUGUUGCACCGAAAUGGCUACCUUUGCUUGAUAAUCUUGCCUGCGCUUGCUCCCUUUGCACCAAAGAGGAAACAAGGACUCUGCGCAGGCCGGCGCCCGUCUGGCUUGGUCGUCAUGGCUUGCGUCAUGGGCACCUCGUGAGGUACCCUGCCUUGAUCUCUCCGCCUCCUCGUGAGCCAGCCUGAUGAGGCCAUGCCUGAGGAAGCUUCCUGUUGUCCGCCCCGCGAGGCUUGGCCCCUCGCGAGGGUCUUGAGCUUGUGUUGAUGAAGAUGGGCUGUACUGGGCCACCCCUUGAGCCACGCCGCAGGCCGCAGGCAGGCAAAUCUGGGUACCCCCAUUCCCAGAACACCGACAAUGACGAAAAGCUUUAGCAACCAGGGACUUUGAACCGGCAUGGUGACCACAAUCCCCUUCGUGAAUUUCACGUAGAAUCUCUCAGCCUUCUUCCGGAGAAACACAACGCUGGAAUACGCCUGAAAUACUGCAGCAGUGUAACUCGCCAUUGUGAAUAACCAUGGACUUGGAUCGCCGGACUAUCUGCCGGGCUAGAACUUCAUCAUCUGGUAACUCACCCCGGUUCAUAUACACCAAAUAUGGAACCGUCCAAUCCAGAACAACAUGUAAAGCGGCCACCAAUUGAGCCUCUGGAUCAGGAACAACUAAAUCCUCCUCUGUAGGCAACUUAACAGACGGAUUAUGCAAGAUAUCUAGAAAGGUAUUGGGAGGUACCGGUUUACGCUGAGAUCCCAGCCGGCUUAAAGCGUCCGCUGCUUCAUUUUUGUGCCGAUCAAUAUGCUCAACAUGGUACCCUUUGAAGUAACCCGCCACAAUAUCCACCUCACGUCUGUAAGCCGCCAUGAGUGGAUCCUUAGAAUCCCAAGUGCCAGAAACUUGCUGGGCCACCAGAUCAGAGUCUCCAAAGCAUCGUACCCGGCUUAAAUUCAUCUCCUUGGCCACACGGAGCCCAUGGAGUAAAGCCUCAUACUCAGAUGCAUUGUUAGUACGGGGGAACAUUAAACGGAGAACAUAACGAAUUUUAUCACCUCGAGGGGAAGUAAGGACAACUCCAGCCCCCGAGCCCUCCAACUGCCUGGAUCCAUCAAAGUGAAUAGUCCAGUAUGUAUUAUCCGGUUUGUCCUCUGUUGCUUGUAACUCGGUCCAAUCAUUGAUGAAGUCAACAAGCGCCUGCGAUUUGAUGGUUGUUCGUGGCAUAUAGUUCAACCCAUGUGGACCAAGCUCAACCGCCCACUUUGUAACCCGUCCAGCUGCUUCCCUGUUUUGAAUUAUAUCACCUAAAGGAGCUGAACUGACAACUGUAAUGGGAUGGCCCUGAAAGUAUUGUUUAAGCUUCCGACUUGCCAUAAAAAAACCAUAAACCAGCUUCUGCCAAUGCGGAUAUCGUUGCUUUGACUCAAUGAGCACCUCACUGAUAUAGUAAACCGGUCGUUGAACCGGAUAUUCCUUGCCAUCCUCCUUGCGCUCCACCACAAUUGCCACACUGACAGCAUGGGCAUUAGCAGCCACAUACAAUAACAAGGGCUCCUUGUCAACCGGAGCAGCAAGAACCGGCUAUUCAGCCAAUUGCCGCUUUAAGUCUUCAAACGCCGCAUUAGCCGCAUCACUCCAGACAAAGGUGUUUGUUUUUUUCAACAUCUGAUAUAGAGGGAUCACCUUCUCUCCCAAACGGCUGAUAAACCGGCUUAGGGAUGCAAUUCGACCUGCGAGAAUCUGAACAUCAUUAAUGCACGCCGGUUUAGCCAAAGAUGUAAUCGCCUUAAUCUUCUCCGGAUUAGCCUCAAUGCCUCUGUUGGAUACCAAAAAACCCAGAAGCUUGCCUGCCGGAACACCAAAAACACACUUGUCCGGAUUGAGCAUCAUCUUGUAAACAUGCAAAUUGUCAAAGGUCUCUUUGAGAUCAUCUAUCAAUGUCUCCUUCUUCCUGGAUUUUACUAUAAUGUCAUCAACAUAGGCAUGAACAUUGCGCCCAAUCUGAGUGUGAAGACAAUUUUGUACAUAGCGUUGAUAAGUUGCCUGGGCACUCUUGAGUCCAAAGGGCAUAGAAACAUAGCAGAAGGCUCCAAAGGGAGUGAUGAAGGCGGUCUUCUCCUGGUCCUUAACUGCCAUUUUGAUCUGAUGAUAGCCUGAAUAAGCAUCCAAGAAACUCAAACGCUCACAACCCGCCGUCGCAUCAAUGAUCUGAUCAAUACGCGGGAGAGCAAAAGGAUCGGCCGGACAAGCUUUGUUCAAAUCUGUGUAGUCCACACACAUAUGCCAAGUGCCGUUUUUAUUAAGAACAAGCACCGGAUUAGCCAAUCACUCAGGGUGAAACACUUCAAUGAUAAACCCAGCAGCCAACAGCCAGGCUACCUCCUCACCAAUUGCCUUGUGUCUCUCUUUGUUAAAGCGGCGAAGAAACUGCUUGACCGGUUUAAACUUGGGAUCAAUAUUGAGAGUGUGCUCAGUGAGUUCCCUCGGUACACCUGGCAUGUCAGAAGGCUUCCAUGCAAAAAUGUCCCGGUUCUCACGGAUGAACUCAAUGAGCGCGCUUUCCUAUUUCGAAUCCAGAUUUGUGCUGAUGCUAAACUACUUGGAUGAAUCGCCAGGAACAAAGUCAACAAGCUUAGUCUCAUCAGCCGGUUUGAAUUUCAGAUUUGGGUCAUGCUCAGUGGUGGGCUUCUUCAGAGGGGUCAUGUCUGCCAGAUCAACAUUGUCCCUGUAGUGUUUCAACUCCUUUGUAGCACAAACCGACUCAGCAUAAGCCGCAUCACCUUCCUCGCAAUCCAAAGCGAUCUUAUGAUUUCCGUGAACUGUGAUGGUCCCCUUGUGACCCGGCAUCUUGAGCUGCAAAUAAAUAUAACAGGGCCUUGCCAUGAACUUUGCAUAAGCCGGCCGUCCAAACAGCGCGUGGUACGGGCUCUGGAUCUUCACUACUUCAAAGGUCAAAGUUUCAGACCGGGAGUCAUGCUCAUCACCAAACACAACCUCCAAAGCGAUCUUAGCAACAGGAUAUGCUGAUUUACCUGGCACCACACCAUGAAAAAUAGUAUUUGAUGGUUUAAGACUCUUGUCUGUCAACCCCAUGCGAUGGAAGGUCUCAUAAUACAGAAUGUUGAUAUUGCUUCCUCCAUCCAUAAGCACCUUGGUGAAUUUAUAACCUCCCACCUGAGGUGCCACCACUAAGGCCAGGUGACCCGGAUUGUCAACCCGGGGCGGAUGAUCCUCUCUACUCCACAUAAUGGGUUGCUCGGACUACCACAAAUAACGUGGUACUGCCGGUUCAACAACAUUAACUGCCCUCUUGUGAAGCUUCUGAUCAUGCUUGCACAAACUAGUAGUGAACACAUGAUAUUGCCCACCAUUCAACUGCUUUGGGUGACUCUGAUAACCCGACUGCUGCUGAUUUCCUUGAUUAUUCUGUUGGUUAUUACCACCUUGGUUGUUUCGGUUGCCCUGAUUAUUCUGAAAUCCAGAGUUUGAACCGCCACCACCAUGAAACCUGGACCUGAACCGCCCGAUGGACCCUGAUCAUAUCGAAAAAGAUCAGAGUUUUUGAACUCCUUCAUAAUGUGGCAAUCCUUCCAAAGAUGUGUUGCUGGAACCUCCUUGGUCCCAUGCUUUGGGCAGGGUUGGUUUAACAAACGCUCCAGAUUCAUUCCGCCACCACGCUGGGGCAGUUUACCCUUACGAUGCUGCACAUUAGCGUUAGCCACAAAAUCUGAAUUAUCUGCUUUGUGCUUACAAUUAUUCUCGUGGCCUCCUUGGUUGUGCUGCUGCCCCUUUGCACCGCCGUUCUUCUUUCCCUUCUCCGGUUUCUCCUCAUCAGAAUCGGGAUCCUUGGUAUUAUCAGAAUCGGCAUACUUGACCAAGGCUGCCAUAAGGGUCCCCAUAUCAUUGCAGUGGCGCUUGAGCCGUCCCAACUUCAUCUUCAGUGACUUAAACUGGUAAUUACGUUCCAGUGUUAUGAUCGCUUGGCCAGCAUUAAUCCGGUCCGACGAAUGCAACACUUCUGAAACCCGGCGCACCCAAUGAGUUGUUGACUCGUUCUCCCCAUGAACACAGGCAUCCAGAUCCACAAUGGACAUAGGCUAUUUAGAUGUAUCCUUGAAAUUUGCUAUAAACCGGGCCUUCAAUUGGUCCCAUGACUCGAUGGAGUUAGCUGGUAGGUUCUUCAACCAUGUACGGGUUGUUCCCUCUAACAUCAUCGUGAAGUACUUUGCACAAGCCGCUUCAUCCACAUCCAGCAUCUCCAUUGCCAUCUCGUAACUUUCCACCCAUGCCUCGGGCGGUUGAUCAGCGGUGUAGUUAGGCACCUUGCGAGGUCCCUUGAAAUCUUUAGGCAGCCGCACACUACGGGGAGCCGGAAUGAGACACGGUACUCCCCAGGAACUGAAAGCAAGCCCGACGCCUCGGUCUAUCGACGCUGCUGGCUGAACCGGGGAGGGUUGGUAACGACCCGUACACUGUGCUGCUAAAGCGGCCUCCCUUCGUGCUCUACCAUUAUCCACCACAUCCUGAGCGUUCACCUCACCACGCGCCGGAUUGGGUCCUUGAGGGACAAUACGGCACCGCGCACUGCUGGACACCUCCAGUUCAUCUAUAUGCCUGCUAUAGCUUUUGUUCAGACGUGGGGUCAUGUGAAUCCUGUCUCGGCUAUACGAGUAAGCUUGCUGCUGUGUCAUGGCCGUUUGAAGAAGAUCCCUGGCCCGCCGGGUCUCAACCACUGCUGGCGAUUCACCCUCUAUCGGAAUAGCUACCAGCCGGGAUGCUGCUGCUAUCAUAUUGUCCAAAGGGGUAGAGAAGUGACCCGGCGGGGGCGUGGUAUACUGUGGCGGGUUGUCAGUUCGUCGAGGUGGACCCAUCAUCUGAGGUUGAUCCGGCACUCCGGUCCUUGGCACAAUAGUUCGGUUUGCUGCUGCCGGAUUGCUAGUCCUUGCUCCUAGUGUAUCAAAGAGAUUCAUUGCAUUGUAAUCCGCCGGCAAGCGAGAUUGAUGUCUCCUCCUGAAUACUUGAUUCGAAGCGUUCUGAUCCAUCAAAAAUCGAUAAUUCUCGGCUUGAAUCCUCUGCGCCUGGGCAUCUAAAUCGGCCCGUUCCUCAGCCAUCCUGAUCUCCUCAGCCACCAAGUCCUCUUUGGCCUGAGUUAUCUGAUCCUUUAGCUUCGCAACAUCCGCAUUAUGCUGAUCCUGCGUCGCCGAGGUAACUUCCGUGGUCAACAAGGUCGCCCAGGCAUCCAUCAAACCGGAGAGAACUUGAGCCGGCCGGCGCGCGGAGCCUCCUGCCCCUGUUGCCGGUCCGGAUGCUGCCGCAGUAGAAUUUUGCAAAGUUGGCUGUGUUCCAGCCAUGAAGAUUCCGACUUAGUUCGGCGGUUCAAGAAAUUCCGGAAUACUGGUGCCAUCGGAAUACCCUUCGAAUACACCGUCAUGAACUUGGUACAGAGAUUAGGUUUCACCAGUAGAUGAUUCGCCGUCGGAACAAGUGACCGUCUCACCUUCGCACACCGGUUCAGAUCCGAUCCCGUGGACACAUCCUACAAAUGCACGCUUCAUGGCGGGCUGAAUCCGAGCGGGGCUUGCACGCUGAGCCGUCUCGACGAGGUCGGUGCAGGUGUCCGGCUCAGGACCCGGUUCGCCGAUCUUGCCGAUGAAAAAGUAAAUUCCGCCAAAGGGGACUCGGUACCCAUACUCAAUUGAGCCGGCCUCGGGGCCCCAUCCUGCAUCGUCGAUGUAGAACUUGCCGCGACGACUCUUACUCAUCCGGCCCACUGCGUAUCCCUUGAGUCCUUCAAAGCUGCCCUUCAAAAACUCGAAACCAUCAUGCGAUAACCCCACGGUGGGUGCCAACUGUCGUGGAAAUAUCACGUCAGAUGUCCUCGUGAAAGCACUUAGUCGUGGAGCCAUUGCAACGGGUUAGCUUAAAGGGGUUAAACCGGACAAAGGACACGAGGGUUUUAUACUAGUUCGGCCCCUUCGAUGAAGGUAAAGGCCUACGUCUAGUUGUGAUGGGAUUAUUGGGGUUUUGAUAACCAGGGAGCUAAACACGCUAUGCCUGGCUCUCGAGUUGUUGUUUCUUGUCCCUGAACCGCCGCCGGGUCGUCCCCUUAUAUACACGGGUUGACGCCCAGCUGGUCUACAGAGUCCGAGGCCGGCUCAUACAAGUGUCCGGCUCGGUAUCUCCUUUCCUAUCUUACAAUACAAGUUACAUGACUAUGGCGGUUUACCACUAUGGGCCCUAAUCCGCCUUUGGGCCCCGGGUCUCUAAGCUUCAUAGUAAAGCGCCAUCUUCUGGGUCUUCCUGGGCUUCAAUAUAGUUGAGUGUGAACCGGCCCCUCCUAGGCGGUUUAUACUCAGUAGUUAUAUCCCCAACAAGUUUGGCGGCCAUCUUAUUGACUAAGGUGGCUUGCUUAUCAGAAAUUUUGGCUAUAGCAUUUUCAAGACGGGUAAUUUGAGCAUUAACACCAUAAAAUUCUUUAUUCAUAUCAUCAAGCUCUUUGUUCAUAAAUCCCCAAAACCCUUUUUGUUCCUUAAACUCUUUUCUAAACAAAUUAUUGUGCUGAAAUUGCAAAUUCAUAAAGCUUCUAAUAUUUGAUUCGAUAUCCUCCAUCCUUCUAAGAAGGUGGUUGGAACCUUUAGGCGAAGCCAUAAGGUCAAACAAGCACACAAGCAAACAGAAAAAGGCAAGCGAAAGAAAGAGGAGGAGAAGAUUGGGAAAGAGAGGGCAAAUAAAACGGCAAGGGUGAAGUGGGGGAGAGGAAAACGAGAGGCAAAUGGCAAAUAAUGUAAAUGCAAGGGAGAUGAGUUUGUGAUGGAUACUUGGUAUGUCUUGACUUGAGUGAAGACCUCCCCGGCAACGGCGCCAGAAAUCCUUCUUGCUACGUCUUGAGCUUGCGUUGGUUUUCCUUGAAGAGGAAAGGGUGAUGCAGCACAGUAGUGUAAGUAUUUCCCUCAGUUUUUGAGAACCAAGGUAUCAAUCCAGUAGGAGGCUCCUCAACAAGUCCCACGAACCUACACAAACAAACAAAGAACUCGCAACAAACGCGAUAAAGGGGUUGUCAAUCCCUUCACGGCCACUUGCAAAAGUGAGAUCUGAUAGAGAUAAAGUGAUAAGAUAAAUAUAUUUUGGUAUUUUAUAAUAUAGAUGCAGAAAGUAAAGAUGCAAAUAAAAGUAGAUUGGAAGCAAAUAUGAUAAGAGAUAGACCCGGGGGACAUAGGUUUCACUAGAGGCUUCUCUCGAGAGCAUAAGUAUUACGGUGGGUGAACAAAUUACUGUCGAGCAAUUGAUAGAAAAGCGAAUAAUUAUGACGUUAUCUAGGCAUGACCAUGUAUAUAGGCAUCAAGUCCGCAACAAGUAGACCGACUCCUGCCUGCAUCUACUACUAUUACUCCACACAUCGACCGCUAUCCAGCAUGCAUCUAGAGUAUUAAGUUCAUAAGAACAGAGUAACGCAUUAAGCAAGAUGACAUGAUGUAGAGGGAUAAACUCAAGCAAUAUGAUAUAAACUCCUUCUUUUUAUCCUCGAUGGAAACAAUACAAUACGUGCCUUGCAACCCUUUCUGUCACUGGGUAAGGACACCGCAAGAUUGAACCCAAAGCUAAGAACUUCUCCCAUGGCAAGAAAGAUCAAUCUAGUAGGUCAAACCAAACCGAUAAUUCGAAGAGACUUGCAAAGAUAACUCAAUCAUAUAUAAAAGAAUUCAGAGAAGAUUCAAAUAUUAUUCAUAGAUAAACUUGAUCAUAAACCCACAAUUCAUCGGAUCUCGACAAACACACCGGAAAAAGAGAUUACAUCAAAUAGAUCUCCACAAGAGAGGGGGAGAACAUUGUAUUGAGAUCCAAAAAGAGAGAAGAAGCCAUCUAGCUAAUAACUAUGGACCUGAAGCUCUAUGGUAAACUACUCACAACUCAUCGGAAGGGCUAUGGUGUUGAUGUAGAAGCCCUCCAUGGUGGAUUCCCCCUCCGGCAGAACACCGGAGACGGCUCCAAGAUGGGAUCUCGCGGAUACAGAAGGUUACGGUGGCGGAAAUAUUUCUUUUGUGGCUCCCUGGAUGUUUUUGGGGUAUGUAGGCUUAUAUAGGAGGAAGAAGUACGUCGGUGGACGCCCAAGGGGCCCACGAGACAGGGGGGCGCCCUCCUAUCUCGUGGAAGCUUCGGCUGCUUCUUGACUUGCACUCCAAGUCCUCUGGAUCACGUUCGUUCCAAAAAUCACGCUCCCGAAGGUUUCAUUCCGUUUGGACUCCGUCUAAUAUUCCUUUUCUUCGAAAUACUGAAAUAGGCAAAAAAACAGCAAUACGGGCUGGGCCUCCGGUUAGUAGGUUAGUCCCAAAAAUGAUAUAAAUGUGUAAAAUAAAGCCCAUAAACAUCAAAAACAGGUAAUAUAAUAGCAUGGAACAAUCAAAAAUUAUAGAUACGUUGGAGACGUAUCACUUACCUACAAGAAGAACCGACCAUUGAAUUGUUCAGAGACUUCUUUCACUUGAACUGCCGUACUGAGUUCACCGACGGCCCCAAUACUGAACCUGGCGGGGUGUCAAUUCAAAAGAGGAAAGAAGUCAAUUUUCCUCAUGCCAAACAUCACAGCCACCCUAAGGAUUGGAAUCGGACAUGGUUUUACUGCCGAAAUACUGCUCCUGAAAAUGAAAAUCCUCUAUCGGGUUAUCGUGCUCACCGGCUCAGUAAUGAACAUCCCUUGCCUCAACGGCUGACUGCCAAGGAACGAUCAAAAUAUUCAACACAGAUUUCUAAGAUCUGGGCUUUUAUGGCAAACGGUUUAACCGGUAUUGACCUUGUCCGCUGCUGAGUUGCAUGGAGAAUCCUACCCUUAACCCGGCGUCCCGGUUUGAUGUGCGAGUACAUGGGGGACUUGAAAGACCCUCAACGUCAUAUUGAUAUUCAGUUAACUGAUGAAGAGAUUACUGAGGCUGUCAAAAAGAUGUUGGAUGAACCAAUAUCUGAAUGCAGCAAAACUGGGCUGCGUCCCUUUUGUGCCUUCAACAAACCGCCAGCUGUAAGAAUUGCAUCUUUCUAUUUUAAUCCGCCCUCUUUUGACACUUUCUGAUAGCCUUUGUUUACCUUUGCAGGGCAAUGAUCCAUUUUGGAAGAGGAAACCGUAGGACAAACCGGCCAAGCCACAAGAUAAACCGGUGAGAGCACCUCGUGUCAAGACUAAAGUCACAAAGAAGCCAGCAAAUAAGAGAACCGCCGAGUCCCCUGAUCUGACUGAAGAUGUUGAUGACUCGGAAUCAGAGGUAGAACUUGAUUCACUUGGUUCAUUAUUCAUGCACCUUAUUGACAAUGAUCAUUAUCAGGAUGAUGCGGAAGCCAGCCGUGCUGACAAUGUAGAGGUAAUUUCCCUUUCCUCCGAUUCAGAUCAUGUGCAUGUACAAAAACUCCGUCGCGCAGUCCGGAAAGUAAAAUGUUCACAUCCUCUCGCUUAUUUGGAUCCGCACUUUUCUUUGAAGACACAGCAACAUGAAGCUCGUCGCACAACCCAGCACAGUGGCCAACAAGUCACCUCUUCCGGUUUACCAAACUCUCCGGUUCACAAACGCCGUUCAGAGGUCUCUUGUACUUCUAAUACAUCUUAUCCCAAGGUGGGUUGCUUUCGAUACCCUCUUAAUCUGUCUGAUUCGAAUUAUCAGGAAACUUCCAAUUCAUCCUCUGUCGAUUCAUCAACCACGCAGAUGCCUCCACUCAAGACCGUUCCUGGGUAAGCAUGAUAUACUUACUUUUAUUCCUUGCUCAGGUUUAUUGUACUAAUCUUUGUAUCUUAUUCUUUUCAGAGCCAAGGCCAGACUUAGCAAGAAAGCCAAGCUGGCUAUACCAACUGAUGCUAAUCAGACCCCUGAACCGGAGAAGACCCCUGAACCUCAUGAUCUGAAUGUUGAUGUUGUCCGGGAAGAUCCAGUACCUCCGGUUCGGGAUACUUUCGCUGAACCGGACGAGAGAAAUAUCAUGAACCAGCCUGCUAAUCCGCCAAGCCCAGCCAAGGAUGAAGAUAAUCCGCCAAGCCCAGCCAGGGAUACUGACAAUCCGCCAAGCCCAGCCAAAGGUGGUGAUGAUGAUGUUGUCAUUACUGGCACUGGUCAUACUGUUCCUGGUAACCUAGUCGCCUUAUCAAAGCAUAGUGCCAAGGAAGAAUUUGCUGCUAUGGGCAAGGGCAAGUGGAAAACAGAUUUAUCCAGCUGUGUUAACCUCAAUGCUCAGGAACUCCACUCUGGAUUUCUAAACCGCCUGUAUACAAGUCGUGAUUAUGAAGCCGGUUUAGUUAACUUGAUGAAGGAACGCUAUGAGGUAAUUCAUGUUUAAAAGUUUCAUAAAUCUUUCCUUUUGCUUUAUAUUAACUCCAGUGUAGCCCCCAAGGGCCGGUUUAUCUCUUCAAGAUGAACCGGGACUUUUGGUAAGAAAAACUUCAAUUGUGUAGCCCCCAAGGGCCGGUUUAUCUCUUCAAGAUGAACCGGGACUUUUGAUAAGAAAAACUUCAACUGUGUAGCCCCCAAGGGCCGGUUUAUCUCUUCAAGAUGAACCGGGACUUUCUGUUGUAAAUCUUAUCCUUGUUGAAUUCCUUCACAUCCGGUUGAUCUGAUCAAUUAGGCAUUAGCCCCCAAGUGCCAAGAUUAAUACUUGUAUUGAGCCUUGGGACUUCAAAUAACAGUUAGGAAGAAGCAAUCCGCAUUAGCCCCCAAGUGCCAAGUGUAUAACUUGUUAUGCGCUUGGGACUUUGAAAAAGUAUUACCAAUUUACUAUCUGUCUUUUGCAGGCUGACUUAACCAAUAAGGAUUCUCAAAUCGCCGACCUCCAGGAAAACAUCAAGUCCCAGCAAGCCGAAACCUCCAAAGCCAAGGAUGAAUUGAAGGGCGCUCUAACAUCCAUGGAACAACUAAAAGAUGGCUUCAAGAACGAGCGGGCAGGCCGGGAGACUGAAAAAGCCACUUUGCUGAAACGGGUGGAGGAUGCUGAAGCGGCACUUAAACCGGUGGCAGAAGAGCUGAGUGGCUUAAAGCGGCAAAUCAAUGCUAUGACUUCUAUUGUCUUUGGUAAGUACUCUUCUUCAGCUUUUUAUUAAACAUCUUUGAUACUGCCGGUUUAACAGCAAUUUCUGAAACUGUUGUAGGUAGUCGUGUUGCUCAUCUUGGCUCGGAUAUGCGAAAGAAAUUGAAGGCUGCCUAUACCUUGAUAGAGAAGCUUUAUACCGGUGCUCAACGGGUCAUCCGCACAGCUUCGUACAACAAACCGCCACCAUCAUUAAUCAAGGACACAUUGGCCAAAUUAUCCAUGACACCUGCCCAGCUGGAAGAAGUGAAGAGAUCUACUACAAGGGCUGGCACUUUAUCUGCACUGACUCGGGCUAAGGCUUGGAUAGCUGAUCUUGAUCUGGAAGACAUUGCAAAUGGCUAUCCUAGCCAAAAAGAAGACGGGUCAGAAUUUGACAACGACGCCCUUAAAUCUUUGACAAAAGAGAUGCGCCCACCUGCAAGUAGAUUGACCGAGGAAACUAAUUUGUCUUUCCACCGGUCCAUCUAUGAUGCAGACAACAAACGGAUCGAUGCAUCGGUUCAUGAGGCCCAAAAUCUAAUCCCCCCAAUCCCUAAGCACACUUACGCCCCUGACAUUGAACCAUCAGAUCUUAUAAGUGAUGAAGCUAUCUUCCGAGCUUUGUUUGGAAUUGACUGUGCAAACAUUGACUUCCAGCCAGUGGAUGGGGAGGAGGAGGGUGAACCGGUGCAAGACGAUCCAUCAACUUCACGUCAACCCAGGGACGAAUCAUAAUCCGGCAGCCGGCUUUAUUUCCGCAGAUUGUGUUCUGUGCAACAAACAGUUAUUCUUUUGGGUAUCAAAGCGCCUUGUAAUAGGCUAGCUGAAAUACUUUGAUCUGCUGCCAUCGUGCACUGCUACAUGACACUAUUUGAAUCCGCCAUGAUUGUUGCUAUGCUUGCUUAUGUGCCUUGUUAAUUUCAUGCAAUCCUUGUUUCUGCACAUAAAAAAUUACCCUGGCGGUUUACCGCCGGACGGGUCAUAAUACCCAAUAUAAAGCCUGGUUUGUAACCAAGGCUACAAGAAUAUCAAAAUAUGAAAUAGAUCAUACCUGUGAUAUUGAAUCAUAUUGUUGGUUUACCAACUUGAUUGUAGUAAGGGUGAUAACCCAAAUCUUGAGUGUUGAUAACUCCCACCAGGCUGUGCUGGUAUAUAAUAAGCCAUGCCGGGUUAUGAUAAACACUGGAUGAUCUUCCUGGUGACGCACAGUCAAUGCCAGACCGGGUUAAUAAUCACCGGUUUAUAAUUGAAUGUGGUCUAACAACUUGUAGCUGAAAGCCAGGCCGGGUUAACCAACACUGGGUUAAUUUGAUGACUUAUAGUCAUGCCGGGUUAAUAGACGCCGGUUCAACUUAAAACCUUAUCAAAAGAUAAAAAAUCUUGACAAAGGCAAAUAAAAUCUUGUAGUCGAGGCUUUUCAAGGGCUGUCAGGCCCAAAUUCGAGGCUUUUCAUGGGCUGCCAGGCCGCUGAGUUAAACCAUUUCACAAAGCCUUUCAAGAUGGGCCUCCAAUUAACCAAUUGUCGUUUUAACUUUGAUAAGUUCAGGGUCUAUGUAAGAAUGACUUGUCAAACGUUCGGCGGGUCAUACCAGGAUUACCUGGAAGGAGUGGCUUACUUGAAGAAGGAAGGUUAACCCGGGGUUUUAGGUGAAUACACCUGGCUUCCGAGCCUGGCUCGAUAGCCUAUUACAAGGGUCCUUUCAAACUCUUUGUUGCUUUGCACAAAGAGCCCCCAAGUAACUUUGUGAGUUGUGCUCAAUGGGUGCCUAUGUUUGAGCUGUGCUGAGCAACAAGACUCUCUUUGGCCCCUUGGGUGUGAAGCUCCCAAGCUUUGUUGUGGCGUGAUAGCCAGAUUAAUAGGCAGAACUCCGCUUUGUCAGCUGGAGCCCCCAUGUAAUCAAGAAAUAUUGGAAAAAUAGUAGAGGCCCUGCUUAUAGCAAGGAUGCGGGUUUAUUAUAUUGAUCAUAAUAUAUACAUUGUCAAAAUAUGUACAUAAGAGGAGCCUAUGGCUUAGGUGUAGUAAGGCCGAAGGUGAGCUAUGUUCCACGGCCGACGGGUCUCCUCCUCCGAUAUGUGUGAGUCUUUGUGCUCUCGAACGUCGAUGAGGUAGUAUGAUCCGUUGUGUAGAUUCUUGCUGAGCACAAAGGGCCCUUCCCAAGGUGAGGAUAAUUUGUGCAUAUCAGUCUGAUCCUGGAUGAGCCGGAGCACUAAGUCGCCUUCUUGAAAGGUUCUUGUUUUAACCCGGCGGCUGUGAUAACGCCGCAGGUCUUGCUGAUAAACCGCCGAACGAGCCAACGUCAUGUCCCGUUUUUCAUCUAACAGGUCUAGUGCUUCUUGACGUGCUUGCUCAUUGUCCACUUCAACAUAAUUGGCAACCCGGGGCGAGUCAUGAUGAAUAUCACUUGGGAGUACCGCCUCUGCCUCGUAAACCAUGAAGAAAGGUGUAUAACCCAUAGAUCGAUUGGGGGUGGUGUUUAUGCUCCAUAACACAGAAGGUAGUUCCUCCACACAACAACCCAGUGUCCUUUUCAAAGGAACCAUAAGCCGGGGCUUGAUACCCUUCAAGAUUUCCUGAUUAGCUCUCUCAGCUUGACCAUUAGACUGGGGGUGGGCCACUGAUGACACAUCAAGUCGGAUGUGCUCUCUUUGACAGAAGUCCUCCAUCUCACCUUUGGAGAGGUUCGUACCAUUAUCUGUGAUGAUGCUGUGUGGAAAACUGAAGCGGAAGAUCACCUUCUUUAUGAAUUGAACUGUCGUGGCUGCAUCACACUUGCUUACUGGCUCCGCUUCAACCCAUUUAGUGAACUUGUCAACCUCCACCAACAGGUGGGUCUUCUUAUCUUUGGACCGCUUAAAAGGUCCUACCCUAUCAAGCCCCCAAGUAGCAAAUGGCCAAGUGAUUGGAAUCAUCCUUAACUCUUGAGCCGGAACAUGAGCUCGGCGUGAAAACUUCUGACAAGCAUCGCACCGUUUCACCAAGUCCUCGGCAUCAGCAUGAGCCGUCAGCCAAUAAAAACCAUGACGAAAAGCUUUAGCAACUAAGGAUUUUGAACCGGCCUGGUGUCCAUAGUCUCCUUCAUGGAUCUCACGCAGAAUCUCACGACCUUCUUCAGGAGAAACACAGUGCUGGAACACACCCGAGACACUGCAGUGGUGUAACUCGCCAUUGUGAAUAACCAUGGACUUGGACCGCCGGAUUAUCUGUCUGGCCAAAACUUUCAUCUUCUGGUAACUUGCCCCGGUUCAUAUACGCCAAAUAUGGAACCGUCCAAUCCGAAAUAAUAUGCAGAGCGGCCACCAAUUGAGCCUCCAGAUCAGGAAUAGCGAGGUCCUCCUCUGUAGGCAACUUAACUGACGGAUUAUGCAAGACAUCCAGAAAGGUAUUGGGCGGCACCGGUUUACACUAAGACCCCAGCCGGCUUAAAGCGUCUGCCGCUUCAUUUUUGCGCCGAUCAAUAUGCUCAACCUGAUAACCCUUGAAGUGACCAGCCACAAUAUCCACCUCUCGUUGGUAAGCCACCAUGAGUGGAUCCUUAGAAUCCCAAGUACCUGAAACCUGCUGAGCCACCAGAUCAGAGUCCCCAAAGCAUCGUACCCGGCUUAAGUUCAUUUCCUUAGCCACUCGAAGACCAUGGAGCAAGGCCUUGUACUCAGUUGCAUUGUUAGUACAGGGAAACAUUAAGCGGAGAAUAUAAAAAAAAUUAUCACCUCGAGGGGAAGUAAGGACAACUCCAGCCCCCGAGCCCUCCAAUUGCCUGGACCCAUCGAAGUGGAUAGUCCAGUAUGUGUUAUCCGGUUUGUCUUCCGGUGCCUGCAACUCUGUCCAGUCAUUGAUGAAGCCGACGAGCGCUUGGGACUUGAUAGUUGUUCGAGGCAUAUACUUCAACCCGUGCGGUCCAAGCUCAAUAGCCCACUUUGCAACCCGGCCAGUUGCCUCCCUAUUCUGAAUUAUAUCUCCCAAAGGAUCGGAACUGACCACUGUGAUGGGAUGGCACUGAAAGUACUGCUUAAGCUUCCGACUUGCCAUGAACACCCCAUACACAAGCUUCUGCCAAUGCGUAUAUCUUUGCUUUGACUCGAUGAGCACCUCACUGAUAUAGUAAACCGGCCUUUGAACCGGAUAUUCCUUCCCAGUUUCCUUGCACUCGACCACAAUAGCCAUGCUGACGGCCCGGGCAUUGGCAGCCACAUACAGCAACAGCGACUCCUUAUCGACCGGAGCAGCAAGAACCGGCGGUUCAGCCAACUGCUCCUUCAAGUCCUCAAAUGUCGCAUCAGCAGCAUUACUCCAGACGAAAGUGUCUGUCUUCUUCAACAUCUGAUACAAAGGGAUUGCCUUCUCUCUCAAACGGCUGAUAAACUGGCUCAGGGCUGCAAAUCAACCCGCCAGACGGUGAACAUCGUUGAUACACGCCGGUUUAGCCAGAGACAUAAUAGCCUUGAUCUUUUCCGGAUUAGCCUCAAUGCCCCUGUUAGACACCAGGAAACCUAAGAGCUUGCCUACCGGAACACCGAAGAUGCACUUGGCCGGAUUGAGCAUCAUCUUAUAAACCCGAAGAUUGUCAAAGGUCUCCUUCAAGUCGUCAAUCAAUGUCUCCUUCUUCCUGGACUUUACCACAAUAUCAUCCACAUAAGCAUGAACAUUGCGCCCAAUUUGGGUAUAAAGACAAUUCUGCACACAGCGCUGAUAAGUUUCCUGGGCACUCUUGAGCCCAAAGGGCAUAGAUACAUAGUAGAAGGCUCCAAAGGGAGUGAUGAAAGCUGUUUUCUCCUGGUCCUUAACUGCCAUCUUGAUCUGAUGAUAACCAGAAUAAGCAUCCAAGAAACUCAAACACUCACAACCCGCCGUAGCAUCAAUGAUCUGAUCAAUACGAGGGAGAGCAAAAGGAUUGGCCGGACAAGCUUUGUUCAAGUCCGUGUAAUCCACACAAAUGCGCCAAGUACCAUUCUUCUUAAGCACUAGUACCGGAUUGGCCAGCCACUCUGGAUGAAAAACCUGAAUGAUAAACCCAGCAGCCAACAGCCGGGCAACCUCUUCACCAAUGGCCUUGCGCCUUUCUUCGUUGAAGUGACGAAGAAACUGCUUGAUCAGUUUAAACUUGGGAUCAAUAUUGAUAUUGUGCUCAGCGAGUUCCGUCGGUACACCUGGCAUGUCAGAAGGCUUCCAUGCAAAGAUGUCCCGGUUCUCACGGAUGAACUUGAUGAGCGCGCUUUCCUAUUUCGGAUCCAGAUUAGUGCUGAUACUAAACUGUUUGGAUGAAUCGCCAGGAACAAAAUCAACUAGCUUAGUCUCAUCAGCCGGUUUAAACUUUAGGGUUGGGUCAUGCUUUGUGGUGGGCUUCUUCAGAGGAGUCAUAUCUGCCGGAUCAACAUUGUCCUUGUAGAACUUCAACUCUUCUGCCGCACAAACCGACUCAGCAUACGCCGCAUCACCCUCUUUGCAAUCCAAAGCGAUCUUACGACUCCCAUGUACUGUAAUGGUCCCCUUAUGACCCGGUAUUUUGAGUUGUAGAUAAACAUAACAGGGCCUUGCCAUGAACCUUGCAUAAGUCGGCCGUCCAAACAGAGCAUGAUAUGGGCUCUGGAUUUUCACCAGUUCAAAAGUUAAGGUUUCUAACCCGGAAUCAUGGUCAUCUCCAAACAUAACCUCCAGAGCUAUCUUACCAACUGGGUAUGCUGAUUUACCUGGUACCACCCCGUGAAAACAGUGUUUGACGGUUUAAGAUUCUUAUCUGUCAAUCCCAUGCGACGGAAGGUUUCAUAAUACAGAAUGUUGAUGUUGCUUCCUCCAUCCAUGAGCACCUUGGUGAACUUAUAACCCCCAACCCGAGGUGCCACCACCAAAGCUAGAUGACCCGGAUUAUCAACCCGGGGCAGAUGAUCCUCUCUGCUCCACACGAUGGGCUGUUCAGAUCAAGGUAAGUAACGAGGCACUGCCGGUUCAACAGCGUUAACUGCCCUCUUGUGAAGCUUCUGAUCGCGCUUGCACAAGCUAGUGGUGAAAACAUGAUACUGCCCACUAUUCAAUUGCUUCGGGUGACUCUGAUAACUCGACUACUGCUGAUUCCCCUGAUUAUUCUAUUGAUUAUAACCACCCUGGUUGUUCUGAUUGCCCUGAUUGCCUUGAUUGUCCUGGAAUCCUGAGCUUGAACCGCCACCACCGUAACCCGGCCCAUGAGAUCCAUGCCCUGAACCGCCAGGUGGACCCUGAUCAUAUCGGAAAAGAUCAGAGUGUUUGAACUCUCGCAUGAUGAAACAAUCCUUCCAGAGGUGCGUGGCUGGAAUCUCCUUUGUCCCGUGCUUUGGGCAAGGCUGGUUCAACAGGCGCUCCAGAUUCAUACCUCCACCCCGCUGGGGUGGUUUACCCUUACGAUGCUGAGCAUUGCCCUGCACAUUGGUGUUAGCCACAAAAUCUGAAUUGUCCGCCUUACGUUUACCAUUACUGCCGUUGCUCGCCGGAUUAGGCUGCCGUCCCUUGGUGUUGCCGCUCUUCUUUCCCUUCCCCGGCUUUUCCUCGUCAGACUCGGGAUCCUUGGUACUAUCAGAGUCAGCAUACUUAACUACAGCCCCCAUGAGUGUUCCCGUAUCAUUGCAGUGACGCUUGAGCCGCCCCAACUUGAACUUCAAAGGCUUGAACUUGCAAUUGCCCUCCAACAUUAUGAUUGCUGAAUCUGCAUUGAUGCGGUCAGAUGAAUGUAAGAUCUCAGAAACCAGGCGUACCCAAUGGGUAGUCGAUUCACCCUCUCCUUGAACAUAAGCGGCCAGAUCAACAAUUGACAUCGGUUGCUUGCAAGUAUCUUUGAAGUUGUUGAUAAACCUGAUCUUCAAUUCGCCCCAAGACCUAAUAGAAUUAGGGGGCAAACUCUUUAACCAAGUACGAGCUAUUCCUUCUAGCAUCAUAGUGAAAUACUUAGCACACGCCGCUCCAUCCACAUUCAGCAUCUCCAUUGCCAUCUCAUAGCUUUCAACCCAUGACUCGGGGUGCAAGUCCGCAGUGUAAUUGGGAACUUUCCGAGGGCCCUUGAAAUCCUUGGGCAACCGCACAUUGCGCAGGGCCGGUGUGAGACAUGGCACCCCAAAAGUGGUAAAAGCAACUCCUGGCUCCACUGUAGUAGUUGCACGAACCGGCGUAAGCUGACGCUCCACGUCUUGCACAGUCAAUCUAGCUCCGGCGCGCCCGUCCCUGGUCCACUACAUCAUGUGCUUCAUUCCUUCCCCUUGCCGGGUUAGGCCUCCGUGGCGGAUUAUGGUUCCGUCCACUGCUUGACACAGCUGGCUCUUCGACAUGCCUGCUGUAACUCCGGCUUGGGCGAGGAGUUGAGUGAAUCCUAUCCCGACUGUAUGAAUACGCCUACUUUUGAACCAUUGCUGUCUGGAGUAAAUCCCUAGCCCGCUGUGUCUCGACCGCCGCAGGGGAAUCGCCUUCCAUCGGAAUAGCGGCCAAUCUUGAUGCUGCAGCAAUCAUAUUAUCCAAAGGGGUAGGGAAGUGACCCAGUGGUGUUGGCACGUAUUGUGGCGGAUCAUGGUUCUGCUGAGGCAGACCCAUUGUGCUCGGCUCAUCCGGCACUCCUGUCCUGGGUGCUUCAACCCGGUUUACCACGGGCGGGUUACUGGUGCCCGCUCCCGGCGUGUUAAAGAGAUUCCUUGCUUCGUAAACCGGUGGCAGACGAGACUGGUGCCUCCUCCUGAUCACCUCGUUUGAAGCGUUCUGAUCUAACAUAAGUCGAUAAGCCUCUGCAGCACUCACUGAGCUUGAGCAUUCAAAGCGGUUCGUUCCUCGACCAUCCUGGUCUCCUCAGCAGCCAUGUCCUCCUUAGCCCGAGUUAUCUGAUCUCGCAACUUUCUGACUUCUGCAUUAUGCUCAUCCAGAUUAUCCGGAUUAACCUCUGUAGUCAACAAAGUUGCUAAAGCAUCCAACAAACCAGACAAGACUUGAGCCGGCGGGCGCGCGGGGCCUCCUGCCCCAGCUACUGAUCCGGAAAUCAUCGCCGCUGCUGUUGAAGAUUGAGGUGCGAGCUGUGUACCGGCCAUGAAGAUUGCAACCCAGUUUGGCGGUUCAAAGGAGUCUGGAAUACUGUCGCCAUUGGAACAAUCCCCGAACAGGCCAUCCUACACUUGAUACAAAGACUCGAUCUCACCGGUGGAUGACUCGCCAUCGAAAUAGACGGUUGUCUCACCAUCGGAUAUCGGUUCAGAUUCGGUACCAUGGAUGAAUCCUACGAACGCACGCUUCAUGGCGGGCUAAACUCGGGCAGGGCUCGCACGCUGAGCCGUCUUGACGAGGUCGGUGCUGAUGUAUGGCUCAGGGCCUGGUUCGCCGAUCUUGCCGAUGAAGACGUGAAUUCUUCCGAAGGGGACCUGGUACCCGUACUUGAUUGAGCUGGCAUCGGGGCCCCAGCCUGCAUCGUUGAUGUAGAGCUUGCCGCGACGACUCUUAGUCAUCCGGCCCACUACGUAUCCCUUGAGCCCUUCAAACUUGCCCUCCAUGAACUUGAAACCAUCAUGUGAUAGCCCCACGGUGGGCGCCAACUGUCGUGGAAUUAUCACGUCAGAUGUCCUAGUGUGAGGACUUAGUCGUGGAGCCAUCGCGAUCGGGUUAGCUUAGAGGGGUUAAACCGGACAAAGGACACGGGAAGUUUAUACUGGUUUGGCCCCUUGCGGUGAAGGUAAAAGCCUAUGAUCCAGUUGUGGUGGAAUUGAUGUGGUCUCGAUAACCAGGGAGCGAAUACGCUUUGCCUAGUUCUCGAGUUGUUGUUUAUUGUCCCUGAACUGCCGCCGGGUCAUCCCUAUAUAUACACAGGUUGACGCUUGGCCGGUCUACAGAAUCCCGAGGCCGGCUCAUACAAGUGUCCGGCUCGGUUUCUUCCUUUCCCUAUCUUACAACACAAGUCACACGCCUUAUGGCGGUUUACAUCUAUGGGCCCUAAUCCGCCAUUGGGCUCUGGGCCUCUAAGCCUCCAUAGUUAAAGCGCCAUAGUCUUCGUCUUCAUGGGAUUCUAUAUAGAUGACUGCUUGUGAGUAUAAUCCGGCCCCUCCUGGGCGGUUUAUACUCGGUAGUUAUAUCCCCAACACUACUCAUAGAUUCAUCAAAAUAAGCAAACAACACACGAAGAACAGAAUUUGUCAAAAAUAGAACAAUCUGUAGUACUCUGUAACUUUCAAAUACUUCUGUAACUCCAAAAAUUCUGAAAUAUAUUGGUGGACGUGAGGAAUUUGUCUAUUAAUCUUCUGCAAAAAGAAUAAACCUAAAAUCACUCUUUUGUAAAAAACAACAGCUAUUCUCGUGAGUGCAAAAGUUUCUGUUUUUUACAGCAAGAUCGCAAAGACUUCACCCAAGUAUUCCCAAAGGUUCUACUUGGCACAAACACUAAUUAAAACAUAAAACCACAUCUAGCCAGAGGCUAGAUGAAUUAAGAACAAAAAUAAAAUUGGGUUGCCUCCCAACAAGCGCUAUCGUUUAACGCCCGUAGCUAGGCAUUAAGAUUUCGAUGAUGCUCACAUGAAAGACAAGAAUUGAAGCGCAAAGAGAGCAUCACGAAACACAUGCCAAACACAUCUAAGUCUAACAUACUUCCUAUGCAUAGGCAUAUUAUAGGCAAACAAAUUAUCAUAGCAAGCAAAAACUAGCGUAUGCAAGGAAGAAGAAAAAGAUGAUAACAAUCUCAACAUGAAGAGAGGUAAUUUAGUAAGAUAAAAAUUUCUACAACCAUAUUUUCCUCUCUCAUAAUAAUUACAUGUAGGAUCAUAAGCAAAUUCAACAAAAUAGCUAUCACAUAACAUAUUCUCAACACGAUCCACAUGCAUGCAAAGUUGACACUCCUCCAAAAUAAUGGGAUCAACAUUAACUAAAGUCAUGACCUCUCCAAACCCACUUUUAUCAAAAAUUUCAUAAGAUUGAACAUUCUCCAAAUAUGUGGGAUCUAAACUUGACACUCUUCCAAACCCAAUUUCAAUAUUAUUGCAAACAUUAUUAUCAAUCUCAUAUUCAUCAUGGGGCUUAAAUAAAUUUUCAAGAUCAUAAGAAGAAUCACCCUAAUCAUGAUCAUUGCAAGAAAUAGUAGACAUAGCAAAAAUAGCAUCCCCAAGCAUAAGGUUUUGCAUAUCAUUAACACAAUUGACAUUAAGAGAAUUUAUAAUAACAUCAUUGCAAUCAUGCUUUUCAUCGAAGGAACUAUCAAGUAUGGGUGCAAUAGCAACGAUCUCAUGUUUAACAUAAGGAACUAUAGAAAAUUCGUCUUCAUAAAUAUUGGCAUCAUGGCCACAAGAAUAGAAAGCAUCAUGUUCAUCAAGGGAUAUUUCAACCAAAUCAUCCGAAUCAUAAUUAUCUAUAGAUUCAUGCAUAUCAUUAUUUUCUUCCAAAGCAACAGUCAUUCUUUCAAUAAAUUCUUUAACAUAGACAUUAUGAGCAUAGUUUUCAUAGCAAUAUUUAAGUAUGUCAGAAAAUUUAGAUUCAUAUAGAGUAAUAUCAUACUUUUCAAUCAAAGAAGCAACUUCAUAAGCACGCUUAAAAGCAACAAAGUCUUCAAUUUGUUCGAUGUCAUAGUAAUUAUAAACACCCUUUGCAUAAGAAGAUAAGAUUUCAUUAUCAUUAAACUAGCAUAGGUAGGGAAGGUGUUCUUUAGGGUUCUUAGAGCAACAAGUAAAAUCAUAAAUUUCACAAAGAUUCCAAGCAUAACACAUCAAUCUGUUUAUUUGAUCCCAUAAGAGUCUCCCUUUUUCAGACAAACAAUGACGCACAAAAUGAGCAUGCUCAUCUAAAGAUUUCCCAUCAACUAGGCUAGUUGGGGUUUCAGCACAAGCGCAUAAGGAUCAAAGAUGAUCCAAGUAAAACACUUUAAGUGGAUCCAUAUCAAUAGAUUUUUAGCAAGCAAAGAUGCAAGCAAAUAGAAGGCACAUGGAAAUACAAACAAAAAGACAUACGUGAAGAAGGCGAAUAAAAGGCAAAGGUUUUCAAAAAUCGUUUUAGAAGUGGGGGAGAGGAAAACGAGAGGCGAAUGGCGAAUAAUGUAAUGCAAGGGAGAAGAGUUUAUGAUGGGUACAUGGUAUGGCUUGACUUGGCAUAGAUCUCCCCGGCAACGGCGCCAGAAAUCCUUCUUGCUACCUCUUGAGCAUGCAUUGGUUUUCCCUUGAAGAGUAAAUGGUGAUGCAACAAAGUAGCAUAAGUAUUUCACUCAUUUUUGAGAACCAAGGUAUCAAUCCAAUAGGAGACGAUGCACAAGUUACUGAAUACAUGCACAAACAAUCAAGAACUUGCAACCAAUGUGAUAAAGGGGUUGUCAAUCCCUUCAUGGUCACUCACAAAAGUGAGAUCUGAUAGAGAUAAUAAAGUAAACAUUUUUGGUUUAUAGAUUGGAAAGUAAAGAUUGCAAAAUAAUAGAUCGAAAACUAGCAAGAUGUAAACGAGAUUUAAUAUAAUGGGAAAAGAGACCCGGGGGCCAUAGGUUUCACUAGUGGCUUCUCUCGAGAUACCAUAUAUUAUGGCGGGUGAACAAAUUACUUCUGAGCAAUUGAUAGAAAAGCGCAUAAUUAUGAUGACAUCUAAGGCAAUGAUCAUGAACAUAGGCAUCACGUCCGUGUCAAGUAGACCGACUCCUGUCUGCAUCUACUACUAUUACUCCACACAUCGACCGCUAUCCAGCAUGCAUCUAGAGUAUUAAGUUCAUAAAGAAUGGAGUAACACAUUAAGCAAGAUGACAUGAUGUAGAGGAAUUAACUCAAGCAAUAUGAUGAAAACCACAUCUUGUUAUCCUCGAUGGCAACAAUACAAUACAUGCCUUGCUGCCCCUACUGUCAUUGGGAAAGAACACCACAAGAUUGAACCCAAAGCUAAGCACUUCUCCCAUGGCAAGAAAGAUCAAUCUAGUAGGCCAAACUAAACCGACAAUUCGAAGAGACUUGCAAAGAUAUCAAAUCAUGCAUAUAAGAAAAAGAACCAAAUAAUAUCUAUAGAUAAUCUUGAUCAUAAAUCCACAAUUCAUCGGAUCUCAGCAAACACACCGAAAAGUGUAUUACAUCGAAUAGAUGUCCAAGAACAUCGAGGAGAACUUUGUAUUGAGAAUCAAAGAGAGAGUAGAAGCCAUCUAGCUAAUAACUAUGGACUCGAAGGUCUGUGGUAAACUACUCACGCUUCAUCGAAGAGGUAAUGGUGUUGAUGUAGAAGCCCUCCGUGAUCGAAUCCCCUCCGGCAAGAUGCCGUAAAAGGCCCCAAGAUGGGAUCUCACGGGUACAGAAGGUUGCGGCGCUGGAAAACUAGAUUUAUGGCUCCCCCUAACGUUUUUAGCUUAUAAGAGUAUAUAUGGCGAAAGAAAUAGGUCGAUGGAGCUACGAGGGGGCCACGAGGGUGGGGGCGUGCCUACCCCCCUGGGCGCGCCUUCCUGCCUCGUGGCCUCCUUGUUACGUCUCCGACUUCAUCUCCAAGUCUUUUGGUUUGCUUUCGGUCCAAAAAAGAUCAUCACGAAGGUUUCAUUCCGUUUGGACUCCGUUUGGUAUUCCUUUUCUGCAAAACUCUAAAAUAGGCAAAAAAAAUAGAAACUGGCAUUGGGCCGUCGGUUAAUAGGUUAGUCCCAAAAAAAUAUAAAAUAGCUUAUUAAAGCCCAUUAAACAUCCAAAACAGAUAAUAUAAUAGCAUGGAACAAUCAAAAAUUAUAGAUAUAUUAGAGACUUAUCACAUAUCUCUAUGUAGCCCAAAUCGUUAGGGUCAAAUUCUUCCAUGAUGAGGACUGUGUACUCAUCCGCUCGCUCCUUGAUUUUGGAAAGUUUGUUUGCUGAUGCACUAAGGGCGAUAAUUGCGAAGUGUGUCAUCAUUUCCUUAAUUAAUAGCAGAAUAUAUGCUUCACAUUUACACACUGAGGCUAUAUUUUCAGUUUGGGUUCUUGUGACUGACCUCCUUAACAUCCUCGGAUGUGAUUCUUCCAUCGGCAUUUUGUCAACCCUGAACAAGUGCACCUAUAUAUCAAGAGUGAAGGAAACCAAGAAAAAACAUUUAGCAUGAGUGAACUACUAACAUGUCGAUGCAUGUUUGGUGACGGUUGUCGAAACCCUGGUGAUUGAGUUGCUCCCAGAGCUCUUUCAGCUCCACCUUGGUCAAUACUUCAUUGUCCCUCUCUUCCUCGCCAGUGAAUCGAACAACCUCGUCGUUGUCUCUGAACCAUGUGGUAUUUGUGGCAUUUGCUGCUUGAACCUUCUAAGCCUCCAUUGUUUGUGUUUGAGAUCAUCGUUGCAGUGUCAGAAUCAGUGGCUCACUUGGCAGCUUCAGUGUCAGACGUGUCCUUCUUUACCUACCUCUAGGACAACUUCUCCUCCCUGCUCAAAGGAGAAGUUGGUCACUAACUGUCUUUUUCAACGAAUCAAAACUUGCAGCAGAUGUGUCUCCACGAAUAGAAAGGUAAAUAAAAAACAGAAGUUACAAUCGUACUUGUAAUAACCUAAGAUACAUGAAUAGAAAUUACAAGAGAAGAGAUCUCACUUUUUAUUUUUCAAGCACUCAGAUCUCCCCGGCAAAAAGACAUAUGGAAAUACAAACAAAAAGACAUACGUGAAGAAGGUGAAUAAAAGGCAAAGGUUUUCAAAAAUCGUUUUAGAAGUGGGGGAGAGGAAAACGAGAGGCGAAUGGCGAAUAAUGUAAUGCAAGGGAGAAGAGUUUAUGAUGGGUACAUGGUAUGGCUUGACUUGGCAUAGAUCUCCCCGGCAACGGCGCCAGAAAUCCUUCUUGCUACCUCUUGAGCAUGCAUUGGUUUUCCCUUGAAGAGUAAAUGGUGAUGCAACAAAGUAGCAUAAGUAUUUCACUCAUUUUUGAGAACCAAGGUAUCAAUCCAAUAGGAGACGAUGCACAAGUUACUGAAUACAUGCACAAACAAUCAAGAACUUGCAACCAAUGUGAUAAAGGGGUUGUCAAUCCCUUCAUGGUCACUCACAAAAGUGAGAUCUGAUAGAGAUAAUAAAGUAAACAUUUUUGGUUUAUAGAUUGGAAAGUAAAGAUUGCAAAAUAAUAGAUCGAAAACUAGCAAGAUGUAAACGAGAUUUAAUAUAAUGGGAAAAGAGACCCGGGGGCCAUAGGUUUCACUAGUGGCUUCUCUCGAGAUACCAUAUAUUAUGGCGGGUGAACAAAUUACUUCUGAGCAAUUGAUAGAAAAGCGCAUAAUUAUGAUGACAUCUAAGGCAAUGAUCAUGAACAUAGGCAUCACGUCCGUGUCAAGUAGACCGACUCCUGUCUGCAUCUACUACUAUUACUCCACACAUCGACCGCUAUCCAGCAUGCAUCUAGAGUAUUAAGUUCAUAAAGAAUGGAGUAACACAUUAAGCAAGAUGACAUGAUGUAGAGGAAUUAACUCAAGCAAUAUGAUGAAAACCCCAUCUUGUUAUCCUUGAUGGCAACAAUACAACAUGUGCCUUGUUGCCCCUACUAUCACUGGGAAAGGACACCGCAAGAUUGAACCCAAAGCUAAGCACUUCUCGCAUGGCAAGAAGGAUCAAUCUAGUAGGCCAAACUAAACCGAUAAUUCGAAGAGACUUGCAAAGAUAUCAAAUCAUCCAUAUAAUAAUUCAGAGAAGAACCAAACAAUAUUCAUAGAUAAUCUUGAUCAUAAAUCCACAAUUCAUCGGAUCUCGGCAAACACACCGCAAAAGGGUAUUACAUCGAAUAGGUCUCCCAGAACAUCAAGGAGAACUUUGUAUUGAGAAUCAAAGAGAGACAAUAAGCCAUAUAGCUAAUAACUAUGGACCCGAAGGUCUGUGGUAAACUACUCACGCUUCAUCGGAGAGGUAAUGGUGUUGAUGUAGAAGCCCUCCGUGAUCAAAUCCCCCUCCGGCAGGAUGCCGAAAAAGGCCCCAAGAUGGGAUCUCACGGGUACAGAAGGUUGCGGUGGUGGACAACUGGAUUCGUGGCUCCCCCUAAUGUUUUUAGGGUACAAGAGUAUAUAUAGGCGAAAGAACUAGGUCGGUAGAGCUACGAGGGGCCCACGAGGGUGGGGGUGCGCCUACCCCCCCUGGGCGCGCCUUCCUGCCUCAUGGCCUCCUUGUUACGUCUCUGACUUCAUCUCCAAGUAUUUUGGUUUGCUUUCGGUCCAAUAAAGAUCAUCACGAAGGUUUCAUUCCGUUUGGACUCCAUUUGGUAUUCCUUUUCUGCAAAACUCUAAAAUAGGAAAAAAAACAGAAACUGGCACAGGGCCGUCAGUUAAUAGGUUAGUCCCAAAAAAAUUAUAAAAUAGCUUAUUAAAGCCCAUUAAACAUCCAAAACAGAUAAUAUAAUAGCAUGGAACAAUCAAAAAUUAUAGAUGUGUUGUAGACGUAUCACAUACCUCUAUGUAGCCCAAAUUGUUAGGGUCAAAUUCUUCCAUGAUGAGGACUGUGUACUCAUCCGCUCGCUCCUUGUUUUUGGAAAGUUUGUUUUUUGAUGCACUAAGGGCGAUAAUCUGUGAAGUGUGUCAUCAAUUGCUUAAUUAAUAGCAGAAUGUAUGCUUCACAUUUACACACUAAGACUAUAUUUUUAGUUUGGGUUCUUGUGACUGACCUCCUUACCAUCCUCGAAUGUGAUUCUUCCAUCAGCAUUUUGUCAACCCUGAACAAAGUGCACCUAUAUAUCAAGAGUGAAGGAAACCGAGAAAAAACAUUUAGCAGGAGUGAACAACUAACAUGUCGAUGCAUGUUUGGUGACGGUUGUCGAAACCCUGAUGAUUGAGUUGCUCCCAGAGCUCUUUCAGCUCCACCUUGGUCAAUACUUCAUUGUCCCUCUCUUCCUCGCCAGUGAAUCGAACAACCUCGUCGUUGUCUCUGAACCAUGUGGUAUUUGUGGCAUUUGCUGCUUGAACCUUCUAAGCCUCCAUUGUUUGUGUUUGAGAUCAUCGUUGCAGUGUCAGAAUCAGUGGCUCACUUGGCAGCUUCAGUGUCAGACGUGUCCUUCUUUACCUACCUCUAGGACAACUUCUCCUCCCUGCUCCAAGGAGAAGUUGGUCACUAACUGUCUUUUUCAACGAAUCAAAACUUGCAGCAGAUGUGUCUCCACGAAUAGAAAGGUAAAUAAAAAACAGAAGUUACAAUCGUACUUGUAAUAACCUAAGAUACAUGAAUAGAAAUUACAAGAGAAGAGAUCUCACUUUUUAUUUUUCAAGCACUCAGAUCUACCUAGCUCAAUUAAGAACUCAUCUCUCCAUGGGGGGGUGCGGCAUCAUCAGCUGGAGUAUACAGAAAUUGGACCGAACCCCAAGUGGAGAAACAAACAUACACUAACUAACAAUUAAGCAGAGAAGACGAAAAGUAACUUUUGUUUACGUCAAAGAGAAAAAGAGCAAAGUUUAUACCUUAAACCCGAGAGAGACAUCGGGCCCUAAUUGGAACCGGGAGCAAAGAGUACCCUUAAUAAAUACUCCCUUUGUCUCAAAAUAUAAGGCAUUUUUGACACUUUUGAGACAUAAGGAGUACAAACCAAGUUGUCUGGGGACCUAAACGCAUGAGGUAAAGCACCAACCACUACUGGCAGUUAGCACUGGUCACUUGUGUCAGCUCUACUCCUCCGAAUGUGACUCGCUGGCCUUGCGACAAAUGACACAGGGGAAAUUGGUUAGUGCAUGGUUGCACUUCAGCUAUUGGAAACUUAAGGGAAAAACCCACGAUAUUCAUAUUUUUCUCUUUGAAUCAGAUCUAGAGGUAUUUAACAAAAGAAACUUCGAAGAGAACAGAAACAACAGUAAAAAACUUUCGGCAAUCUGGAUCAUGUAUCCAAAAGAAACUCCGAGGAGAACUAGCCAGCAUCUUCGAUUGUGCAAUAUGGAUCACGUAUUCUGCUUAGUUGGGGUAUCUUAACCCUAGAAAUUUGGAUGUUAGGACCUGCAUUCACCAUUUCCAACAUAGAAAACCAUUAAUUAGAGAUGUAAAACAAACGGCUUAUAGCAUUCUACUGUGCAACUGUUUAAUUUUUAGAAAUUCUGUUCUCAAAAUUCUAAUCCUGAGUAGUGUUGCAACACGUCAAAGGAAGAAGUCUAACCUGAAGAAGUGCAGGGAAGAAUUACAAUUGCAUGUGGUCGGCUGGUUCAGGGGAUGUUUUUGGUUUAUAAAGAUAAUAAAGUAAACAUUUUUGGUUUAUAGAUUGGAAAGUAAAGAUUGCAAAAUAAUAGAUCGAAAACUAGCAAGAUGUAAACCAUAUUUAAUAUAAUGGGAAAAGAGACACGGGUGCCAUAGGUUUCACUAGUGGCUUCUCUCGAGAUAGCAUAUAUUAUGGUGGGUGAACAAAUUACUGCCAAGCAAUUGAUAGAAAAGCGCAUAAUUAUGAUGACAUCUAAGGCAAUGAUCAUGAACAUAGGCAUCACGGCCGUGUCAAGUAGACCGAGUCCUGCUUGCAUCUACUACUAUUACUCCACACAUCGACUGCUAUCCAGCAUGCAUCUAGAGUAUUAAGUUCAUAAAGAACGGAGUAACGCAUUAAGCAAGAUGACAUGAUGUAGAGGAAUUAACUCAAGCAAUAUGAUGAAAACCACAUCUUGUUAUCCUCGAUGGCAACAAUACAAUACAUGCCUUGCUGCCCCUACUGUCAUUGGGAAAGAACACCACAAGAUUGAACCCAAAGCUAAGCACUUCUCCCAUGGCAAGAAAGAUCAAUCUAGUAGGCCAAACUAAACCGACAAUUCGAAGAGACUUGCAAAGAUAUCAAAUCAUGCAUAUAAGAACUCAGAGAAGAACCAAAUAAUAUCUAUAGAUAAUCUUGAUCAUAAAUCCACAAUUCAUCGGAUCUCAGCAAACACACCGGAAAAGUGUAUUACAUCGAAUAGAUGUCCAAGAACAUCGAGGAGAACUUUGUAUUGAGAAUCAAAGAGAGAGUAGAAGCCAUCUAGCUAAUAACUAUGGACUCGAAGGUCUGUGGUAAACUACUCACGCUUCAUCGAAGAGGUAAUGGUGUUGAUGUAGAAGCCCUCCGUGAUCGAAUCCCCUCCGGCAAGAUGCCGUAAAAGGCCCCAAGAUGGGAUCUCACGGGUACAGAAGGUUGCGGCGCUGGAAAACUAGAUUUAUGGCUCCCCCUAACGUUUUUAGCUUAUAAGAGUAUAUAUGGCGAAAGAAAUAGGUCGAUGGAGCUACGAGGGGGCCACGAGGGUGGGGGCGUGCCUACCCCCCUGGGCGCGCCUUCCUGCCUCGUGGCCUCCUUGUUACGUCUCCGACUUCAUCUCCAAGUCUUUUGGUUUGCUUUCGGUCCAAAAAAGAUCAUCACGAAGGUUUCAUUCCGUUUGGACUCCGUUUGGUAUUCCUUUUCUGCAAAACUCUAAAAUAGGCAAAAAAAAUAGAAACUGGCAUUGGGCCGUCGGUUAAUAGGUUAGUCCCAAAAAAAUAUAAAAUAGCUUAUUAAAGCCCAUUAAACAUCCAAAACAGAUAAUAUAAUAGCAUGGAACAAUCAAAAAUUAUAGAUAUAUUAGAGACUUAUCACAUAUCUCUAUGUAGCCCAAAUCGUUAGGGUCAAAUUCUUCCAUGAUGAGGACUGUGUACUCAUCCGCUCGCUCCUUGAUUUUGGAAAGUUUGUUUGCUGAUGCACUAAGGGCGAUAAUUGCGAAGUGUGUCAUCAUUUCCUUAAUUAAUAGCAGAAUAUAUGCUUCACAUUUACACACUGAGGCUAUAUUUUCAGUUUGGGUUCUUGUGACUGACCUCCUUAACAUCCUCGGAUGUGAUUCUUCCAUCGGCAUUUUGUCAACCCUGAACAAGUGCACCUAUAUAUCAAGAGUGAAGGAAACCAAGAAAAAACAUUUAGCAUGAGUGAACUACUAACAUGUCGAUGCAUGUUUGGUGACGGUUGUCGAAACCCUGGUGAUUGAGUUGCUCCCAGAGCUCUUUCAGCUCCACCUUGGUCAGCACUUCAUUGUCCCUCUCUUCCUCGCCAGUGAAUCGAACAACCUCGCCGUUGUCUCUUAACCAGGUGGUCUUUGUGGCCUUUGCUGCUUGAACCUUCUAAGCUCCCACUAUUUGUGUUUGGGAUAAGCGUUGCAGUGUCAGAAUCAGUGGCUCACUUGGCAGCUUCAGUGUCAGACAUGUCCUUAUUUACCUACCUCUAGGACAACUUCUCCUCCCUGCUCAAAGGAGAAGUUGGUCACUAACUGUCUUUUUCAGCGAAUCAAAACUUGCAGCAGAUGUGUCUCCAGAAAUAGAAAGGUAAAUAAAAAAUAGAAGUUACAAUUGUACUUGUAAUAAUUUAAGAUACAUGAAUAGAAAUUACAAGAGAAGAGAUCUCACUUUUUAUUUUUCAAGCACUCAGAUCUACCUAGCUCAAUUAAGAACUCAUCUCUCCAUGGGGGGGUGCGGCAUCAUCAGCUGGAGUAUACAGAAAUUGGACCGAACCCCAAGUGGAGAAACAAACAUACACUAACUAACAAUUAAGCAGAGAAGACGAAAAGUAACUUUUGUUUACGUCAAAGAGAAAAAGAGCAAAGUUUAUACCUUAAACCCGAGAGAGACAUCGGGCCCUAAUUGGAACCGGGAGCAAAGAGUACCCUUAAUAAAUACUCCCUUUGUCUCAAAAUAUAAGGCAUUUUUGACACUUUUGAGACAUAAGGAGUACAAACCAAGUUGUCUGGGGACCUAAACGCAUGAGGUAAAGCACCAACCACUACUGGCAGUUAGCACUGGUCACUUGUGUCAGCUCUACUCCUCCGAAUGUGACUCGCUGGCCUUGCGACAAAUGACACAGGGGAAAUUGGUUAGUGCAUGGUUGCACUUCAGCUAUUGGAAACUUAAGGGAAAAACGCACGAUAUUCAUAUUUUUCUCUUUGAAUCAGAUCUAGAGGUAUUUAACAGAAGAAACUUCGAAGAGAACAGAAAUAACAGUAAAAAACUUUCGGCAAUCUGGAUCAUGUAUCCAAAAGAAACUCCGAAGAAAACUAACCAGCAUCUUCGAUUGUGCAAUCUGGAUCACGUACUCUGCUGAGUUGGGGUAUCUUAACCCUAGAAAUUUGGAUGUUAGGACCUGCAUUCACCAUUUCCAACAUAGAAAACCAUUAAUUAGAGAUGUAAAACAAACGGCUUAUAGCUUCUGCUGUGCAACUGUUUAUUUUUUAGAAACUCUGUUCACAAAAUUCUAAUCCUGAGUAGUGUUGCAACAUGUCAAAGGAAGAAGUCUAACAUAAAGAAGUCCAGGGAAGAAUUACAACUACGUGUGGCCGGCUGGUUCAGGGGACGUUCAGGGUGGGCGUGGCGGCUCGUGUGCCGGGGCAGGCUCUUAGGCACUGGCGAUCUUGCGGACGGAUAUUAGAAAAAAAUUGAGUUUUUUUUGUUGGUAAAAAAAAGGUGAGGUUGUAUCUUGUUAGUUGGGUCUCCAUUGGCCGUCGAAAUCAUACCUGGCGACCUGAUGGGGCUGCCUGCAGCUUCAAAACUCGAGCAGAUUGCUGCAUAAUAGUCUUGUUAUAGCCUGGCCGAUCUGUGAAUAUUUGAUUGUAGGUGAAGGAGGGGCAGCCGCCCACUCGACGGUGCUGAUCAGGGUGGCGAGGGAGCCCGGCAGGUAGGUGUCGAUGCAGUGCAGGGCGGCGACGAUCCGAUGCAGGGAUCAAGGUCGUUGUGUAGGGAGGCGCUGAUGCAGUGCAGGGUUGGCGAUGAAAGGUAGGGAUAGGGCGAGGGACACAAUUAGGUUGAGUUUUCUUUUUUGCGUGUUGGUUAGAUGGUUAGAUUAGCGUGAUUUGAGGGGCUGCGGAGGCUGGUCAGGGAGUUUCAUAUUUUCAUCUGGUGGAGUAUGGUUAGUCUAUGUAAACUGCUAAGCGCACACCAGAUCUCAAAUAAAUUAAUAAUGGUUGUUGGAUGGGGUCGUUCGGGCUUCAUCCUAUGGUGUUGAUGUGGGUGACGUGGUUGUGGAUGUUUUGCGGGGUGCACUUCAAAAAGCUCUUGUUUGAUUGUUUAAUAGUAGUGAAGAUAAAAUAGUCAGUUUCAUAAUUAUUCGCCAAAGAAAAUCAGUAUGAUGAUACAAUGCAAAAUAUAGCUCUUAGGAUUGUUGGACAAAAUAUCUCCCAUGAAGUACCCAUAAAUUUAACAUCCAAAAGACCACCAGAUAACUUGUAUGAUGACUAUAAGUGUUAAUAGUUUUAUAAAACUAUUAUCCUUUAUUUUUUAUAAAACUAUCAAAAUAAUAAUGACUGAAUAUUUAUUUAAACCAUUGUGACAAUAUAAAAAAAACCGCACCAUACAGCCGAACCUAACACGUCCGAUAAAAAAGGAAUUAAACAAUGUCCGAUGCUAAUAUAAACCAAAUGACAAAAAGGCUAGUGAUAAUUACGAAAAAAGAAUGAACAACGCCUAGCACUAUAUAUUAGUAUUACUUAAUUAUUACUUGCUCUGUAAACUAAUAUAAGACGUUUAGAUAUCUAAAACGUCUUAUAUUUGUUUACAGAGUAGCACUUGGCUAAAAAGCCAUCGAUAAAGAAAGAAAAGGGAAGAAAGAACUGGACACGCCCGACGCUCUUUGCCUCGUGCCUCCCUCUUACACUUCACACAUCACCAAACCUUAUCCUUUCAUUGUCUGCCCACCGCUCCUAGAAAAGCAAAAGAAAAAUAAAACGCUAGCAAAAAGGCCAGCGCGGAGCGCCACCACCCACCAUACAACAGCCAGC
rnacentral:lncRNA from 1 species